rnacentral:lncRNA from 1 species
AAAAAAAAGAGUUUGAGAACCCGUAAAAACCCUAAUCUUUUCCGAGGGUUUUAUUUCCUUUAAUAGCAUGUUUUCUGCAUUUCCUGGCUUAGGAAAUUUUCCUGAGGAAUUUUUAUGAGUAAUUAUAGUUUUCAGAUGAUUUUUCUAGUAUUGGAGAAUUUUUAGAAAAUUAAGAGUGUAUAAUGGACGUGGGACCCACUAGUGCGAAAAGUUCGGAAAAUUCGGCCAAUUAGGUUAAAUUCCGGAUACUGUGUAAAAUUUAUCGGUGUUAAGAGAUAAGUAGAGAGUGAGAUUUGAUUGAUGUGAGAGAAAAGAGAAAGAUAAGAUUGCAUUUAUGAAGGUGACAAGUGUCACCACUGCAUUGGUUUUAACUUAAGAGUUACUAUUCACCUUUUUGACUUUUGACCCAUUUGAGUAAAUAUCUUCAAAAAUUGCCCAAAAAUCACCAUUUUUCACCUCUUGUUGGCCGGCCCUCUUAGCUCAAGAAGGAAGAAAGCUUCUUCAAUUUCAAGCUCCCAAUUAGCUCAAAUCAACCAAAACAAUUGCCUAAAUUAGAUUCUACUCCAUAAAAUCCUUUCAUUUGGUACUAGUGAGUGUUGUGGUGAAGUUUGUUUGAAGAGCUAAGGUGUCCAACAUCUUCCUUUCUCUUGUUUCCUAGGUAAGUGAUGGUUGAACAUCCUACUACACCUAAUGAUGCUUAAGUGAUGCUUAGUAGUAGCUAAAGUGAUGGAUUAUGUGAAUUAUUUCUUGAUUUGAAGUGAUUUGGUGAAGUUUUUAUAUUUUUGAGGAAUUUUCUGGUUUAAUAUGAAUGAGAUGUUGUGGUCAUCUAUGAUGGUUGAUAAUGAGGGUUAUGACUCUAGUGGAUGGAAAUGAUUGAUAUUUGCAACCAAUUUUGGAUUUGGAAUAAAUUUUGGGAAAGUUAGGGUUCAUGAAGCUACAUUCUGCCCGAAUUUAUUUCACCAUGUUAGAGGCCGAAUUGGCCUUGGCUUAAAACAUGAAAGUUGUAGGUAUUGAUGAGUUUGAAGUGCCUACAAAAUUUCAGGUCAUUUGGAUUAGUGUAGAGUGAGAUAUGUCGAUUUUACUGUUGCUGUUCUGGGUUGAUCAGAAUGCGAAAACUGCACUUGUAAUUGGCCAUUUUGACUGGAAUUGCUUUGGAUUUGGAUGUUGGUGUCUUCUGAUGAAAUGUAGCUGGAUGUCUUAGCUUCCAUAUGCCUUUGGAAUCAAUGCAUUUGGACCUGUACAGACCGAGUUAUACCAAUUACAGCAUAGUGGGAUUUGUGAACCUGUUUUAGUGGUUCUGGUUUGGUAUUUUUGGCAUAUUUGACCUAGUUGUGCUAGGACCUGGACUGAGUGACCUUCUACAUUGUUGUAGCCCUGGUUCUUAGCUUCGAAACGGUGGGUCUUACACCCCCAUCCGAUAAUCAUAGUGAAAUUGACACCAUUACCGCAAAAUGACGUCAAAACUGUUUUUCUGGUUUUGAGCUUAACUUUCAUUUCCGGAUUUUUUUUUCCCUAGCUUGACUUGUACUAGUACUACUUGGAGCUUGCUGAAUGGCUAUUGGAUGAACUUAUUUGUGUGACUUUGGAACUGGCUGAGGAAAUAAUGAAGCCUUGACGGCUGGAAAAGUAAGCAAAUUUAGGGGAAGUGCUGUCCGAAGUUUUAAAGGGUUUGAUUGCUUUGAAUUUGUGAUCUAAGACUUGGAUUUGAGCAAGACAAUGUUAUAUGAUGGAUGAUUUCUGAGCCAUGGAGGUGAGUGACCUCAAACUACUUCUAAAGUUAUUUAUGAACCGUUUCUUACGUUAUUUACUUUUGAACUGUUUCCAAAGUUACUUUUGAAAUGUUUUCUUGCAUAUCAUGCCUGCUGGCAUGUGAGUGUGCCUUGUUUGCUAUAUUUCUUGACUUCAUGACUUGUAUUUUGGUUGAUAACGUGUUAAGCGCUUAUAAUGAUUUCCAAAACGAGUUUUCGAGACGAGUGUGUACUUUAUCGCACUCGACCUCGAUAAAUGUGAAAUUUUUGAUUGAAAUGUUACUUGCACAUGAAUGUAAGCCUUUUGGGCUGAACUGGCCAUUGCCCCUUGUUACCGAUCGUCUUGAGCCAGAAGCGGACUCGGUCAGGCGAUUAGGAACUUGGGUGAACGUUUGGUAUACUCGAGUAUUACCUAUGUAGGUUGGUGGAGCCUGGCCAAAAGCCAGGGACGGGGUGAAUGAAAUGAAAUAAAUGAUCAAAUGAGCGAGGAAAUGUCAGGAGAAUGAAUGUAUCCUUUCAUGAAUGUUACUAUCGCUUUCCAUUGUACAUGUUUCUUGAAUUAUUGAUACUCCAUAUUUAAUAUUUUGUAAAUGUUGUAAUCGUUUCUGGACUUAUCAUUUGAUUUAUGACAUCAUUGAUUUAUGACAUCAUUGAAAAGAAAUAUUGUUAAACCGAUUUGAUUACUGAUUUUCUGGUUACUCGCUGAGCUUCUAGCUCACCCCAAAAAUGUUUUAUUUUCCCCCCACAGGGCUCAAGGCGAAGAAAAGCAUGGAGUGCUUAUUCACGUGACUGGAUGGCUUAUAUCAUGUACAGUUUAAGUUGGAUCUAUUUUAUGUACGAGUUGGUCUUGUAUAAAUAUUUGAAAUUGAUAUGGAUGUAAGUAUACGUUCCACGAUUGGAAUCAGUUUCCGCUGCAUUUGUAAUAUGUAAUCAUUGGAGAAUUUGAUGUAAUUUUGAGAUUUAUAUUGUAAUUGGGUUGAGGACUGUAGUGAGCGACUGAGUCCCGACGAGAGUUGGGCAGGCGGUCCGCCGAACCCUCUGGUACGCCCUAGGGAGAGGUGGGGCCGUUACACCUUCUAUCCGUUGACAGCAUUAAUUGAAGAAUUUUUUGGUCCCCUAUAAAUUGGGAUUAGUCAACUCUUAAAAAGAAUUUUACACAUUAAGUCUACAUCUGAUCUUGAGUGAUUCAAGUGUGUGAAUACUCCAAAAAGAAGAUUUGUACUCUUAGUUGUGUAAUCUCCAUUUAGUUUUCAAGUGUGAUUCAAUUUCUUCAAUAGUGUAGCUUAGUGAGGGUUAUCCGUGCGAUUGUAAAACUUCCUUGCUUGAUCGAGUGAGACUUGAGGCAAGGAGGAAGUGAUCCUUCAUUUGUACACAAGAGAUUGGUUGAAAGUUGAUCAUAUUGAAGAAGCUUGAUAUAUAUAAAGUGAUAUUCAAACUUAGUCAAGUUUGAAUUUGGUUUGCAAUUUCAUCCCUUCAUUUACUGUCUUGCUACAUAUAUAUAUAUACAUUGCUUACCUGUUUUACUCACAAAUUACUUGUGCUAGUCCAUCAAUUGCUUCUCAGUGAGGUCUUUUGAAAAAGAAAACAAGCUCGAAAAAGGUGACUCAUAUCUUGGCUUGUUUUUAGAUAACCUAAUUCACCCCCCUCUUAGGUUGUUUCGAUCCUUACAAUUGGUAUCAGAGCUUGGUCUCCUUGAGAUUAAACUCAAUCGGCUUGGGAGUAAAAAUGACAACCAACAAUGCCAUGUUCUUUGAGGGACAAUCUGUCACCAGACCACCUAUGUUCAAUGGUCAAACUAUGUGAGCUUGGAAGGAGAGGAUGAUCAUCUUCUUACAAUCUAUUGAUAUUGAGUAUGGUUUAUUGUCAAUGAAGGUCCGUUUGAUGCCUCUACUAUUGAUGCAGAGACAAACAGGCCGAGACCAAAAACAAGAAGGAACUAACUGCUGAAGAUAGAACUCAUCUCACUCUGAAUGCCAAGGCGAUGAAUGUUCUGUACAGUGCUUUAGACUCAAACGAAUCUGUUAGAGUCAAGGGCUGUAAAUCUGCAAAAGAAAUCUGGGACAAACUUCGAGAAAUACACGAAGGAAGUGAAAAUGUGAGAGAACAGAAGAAAUCCAUUCUGGUCACGAAAUAUGAAUCCUUUAAGAUGGAACCUCACGAAAAUAUCGACAAGAUGUAUUGCAGAUUCAAUGAUCUUAUUAAGGAUCUAGAAGUUCUUGAAAAAGAUUACUCUCUAGGUGAGAAAAACAGAAAAAUUCUGAAUGCUCUAUCAAAGGAUUGGGAGAGCAAAGUGACUGCCAUUGAGGAAGCCAAAGAUCUGAACACUUUAUCUAUUGAAUCCCUUAUAAAUUCACUAACCUCUUACGAGCUAAAACUCAAGUCUAAGGUGCAGGAAGAAGAAGACACAAGUUAGAAAGAGCAUUGCUCUGAAGACUUCACAGAAGAAGAUGAUACAAUCUCUCUGGAUGGAGAUGGAAGGUGAUGAUAGUGACAUUGCACUCAUCACACGAGACUUCAAAAGAAUACUCAACAAGAGAAGAUUCAGAAAAGGAGACAUAGCAAUUCCUUUCCAAAUCAGUCCAACAACUUCAGAAAUAAAGGAAAGCUGGAAUUCAACAAAAAGCAAACUGAUAAGUGCUUUGAAUGCGGCCAACCUGGUCACUAUGCAAAUGAAUGUCCAAUGAAGAAAAAGAAGGAGAACAAAGUGAACGAAAACCAAAAUUCAACAAUUUCCAGAUCACCUGGAAUGACUGCAAUUCAGAAGGAGAAGUAGAGGAAGAAGAGGAAUCUGCCCAAGUGGCUUUCAUGGCCAUUGGAGAUGAAGAGGUAACCCAAUAUAACUCUCAAACUGAUAGUGAUAGUGAGUCUGAUGUUGAUAUUAAUUCUUUCCUAGAAAAAAUGCAUAACAGCUUAAAAGAAUCCUAUGUUAGAAACAAGGAACUAAAGCAGAAAAUUAGCUUUCUAAUACAAGAUAAUGCAAAUCUUUUUGACAAAACAAGUGUCUUAAGCAUGAAAAUGAGAACCUGAAAAGGAUUGAAAUGAUGUGCUUGCUGAACUUAACAAAAAGACAAAUUUCUGUGACAUGCUCAGAAGUGAACAAUGCAGCCUAAAAAAAAGGAUGGAUGAUUUAUGUCAAUUGUUACAUCAUAUGAAACAGAACCGCCUUCAAAAGAAUGACACUGAACCUCACCUUAACACUCAUCAGAUAAGACUGAAUCAAAAUGCAAAUGAGUUUGCUAUCCAUAGGAGAAGGCAAGUCAGAUUCAUUAAACCUGUUCAUUUGAUUGAUCCAAUGACAGUAUGCAACUUUUGUUGUCAAUUUGGUCACAUGAAUAGCAACUGUUAUGUUAAGAAAAACAUGAGAAAUGGAAUGAGAUGCAUGUGGGUUAUUAGACAUAAUGCUAACCAUGAAGGACCCAAAAAGUAAUGGGUACCAAACAUUAUAUUGUGGACUACUGUGUAGGUGAACCUGGUGAACAUGUUAAAGAAUCAAAAUGGUUCAUAGAUAGUGGAUGCUCAAGACAUAUGACUGGUGAUGCAUCACAGUUCAUCAAGCUCAAGCCAAAAACAAGUGGAAAGGUUACUUUUGGAGACGAUAAUAAAGCCAAAACUGUUGGUAUUGGUGAUGUUGGUAAGAAUGGUCAGACUUUUGUUCAUAAUGUUCUUUUAGUCGACAACCUGAGUUACAAUUUGCUGAGUGUUAGUCAAUUAUGUGAUAGGAACCUGCUCGUGUUAUUUAAGAAACAUGAAUGCCUUGUUCUUGACUCAAAAUUUAACAUUGUUUUCAAAGGAAAAAGAGUUAAUGACAUUUAUGUGGUGAUUCUUGAAAAAGUUGAUGCUUCCAGCCUUAGUUGUCUCAAAGUAGCAAAUGAGGAUCCCUGGUUGUGGCACAGAAGGUUUGUCACUUCAAUAUGGAUUUGCUAAAAGAAAUUUCAAAAAGGACCUGGUUAGAGGACUUCCAAAACUCAAUUUUUGUAAAGAUCGCAUCUGUGAUGCUUGCCAAUUUGGAAAACAAGUCAAGGUAUCUUUUAAACCAAAAAAAUGUGUUUCUACCUCAAAACCCUUAGAACUCCUACAUCUUGAUCUUUUUGGUCCAACUCAAACCACAAGCCUUGGUGGCAAGAGAUUCUGUUUUGUUGUUGUUGAUGACUAUUCUAGAUACACUUGGGUGAUGUUUCUUGCACAUAAAGAUGAUGCUUUCAAAAACUUUACUUCCCUGUUUGCCAAGGUUCAAAAUCUGAUUGGUUUGAAAAUCAUAAAAAUAAGAAGUGACAAUGGCACAGAAUUUCAUUUUUGUGGAUUUCAGAAUUUUGUGACAACAAUGGCAUUACACAUGAGUUUUCUAUUGCUAGAGUACCUCAGCAAAAUGGAGUGGUUGAGAGGAAAAAUAGAACUCUUCAAGAAGCUGCUAGAACCAUGCUCAGUGAAUGCAAUUUACCAAAGUACUUUUGGGUGAAACUAUAAACACUGCAUGCUAUACCAUGAACAGAGUUCUCUUAAGACCAAUCUUGAACAAGACUUCAUAUGAGCUGUUGUUUGAUAAAAAACCUGUAGUUGGUUAUUUUAAAGUUUUUGGUUGCAAAUGCUUCAUUCUGAACAUCAAGGAGCAUCUUGGUAAGUUUGAUAAAAAAUCUGAUGAGGGGAUCUUCUUGGGAUAUUGUGAAAACAAGAGAGGCUUUAGAGUUUAUAAUCGUAGAACUCUGGUUAUAGAAGAAGCUAUACAUAUCACUUUUGAUGAAUCUAAUGGUGACACUUCCAUGAGUUGCGGUGAAGAUGAUGAUACAGGUGUUCGAGAAGAAUUAAAGAAGCUAACAAUCAGCAAUCAAGGCACAGCUCCAUCAGAAAAUAAUUCAAAGGAAGAUGAAAAUCAAGACAGUCCUGCUAGAGAAGACAAUGACAGUGACACUGGAAUUCCUAAUGAUCUUCCAAGAGCCUGGAAAUUCGUCCAAAAUCAUCCCAAGGAACUUAUCAUUGGGGAUCCAUCUGAAAAGGUCAGAACACGUUCCUCCUCUAGACAAUUAAUAGAUAACUUUGCAUUGGUCUCACAUUUUGAGCCCAAAAAUGUUGUUGAUGCAUUGAAAGAUGAGAACUGGAUUUUGCCAUGGAAGAGGAGUUAAAUCAAUUUGAAAGAAAAAGGUUUGGACAUUAGUUUAGACCACAAGAUCACCUAUUAUUGGCACUAAAUGGGUAUUUAGAAACAAAAUGAAUGACAAAGGCGAAAUAGUUAGAAAGGCCAGAUUGGUAGUAAGGGAUACACUCAAGAAGAAGGAAUAGAUUUUGAUGAAUCAUUUGCACCGUAGUAGGCUAGAAUCUAUUAGAAUGUUUUUAGCUUUUGCAUGUUUCAAGAAUUUAAGUUAUUUCAAAUGGAUGUUAAAAGUGCUUUCUUAAAUGGUUUUAUAGAUCAAGAAGUUUAUGUUGAUCAACCUCCUGGUUUUGAAAAUGAAAAUUAUCCAAAUCAUGUUUUUAAACUCUCAAAAGCUCUAUAUGGUUUAAAACAAGCUCCAAGAGCAUGGUAUGAACGUUUGAGUGAUUUUUUGAUUGAAAAUGGUUUCAAAAGAGGUAUAGUGGAUACUACCCUUUUCACUAAACAAAGUUUGCAUGAUCUUCUAAUUGUACAAAUUUAUGUGGAUGAUAUUAUAUUUGGUGCUACUAAUGAGAGACUGUGCAAGGACUUCUCCAAAAUCAUGCAAAAAGAGUUUGAAAUGAGCAUGAUGGGAGAACUGAAUUUCUUCCUUGGACUCCAAGUGACACAAACCCAAGAUGGAACAUUCAUCAAUCAAACCAAAUACACCAAGGAACUGCUGAAAAGAUUUGGAAUGGAGGACUCAAAGCAAGUUGGAACACCCAUGUGCACAUCUGCCAAGCUUGACAAAGAUGAAGAAGGUACAAAAGUUGAUGAAAAGAAGUAUAGAGGUAUGAUUGGUAGCUUGCUUUAUUUAACAGCUAGUAGACCUGAUAUCAUGUUGUUGUGUGUGCUUGUGUGCUCGUUUCAAUCUUGUCCAAAGGAAUCACAUUUAACUGCGGUAAAAAGAAUCUUUAGAUACUUAAAAGGAACUGUGAAUUUUGGCCUUUGGUAUCCUAAGUGUCAUGAACUUCCCUUGUGUGGAUUCUCUGAUGCUGAUUUUGGUGGCUGUAGAGUAGAUAGAAAAAGUACAACUGGUAUAUGUAAUUUUCUUGGAAAUUGCUUAGUGUCCUGGUUCAGCAAGAAACAGAAUGCCAUUUCAUUAUCUACAACCGAAGCAGAAUAUGUUGCUGCUGGUGCUUGCUGUGCUCAAUUGUUGUGGAUGAAAAACACUUUGAAUGAUUUUGGUUUAGUGUAUAAUUCUGUACCUAUGUUUUGUGAUAACACUAGUGCCAUUAAUUUGACAAAAAAUCCAUUCAACAUUCUAGGACAAAGCAUAUAGACAUUAAGCAUCACUUCAUUCGCGAUCUUGUCCACAAGGGUGAAAUUUGUGUUCAAUAUGUUUGUUCUAAAGAUCAAAUUGCUGAUAUCCUCACAAAAGCCCUUCCACUGGAUCAAUUUGUGUAUCUGAGAACAAAACUGGGCGUCUCAGAAAAAAUUCUCUAAGUUUCUCUUUGGUCACUUCUUAUCGGACGUCCGAUAGAUUAAAACGGACGUCCGACAGUGUUCUUCAUUCUUUUCUGGAAAAAUUCUGGUUCGGACGAUUGCGUCGGACGCGUCACUUCGUUCGGCCGUCCGACACUCAAAAAUUGCUUCAUAUAAGGAAGCCACCUACCUCAUUAAGUUCAUUUACUUUCUUUGUCUCGGACGCAACCCUUCAGUUUCUCUCAAAAUUCAAAAUUCAAAUUACUCUCUCCUCUAAUCAAGUUCCAAGAAAUUGAUUCAAUCGACACCAUUACACCCCUAUUGCCCGUUGUCUGAACAUAAUAACCUCUUCCAACUUCCUGCAUAUUUCCCUAAUUUAUAUCAGAAACCCUAAGUUUCAAAUCUGACUUCUUGUGGUUGGUUCGUGCAUCACCAUUAAUUCAUAUUGCACUCUUCAUCUAUCUUAUACACUUUGCACCACUCUACAUCAACAUCCAACUACAUUACAUCAUGGUUAGGAUUAGAGGUGGUUCUACGGGUCGACGCUCUUUUAGACUUAGGGAUGAGGAUAUUGAAAUUGUGGAACCCUCUACCAAAGCAUCCAAAAAGAAAACUGCAAACAGAGGUGGAAAGGUGAAGCAAACUGCUCAAAGGAAGCGCGAUGCUCCAACUGUUGAGCCAUCUGAUGAGCAGAUGGAAGAGCAUCACUCUGAAGAAAAUCUAGGUGGUAGGAAUGCAGAAGAAAUGGAGGAACCCACCCAUGCUGAAGUGACUGUCUCGAAAUCACCUGGGAAAAGAAAAAGGUCUGCCCAAAAGGGAAGCACUCCUCAACAAAUGCAGAGAAAAAUGCUGAGGUUCAGCACACCCCUGAGCCAUCUACCAGAAAAUCUCCACGGACAAGGCCUGAGGUUCAGAAUACUGAGUUAUCUGCCAAGCAAACUGCAAAAAGGAAACGGUCUGGAAAGGAACCAGUGACUCAGCCUGCUAAGGAACCUUCUCCUCUGCCAAAAUUCAUUGAUGAUGAGGCCAGAGACAGAUUUGAGUUGGUCUCACAAAAGGGUUUCAUCACUCAAAGACCAUUUCUCCUCCUGAAUUUCGUAAGCUUGACUCGAACCUAUCAUUAAGCUUUUGAGUUCCAAAAAUGGAUUCAUCUUCUGUCCAUCCCAAUACUUUUUACCUGAUAUGCUUUAUCAGUUCUUUGCAAAUCUCAGAAAGGGUAACUCACACACUGAACUCAUCUCUAGGGUCAACUCUGUAGACAUCACGUUAACUCCUGACAUUGUGAAUUCCAUUCUGAAAACAAGUAUUGAAUCUGGUUUUAAAGGAAAAGUUGCAAAUUUCUUUUCAUAUGAAGAAUAUCCCUCUGCUUAUCAUCAUUUUCACAUUGCUAAACUCAUGACCUAUUUUCGAUCACAUUUCAACACUCCUGCUGAGGCAAGAUUAGAAGAUCUUAGUCCUCAGAACUUGAUAAUUUUUACCAUCAUUUCAAAUCUGUUGGUGCCCACUGAUGGCCACAGAACUGAUGCGAACAAAAUGGAGCUUUAUCUCUUUUACUGUUUUGUUUGAAAAAGUCAGAAUUGACUUUGGGUUUGUGAUGUGCAAAUUUCUGCUCAAAUUAGCACUGAUAGUCGUAGGAAGCUCUCUUAUGAAAAAUUUCUGACUCCUAUCUUUGCCCAUUUUAAAAUUCCUUUUACUGGAAAAUCACCCAAAGACAGUGCCUCAACAGUUUUCUCACAAGCGUAUUUUGAAAGAAAGAAUCUGAAAUUUUUUAGGGCCAUUGGUGUUAUAAGGAGAACUGUGGCAGAAACUAGGAGAAAAAAUAUUCACGAAACCCCUGUCACUCUAGGACUCCUCGUGAUCAGUCCAUGUAUGUCUCUCCAUUCACCAUCCACCCUAGAAAAUCAGCUAGCAAGUCAUUCUCUUCCAAUUCUGAGGUCAUCUCCUUGCUCGAGGACUCAAACAACAUGUUCUGCUCAUUGAAGAUGGUCUCAUGAUGACCAUGUCUCCUGCCCAGCAGUCCAUCUUCAUUGAAAAAAGGAAUCUCCUCGUGCCUCCAAUCCCUGAAUUCAAUGAAAGUGCUCAUCAAAAAGAGCCAAGACCCAGCCCACAGAGCAUACUCCUGGUACUGAAGCCACUCCAGAGGCACAUGCUUCCAGCUCUCAGCCCAAAGAUAAAGGCAAGGCUCCUGUAACUGUGGAGACAACUGAAGAUGAUGAUGAUGAACUGAGGAUGAAGACCAAGUGGAUCCUGAGCAGUUUCGUCUAACCAGGAGAAGGCCUGGAUCAUUGAAAAUCACCAUCUAAGCACUACUAGGACUUUGCAUUUCAUCAUUAGGACAAUAGUUCAUCUUUUGCAUUGAAAAACUUUUGCUAUGCUAUGUAUUGAGGAUCAUAAUCCUCUUUUGGUCUGUAAAACUGAUGUUAUUCUGUUAACUGAUGGUUUUUUUUUCUUCUAUGAAUGGAUGCUUUUAUCAUUUGCUGAGAAUGAAUGUCUUUAUCCUUUGCUGAUAAUGUUCAUAUAUUGAUCUGGUUUGUCAAAUUGAUAAUGUCUAUUGAAUGCUGACAAAUUUGAUUGGUAUGGCUGCUUUAUGAUGACAAAAAGGGAGAAAAUGGAUAUGGAUCGUAUAAGUGAGGGGGAGUUGCGAAUACUCUGGUCAUGGAAUCUAUAAGGAAGGGGGAGUCGAGUUGAUGGGGAGUUGAAUUCUUUUUUAUCCAUCCAAUGUUUUGUCAUCAUCAAAAAGGGGAGAUUGUAUAUCUCAGUUCAUAACUUUUGAUGAUUACAAAACAAUUGGAUGCUACUAACAUCUUUGAAGAGUUCAUUUCAGGAUUUGGAACAAAAACCAGAUCAAAGACUUGAAGCCAAAAUCAAGGUUUGACAAAUUACUGUCAGACGCACAAAAGGACCAUAUCAGACGGCCGACAACCAUUGAGUAACUUCGGACGCAUGAAGAACUCACACCCGGACGUCCGAAGGCAAUGUGUCAAAACAUCUAUGAUCACUGAUCUCGUUCGGACACACAAUACCUCUAUACCGGACGUCCGACAAACAUUGCUGUACUUCGGAUGCAAAACACUGGAGCAUCGGACGUCCGAAAGAAAUGAAGAAGGAUCUGCAAGUUUACUUCCGGAUGUAUACUAUGGAGGGACCGGACGUCCUAAGAAUUGCAAGAAAUCAUCUUGAACCCAUUGUCUUCGUUCAGAUGCAGAAAAUUAGAGUACCGGACGUCCGACACUACCAACGGCUAGUUGACCUUCCAGCUGCCUUCUAUCCGUUGACAGUAUUAAUUGAAGAAUUUUUGGUCCCCUAUAAAUUGGGAUUAGUCAACUCUUAAAAAGAAAUUUUUACACAUUAAGUCUACAUCUGAUCUUGAGUGAUUCAAGUGUGUGAAAACUCCAAAAAGAAGAUUUGUACUCUUAGUUGUGUAAUCUCCAUUUAGCUUUUCAAGUGUGAUUCAAUUUCUUCAAUAGUGUAGCUUAGUGAGGGUUAUCCGUGCGAUUGUAAAACUUCCUUGCUUGAUCGAGUGAGACUUGAGGCAAGGAGGAAGUGAUCCUUCAUUUGUACACAAGAGAUUGGUUGAAAAUUGAUCAUAUUGAAGAAACUUGAUAUAUAUAAAGUGAUAUUCAAACUUAGUCAAGUUUGGAAUUUGGUUUGCAAUUUCAUCCCUUCAUUUACUGUCUUGCUACAUAUAUAUAUACAUUGCUUACCUAUUUUACUCACAAAUUACUUGUGCUAGUCCAUCAAUUGCUUCUCAAUGAGGUCUUUUUGAAAAAGAAAGCAAGCUCGAAAAAGGUGACUCAUAUCUUGGUUUGUUUUUAGAUAACCUAAUUCACCCCUCCUCUUAGGUUGUUUUCGAUCCUUAUAUAUACCUUCCAUUCAAGUGAUUAACUCAAAAUGUCAGCAUCUUGAUCGACCACAUCAUAUCCAAAAUCUGACAUUUACUAUCACAACCAUUAACUAGUCUUUCAAGCAAUGUAUCAGUCCAAUGUUCAGCAUGUUUCCCUUAAAUCUUUCCUUUCCCUCUCAUGUCCCAACUAGCCAGGUUAAUUACAUUUAUUAAGCUACAAAGUAACCUUGUAUAGAACGUGGAAAAUUUACAAUCAACUCAAAGGAAGACUGAUCUAAAUCUUCCUCACUCUCGGCCAACUACCAGCAGUCAGGUGAGUUCAUUUGUCCUGCAUGUUCACUCUAGUUCCUACUUGUUUCAGUUUGCUUGAUGAAGUUUAAGGUCUGUAUAACGUGCUACAGCUUGCUACAUAGGUUUAGAAGCUAUGGGUUGCAAGCAAUAUCCAAAACUUCCCAUCAGCUUUACUCAGACGAAGCCAACAAAUUUCAGUAGGUAGUGGUUUAGCAGCUGAAUUUUCCCUUUAGUUUCUCUUCAGUUUUAUGUCUAGCUAAAUGUAUAAAGAGUAAUGACUCAGCUACAAAUUAUCCUACAUAAAGUAUGAUAGUUUAUGACCAGAAUUUAUAAGAAGGGCUGGACUAAAUCUCAUGCUCGUACUUAGCUGCAAAAUCUAAUGCGUAGCAGCAGGCAUCAGAUUUCCUUCGAGUUCAAUUCUCUCCAUUUCGAGUUUAUCUUCUCAGGAGUGAAAUAAUCAAGAUGCCAUGCACACUUUAUAGACUAUCACAGGAAAUUCUAGAGUUAUUACUCCUGAUAAUUAACCAAAAUGCUUCAUUUCUUCAAUCGAAGCUCAGUUUCUACACAACACUUUCUUGAACCAGAAGCUAAAUUUCUAACUAAGCUCCACUUAUAGCUCAUAUUAAACCAAUUAUACUAUCUAAAUAGUGAGUUGUUAUGGAAAGUGUUACCUUUUCCUCCUUAAAGUUUGUUAAAGGCAGACUGCUCUAACUCUCUCUUUGCUUCGGCUCUUCAACUCUUGCACCAGCUAUCUCUCCAGUUCCUCACAUUUGGCUCGUGGUGUUGAGGUUACAAGCUAGAGAAAUGAAGCGAGCCAAUGUUUAUCUCUAUUUCCCUCAAUCUCUGGUUGAAGGCUGGUAGCAAAGUGAAACCAGAAAUGUUUUCUUUUCCUCUCACUCGAUUGUGUUUGAGAUGAAUGGGUGUGACCGAAUCUCUCUCUCGGCUUUGUUCCUAGUGCUUGGUUGGCAAGAAGAGAAUUGAGUGUACUUCUUCACUCGGCUGACCACUCAAAGUUUUUUCAUUCAGUGGUUGAUCACUCCAAAGUUUCCCUCAUUCGGUCACUGCUUACUCAGCAAUUUUGGUAGCAGGUUCAUUCCGGGCAACUGUCCAAAUAAGAGUUACUCACCGCCCCAAGCUAGCAGCCAAAUUCUACUCAUUUCCUUUCCACCGUUUAGUCUAGUAGAUGGUUGGCUGACCUCUAUUCAGUUUCAAUCCCUCAAGCUCUCGGUUUUGUUUUAUGAAUUUCUGAUGGUUGGUUCCUUGGCUGCAUGGUAGUUAGUCUGAAAUUCCAUGGGUAUUUUAGUAUUUUUAUUUUAGUGCAGUUGGUUGCCGUGAGUUCGUAAUUUUAUUGUUUCACACAUUGUCACAAAAUUUCGUUUGUUCUAAUUUGUAUGUACCUUGAAAAUUUUUGCUUAUAGUAGAUUUUCACACAUUUGGCUUUAAGGAAAAUUAAUUAGUCAUGUAACUUAUUCAACUAUAUAAUAUAUUCAAAUGGCUCAAAUUACAAUAUGCAUAUCAUAUGUUUAUAUAUUUUUUUAAGGGAAAAUAUCUCUUUUAUUUAAUCCAAGGCAACGAGAGCCAGAUACAACAGGUGAAGAGAGAAAACAGAGCCCUACCUGUGAGAACCCGUAAAUUCCUCUUAAUAAUUUUCCUAGGGUUUAUCCCCUUAAACCCCUUUAAUGGCAUGUUUUCUGCAUUUUCUGGCUUAGGAAAAUUUUCCUGGUGAAUUUUAUGAGUAAUUAUGUUUUUAGAUGAUUUUUCUAGUAUUGGAGAGUUUUUGAAAAAUUAAAGGAUAUAUAAUGGACGUGGGACCCACUAGUGCGAAAAGUUCGGAAAAAUUCGGCCAUUAGGUUAAAUUUCGGAUACUGGUGAAAUUUAUCGGGUGUUAAGAGAUAAUAGAGGGUGAGAUUGAUUGAUGUGAGAGGAAAAAGAAGGAUAGGAUUGCAUUAAUGGAGUGACAAGUGUCAUUAUUGGAUUGACUUAGACAACUAUUCACCUUUUUGACUUUUUUGACUAUUGAUUAAAUAUCUCAAAAAUCACAAAAAUCACCAUUUUUCUUCUCCUUGGUGGCGGCCCUCUCUCUAGCAAAGAAGGAAGAAAACUCUUCAAAGGUUCAACAUCUAGCUCAAAUCCUCCAAAACACUUGCUUGAACUUGUUUCUACUCCAUAAAACCUCUCAUUUGGUGUUGUUUAGUGUUUGGUGAAGUUUUGGAGAAGCUAAGGUGCCAACAACUCUCCCUCUCUUGUUUACUAGGUGAGUGGUGUUUGAACUUCCUCCUACACUUAAUGAAGCUUAAUUUGUGCUAGUGGGAGCUAAAGUGAUGAAAUUGUGGUUUAUUUCUUGCUUUUGGAUGAUGAUGAAGUUUUCAAUUUAUGGUGAUUUUUCUGGUUUAAUAUGAUCAUGUGUUGUGGCCUUGUAUGAUGAUUGGCAAUGGCCUAGAAUGACUCUAGUAGGUGUAAAUGAUUGGUAAUUGUAACCAAUUUCUGGUUUGGAAGGAAUUUGAGAAAGUUAGGGUUUUAUAUCCCCAAUUCUUCCGGUUUUGUAUCUCAUGGUUAGAGGCCGAAUUGGCCUUGGCUUAAAACAUGAAAGUUGUAGGUAUUGAUGUUUUAAAGGUUCCUGUAAAAUUUCAGGUCAAUCGAGUAGUGUAGAAUGAGAUAAGUCGAAAAUACCGAGACUGGUCUAGGAAGGGGUGCUGCGAACAGGGUUGCCUUUUCACUCAAUUUGACCGUGACUUUUCACCCUGAUCCUCACCGAAUUAGAUUUUGGCCAAAACAUGAAAGUUGUAGCCAAGGCUAUAAACUAGUUCCUGUAAAUGUUCAGCUUGAUCCGACCACUGUAGCAUGUGAAAUGACCGAAAUACCCUUGACUGUUUUCGAAACCUGUUUCGCGCCCAGAUUUCUGUUUUCGUGUAGUCUUCCAUUUUCGACCAUGAAAAUGCACGAUUUGGCCUUUGAGGUCUUCUGAUGAAAUGUAGCUUGAUGUCUUAGCUACCAUAUGCCUUUGGAAUUUCUGGAUUUGGACUUGUAGAGCCUGAGUUAUGAUGUUUCCGCUAGAAUGCGUUUUGGUGAAUCUGUUUUACGUUUUUGAUAUAGUAUCUUGCAUUUUUGACCUGUUGCACUCAAAACUGGGUUGAGUGACCUUCUGUAAUGUUGUAGCCCUGUCUUUUAGCUUCGAUAUGGUGGGUCUUGCACCCUCAUCCGAUAAUCGUAGUGAAAUUGGUACCAUUACCGCAAAAUGAGGACAAAAACUGUUUUUUUCAGGGCCAAAGUUAAUUGCAUUUCCGGAUUUUCUGGUUACCUAUGAUACUUGUAUAUGCAUAUGAAACCCUAUUGGGGUUGUGAUUGGCAUUGCUUUAUGACUCGUUAUCGAGUCUCAUUGUACUUGUUUACGUGUUCUAGGGCGUGACGGUGGUUCACGACAUUCUCUUGACGGAAGUGCAUGAAACAACACUUAAUUGAUAAGUGAGUAUACUACUCACUUGAAUGUUACAAUGUGGCUUUGCUAUAUGUGAUUUUGAUGCCUUGAAGGCUUAUUUGGCUAUUGGAAUUGAUUGAGGUGAGGGUGUACUUGACCGCCCUCACCCCUUGUGAUACCGUUAAUGACUGUUUACCGCUUCACUGAUAUACUGCACUUGCUAUAUGAGAUAUUGAAUUCACUUCAUGAAAAACUGAUUUGGUGUCGUUUGGACGAGUAUCCAACGGCCUUACUGUACUACUGAGCUCAACCCCGUUGGUAGUCAAUUGAAUCGAGCCGGCGAGGGCUUGGUCGUGAAAAUUGACAUGCCACGGGGACUGUACUGGGGAAUCUUGUAGUAAUGAGACUCUUGAUUCCGGUAAACUCGAGUAUUACCAAAAGCUACUGAUUGGAGUGCGGGCCCGGUUGGGGUAUGUUUGGUGGAAGGGAUGGGAGUGAAGUGGGUUCUACGGUUGGUACUCAUAAACGUUGACGGAGAGUCAAUGAGAUUGGAUCAAGAAUGUAAGCGUGGAAAUGGGCUCUUGAGAGCCGUCCGUAUCCUUUUACCGACUUGUUUUAUUCUUAAUUGUGUACUUGAAAUGAAAGGUUAUGCUAUAUGCUCUUUGUUGCUUAUGUGGUAGUAACUCACUGGGCUUAAGCUCAUUCCGUUCCAUUUGUUUUCCUUACAGGAAAUGACCACUUUUGGAAAGGUUGUGUUAGUUGGUUGUCAAGUUGAGCUCAUGUAAAUGUCUUUUGAAUAGCUCUUUGAAUGAAACCCUAAUGUGUAUUGGGUUCAAUUUCUUUUGAUUGGCAAACCGAACAUGUAUAUCCAUGAUGAAUGGUUUUGAUAUGCCGCUUUGGCUUGGCUAAAUGUUACAUUUCAAUGUAUAUAUGUUUGGUUGACAUUUGGUUGAUUUCGGAUUAACUCGUAUUUCAAACGGCAAAAGAAAAAUUUUGGCUACUCUCGGCCUAGUAUCUGGAUUCUGACGUGGCCGGUACUGUUCAUCAUCGGCUUCGAUUUUUUUUUUUUUUUUUUUGUGAUUUUGACUUGUUUACGCGCGUGGGUAUGUUCCGGAACGUAUUAGAUCGACGUGAACUGAUCCGUAGUCCUGGCGAGAGCUGGGCAGGCAGUCCGCUAACCCCUUUGGUUCGCCUUAGGGGAAAGUGGGGCUGUUACAAGUGGUAUCAGAGCCACUUCGCGUGGUCUCUGCGCGGAGUGAGACUGGGCCAAGUGGUGUUGUGGUCCUAAUUUCAUGAAUAUGUCUAAGUGCUCGUUUGAGCAUAAGUUAUGAACCGGGCAUGUGAUAAGUGUACGAAUCAUUAUCAUGGGACUCGAGGAAGCUAGGUAUGUAUGUCGGGUAGGAAUCUUUAAUAAGGAUGGUUUACUCUUGGGACCGGCCGGCUCGAGUUGUGAAUUAUCUUAGAUGGGAUUCUUGCGCCCGGAUACGAAAGAUAUGAGGGCCUAGGUUAGAAAGGAUUUGGUGAACUAGAAAGGCCAUUCCUCGGUGGAUCGUUUAUGUUUGUACUUGACUUAACUGGCUGUAUAUAUGUGUGUGGCUUAAUUUUGACCGGCUUGUAUAUAUAUGUUUUGAUCUUGUUUGGAAUGUAUAAAUGUGUGUUAUAAAAGUUUUGAGUGUUACUCACAUGCAUCGUGCUUAUUUUGGUUUAGUAUUAUUGCCUAGACCAAGUAAAACUCAUGGAAGGUACACGGAGUGGUCGGGGACGUGGGCGCGGAACUAGACAACCCACACCGGUUAGGGGUACGGGGGAAACCUCUACUGGACCCAAUCUGGAACCGCAAGUAAACCCUAAUGUGCAAAUAGCUGCUGCUAUGCAGCAAAUGACAACUUACUAGCACAAGUGUGCAGCAACAGGCCAAACCCAAACCCUAACCCUGGAAACCCUGGUAACCAUAUCGAGAGCGAAGACAGAGCUCUCGAACGAUUUCAAAAGUUCGCUCCGCCAAAGUUUGUUGGGGGACCCGACCCAGACGUUGCCGAAAGAUGGCUUGAAAAGAUGGUGGAUAUAUUUGCAGCCCUACACUACCCUGACGAACGGCAGGUGACUUUUGCCGUGUUCCAGCUUGAGGGGGCAGCCCGUUCCUGGUGGAACGUAAUUCGGCAGAAGUGGGAACGAGAACAGACACCUAGGACUUGGGUGAACUUCAUCAGAGAGUUCAAUGCGAAGUUUUUCCCUCCUCUAGUUCAGGAGAGGAAGGAAGACGAGUUCAUUCGACUCCGCCAAGGAGCUCAAACUGUGGCGGAAUAUGAGAGCCAAUUCACCCGCCUAUCCAAAUUUGCGCCCGAACUCAUCAUGACCGAGCAACGAAGAAUACGGCGAUUUGUCCAGGGCCUGAACGUAGAAAUCCAGAAGGACCUCGCGGCAGCCCAAAUUAACGCCUUCAGCGAAGCAGUGGAGAAGGCACAACGAGUAGAGAAUGCUAGGCUCCAGGUGAAAAACUUCCAGGCGAAAAAGAGAGGAUUUCCUGGAAGUAGUUCGGGGCAGGGGGAUGAAAGUACCCCUCCCAAGUUUGGGCGGGGAACGGGAGGAGUAAGGAUGCCGGGAGUGUCACAAGAGAGCCCGUCAAGAGGAGGCUCGGCUUCUGCAGCACGCGGACCCUGCGGGUAUUGCGGAAAAUUAAACCACUCGGAGGACAAUUGCUGGAAGAAAGGAAAAAUGCUUGCUCUGUGGGAGUGCCGAACAUCAAAUUGCUAACUGUCCAGCUCGCCUGCGCGAGCGGCAAGGGACUCUGCCACCAACUACGACCAACCCUGCCCAGUCGAAGGGGGACAAGGAUGGAUCGAAAGUGUCCUCUCGGGUGUACUCCUUAGAACAACAUCAAGUCUUUGACCCAUUAGAGGACGUGGAAGGUAAGAAUUUACUGAACCUGGCCAGUGAAGGGGUACAGAUCUGUUAGCUAAGUAUAAUGCUCAAUUUAAUCCCGGAGUAGUCAAUGAUAAGGAAUUUCGAGGACGAAAUUCUUUUAAGGGGGAGAGAGUGUGAGAACCCGUAAAUUCCCUAAUAAUUUUCCUAGGGUUUUCCCCUUUAAUGGCAUGUUUUCUGCAUUUUCUGGCUUAGGAAAAUUUUCCUGGUGAAUUUUAUGAGUAAUUAUAGUUUUUAGAUGAUUUUUCUAGUAUUGGAGAGUUUUUAAAAAUUAAGAUAUAUAUGGACGUGGGACCCACUAGUGCGAAAAGUUCGGAAAAAUUCGGCCAAUUAGGUUAAGUUUCGGAUACUGGUGAAAUUUAUCGGGUGUUAAGAGAUAAGUAGAGGAUGAGAUGUGAUUGAUGUGAGAGGAAAAAGAAGGAUAGGAUGCAUUAAUGGAGUGACAAGUGUCACUUAUUGGUUGACUUAGACAACUAUUCAUUCUUUUUGACUUUUUACCAUUGAUUAAAUAUCUCAAAAAUCACCAAAAAAUUCACUCUUUCUUCUCCUUGUUGGCGGCCUCUCUCUAGCAAAGAAGGAAGAAACUCUUCAAAAUUUGGCAUCUAGCUCAAAUCAUCCAACAAUGCUUAAACUUGUUUCUACUCCAUAAAACCUCUUUGGUGUUGUUUAGUGUUUGGUGAAGUGUUUGGAGAAGCUAAGGUGUCCAACAACUCUCCCUCUCUUGUUUCUAGGUGAGUGGUGUUUGAACUUCCUCCUACACUUAAUGAAGCUUGAGUUGUGCUUAGUGGUAGCUAAAGUGAUGAAAUUUGUUUAUUUCUUGCUUUUGGAUGAAAUUGAUGAAGUUUUCAAUUUAUUGGUGAUUUUUCUGGUUUAAUAUGAUCAUGUGUUGUGGCCUUGUAUGAUGAUUGGCAAUGGCCUAGAAUGACUCUAGUAGUGUAUGAUGGUAAUUGCAACCAAUUUUGGUUUGGAAGGAAUUUGAGAAAGUUAGGGUUUUAUAUCCCCAAUUCUGUCCGGUUUUGUAUCUCAUGGUUAGAGGCCGAAUUGGCCUUGGCUUAAAACAUGAAAGUUGUAGGUAUUGAUGUUUUAAUGUUCUGUAAAAUUUCAGAAAUCGGAGUAGUGUAGAAUGAGAUAAGUCAAAAUACCGAGACUGGUCUAGGAAGGGGUGCUGCGAACAGGGUUGCCUUUUCACUCAAUUUGACCGUGACUUUCACCCUGAUCCUCACCGAAUUAGAUUUUGGCCAAAACAUGAAAGUUGUAGCCAAGGCUAUAAACUAGUUCCUGUAAAUGUUCAGCUUGAUCCGACCACUGUAGCAUGUGAAAUGACCGAAAUACCCUUGACUGUUUUCGAAACCUGUUUCGCGCCCAGAUUUCUGUUUUCGUGUAGUCUUCCAUUUUCGACCAUGAAAAUGCACGAUUUGGCCUUUGAGGUCUUCUGAUGAAAUGUAGCUUGAUGUCUUAGCUACCAUAUGCCUUUGGAAUUUCUGGAUUUGGACUUGUAGAGCCUGAGUUAUGAUGUUUCCGCUAGAAUGCGUUUUGGUGAAUCUGUUUUACGUUUUUGAUAUAGUAUCUUGCAUUUUUGACACUACAGAGAUCUGAAGCCUAGGCUCUGAUACCAACUGUGACGGCCCCACCUCCCCCUAGGGCGUACCCAGGGUUCGGCGGGCCGCCUGCCCAGCUCUCGCCGGGACUCAGUCGUUCACUACAGUCCUCAAAUAAAUACAAUACAAAUCUCAAGUAUACAUCAAAUGGUCCAAAAUACACAUCCGUCUCCAAUAAUUACAUGUCACAAAUGCAGCGGAAACUAAUCCCAAAUAUACAUAAAAUAAUUCAAAUCCAAAAUUGUACAAAGUUUAGGCCAUCCAUACACGUGCACAAGUACUACAAGUCCUUCCUUCGCCACGAGCCCUGUGGAGGGGAAUAAAAUAGUUUUUGGGGUGAGCUAAAAGCUCAGCGAGUAACCAGAAAAUCAUUAAUCAAAUCGGUUUCACAAUAGUUCAUUUCAAUGAUGUCAUAUAGCAAUGUGUCAUAAAUUAAAUGAUAAAUCCGGAAACAACUACAUCAUUUGCAAAACAGUAAAUAUGGAUUAUCAAUAAUUCAAGAAACAUUUACAAUGGAAAGCGAUAGUAACAUUCAUGAAAGGAUACAUUCAUUCUCCUGACAUUUCCUCGCUCAUUUGGUCAUUCAUUUCAUUUCAUUCACCCCGUCCCUGGCUUUUGGCCAGGCUCCACCAACCUACAUAGGUAAUACUCGAGUAUACCAAACGUUCACCCAAGUUCCUAAUCGCCUGACCGAGUCCGCUUCUGGCUCAAGACGACCGGUAACAAGGGGCAAUGGCCAGUUCAGCCCAAAAGGCUUACAUUCAUGCGCAAGUAACAUUUCAAUCGAAAAUUUCACAUUUAUCGAGGUCGAGUGCGAUAAAGUACACACUCGCCUCGAAAACUCGUUUUGGAAAUCAUUAUAAGCGCUUAACACGUUAUCAACCAAAAUACAAGUCAUGAAGUCAAGAAAUAUAGCAAACAAGGCACACUCAAUGCCAGCACACAUGAUAUGCAAGAAAACCUUUCAAAAGUAACUUUGGAAACAGUUCAAAAGUAAAUAAUGUAAGAAACGGUUCAUAAAUAACUUUAGAAGUAGUUUGAGGUCACUCACCUCCAUGGCUCAGAAUCAUCCAUCAUAUAUCAUUGCUUGCUCAAAUCCAAGUCUUAGAUCACAAACUCAAUGCAAACAAGUCCUUUAAAAGUUCGGACAGCACUUCCCCAAAUUUGCUUACUUUUCCAGCCAUCAUGGCUUCAUUAUUUCCUCAGCCAGUCCCAAAGGUACACACACAACAACAAGUUCAUCCAAUAGCCAUUCAGCAAGGUCCAAGUAGUACAAAGACAAGUCAAGCUAGGAAAAAGUCCGGAAAUGAAAGUUAAGCUCAAAACCAGAAAAAUAGGUUUUGACGUCAUUUUGCGGUAAUGGUACAAAAGGCGCUACGAUUGUCGGAUGAAGGUGCAAGAUACACCGUUUCGAAGCUAAGAGAUAGGGUUACAAUAUUACAGAAGGUCACUCAACCCAGUUUUGAGUGCAAACAGGUCAAAAAUGCAAGAUACCACAUCAAAAAUGUAAAACAGAUUCACCAAAAUGCAUUCUAGCGGAAACAUCAUAACUCAGGCUCUACAAGUCCAAAUCCAGAAAUUCCAAAACCAGAUGAUAGCUAAGAAACAGGGUAAAUUUCAUCAGAAGACCCCAACAACCAAUUCGGAAGCAAUUCCAGCCAAAACAACCAAUUACAGGCGCAAUUCUCCAUUUCGGGUAAAACCAGAACAGCAAUAGUAAUUUCGACUUUUCUCAUUCUACACUACUCCGAUUGACCUGAAAUUUUGUAGCCGCCUCUAAAAUAUCAUUCCCUACAACUUUCAUGAAGACCACUCAGUCCAGUUCUCACCCUAACUAGGUCAAAUUUUCCAAAACAACUCCAGAUUUUCCAGUUCGAAAUUCACUGCAGAAAUCAACUAGCAGUCCUGCUUUAUUCACUCAUAUCUCAGCACACACAACUCCAAUUCAGGUAAUUCCAAAGCCAUUAGAAAGCUAAGAUACAAGGGUAUAAUUCCUAAGAAGACAUCAACAACCAAAUCGGUAGUAUUCCCAGUCAAACUACCCAAUUACCAAAGCUGAUUACUAUUCUCGGAUAGAAACAGGAUAGCAGGGGUAUUUCGGUCUUUUCACAGGCUACCGAGCUCAGAUUGAGCUGAAAAUUUACAGGUAACUAGAAAACAUCAUUCUCUACAACUUGCAUGUUUUGUGCUAAGGCCAAUUCGGCCUCUAACCUGGUCAAACAGAAACGGGCAGAAUAGGGGUUAGUGAAAGCCUAAUCUGGAAUUCAUGCAUUCAAGUGCUAAUCUUCCACAAAACAACAUCUAAAACAACUAAAAACCACUAAUAAGCAAUUAAUUGAAGUAAAGAGGAUGUUCUUGGCAAAAUACCUUAAAACCACAAGAAAGGUAGGAGCUUAGGCUUUGUCCUCCAAAAAUCCUUCCAUUCAAGUUCCUAAUCUUCCUUAACUAGCACUUUGUAUGGAGUAAUUUGAGUUUCCAAUGGUUGGAACUUAAGAUUUGGCUUGGAUUUGAAGUUGAAGAUGAAACUUUUCCUCUCUUUCUUUCUCUCAAGUGUUCAGCCAAGAAGGAAGAAGAAAUGGGAUAUUUUUGGUCAAAUUUUGGUAUUUAGUAAAGGUAAGAAAGUUAAGUCAAAGUCCAACUCCAAUCGGGUCGCGACACCUAGCACCUUUUAAUUGUAACACUUAUCCUUUUGUCUCUCCAUCAUUAACCAUCUAAGCAACCUCUAAUUAUCUCUUAACAUCCGGUAAAUUAAACCCAAAUCCAAAACUUAACCUAACUGGCCGAAUUUUUCCGAACUUUUCGCACUAGCGGGUCCCACGUCCGAUAUACGCUCUUUAUUUCUCAAAAACUAACCGAUAUUAGAAAAAUCAUUUUAAAACUAUUUUUGCUCAUAAACUUUAUCUGGGGAAUUUUUCUAAUCAAGAAAAUGUAGAAAAGGCGGGCGUUAAAAAAAUAAACCCUAGAAAAUUAGAAAAUUUCCGGGUUCUCAAACUCUUUUUUUUUCGGGGCGUCACAAUCUCCCCUCCUUAAAAGAAUGUCGUCCUCGACAUUCCAUCUUGUACCAAUCAAGUCAGACAUCCCGCACAAAUCUCUCAAGAGUCAAAUCAAACCCACAGUCCGGCAUCCUAAACUUCAAGCCUAGGAUACACUACAGAGAUCUGAAGCCUAGGCUCUGAUACCAACUGUGACGGCCCCACCUCCCCCUAGGGCGUACCCCAGGGUUCGGCGGGCCGCCUGCCCAGCUCUCGCCGGGACUCAGUCGUUCACUACAGUCCUCAAAUAAAUACAAUACAAAUCUCAAGUAUACAUCAAAUGGUCCACAAAUACACAUCCGUCUCCAAUAAUUACAUGUCACAAAUGCAGCGGAAACUAAUCCCAAAUAUACAUAAAAUAAUUCAAAUCCAAAAUUGUACAAAGUUUAGGCCAUCCAUACACGUGCACAAGUACUACAAGUCCUUCCUUCGCCACGAGCCCUGUGGAGGGGAAUAAAAUAGUUUUUGGGGUGAGCUAAAAGCUCAGCGAGUAACCAGAAAAUCAUUAAUCAAAUCGGUUUCACAAUAGUUCAUUUCAAUGAUGUCAUAUAGCAAUGUUGUCAUAAAUUAAAUGAUAAAUCCGGAAACAACUACAUCAUUUGCAAAACAGUAAAUAUGGAUUAUCAAUAAUUCAAGAAACAUUUACAAUGGAAAGCGAUAGUAACAUUCAUGAAAGGAUACAUUCAUUCUCCUGACAUUUCCUCGCUCAUUUGGUCAUUCAUUUCAUUUCAUUCACCCCGUCCCUGGCUUUUGGCCAGGCUCCACCAGCCUACAUAGGUAAUACUCGAGUAUACCAAACGUUCACCCAAGUUCCUAAUCGCCUGACCGAGUCCGCUUCUGGCUCAAGACGACCGGUAACAAGGGGCAAUGGCCAGUUCAGCCCAAAAGGCUUACAUUCAUGCGCAAGUAACAUUUCAAUCGAAAAUUUCACAUUUAUCGAGGUCGAGUGCGAUAAGUACACACUCGCCUCGAAAACUCGUUUUGGAAAUCAUUAUAAGCGCUUAACACGUUAUCAACCAAAAUACAAGUCAUGAAGUCAAGAAAUAUAGCAAACAAGGCACACUCAAUGCCAGCACAUGAUAUGCAAGAAAACCUUUCAAAAGUAACUUUGGAAACAGUUCAAAAGUAAAUAAUGUAAGAAACGGUUCAUAAAUAACUUUAGAAGUAGUUUGAGGUCACUCACCUCCAUGGCUCAGAAUCAUCCAUCAUAUAUCAUUGCCUUGCUCAAAUCCAAGUCUUAGAUCACAAACUCAAUGCAAACAAGUCCUUUAAAAGUUCGGACAGCACUUCCCCCAAAUUUGCUUACUUUUCCAGCCAUCAUGGCUUCAUUAUUUCCUCAGCCAGUCCCAAAGGUACACACACAACAACAAGUUCAUCCAAUAGCCAUUCAGCAAGGUCCAAGUAGUACAAAGACAAGUCAAGCUAGGAAAAAGUCCGGAAAUGAAAGUUAAGCUCAAAACCAGAAAAACAGGUUUUGACGUCAUUUUGCGGUAAUGGUACAAAAGGCGCUACGAUUGUCGGAUGAAGGUGCAAGAUACACCAUUUCGAAGCUAAGAGAUAGGGUUACAAUAUUACAGAAGGUCACUCAACCCGUUUUGAGUGCAAACAGGUCAAAAAUGCAAGAUACCACAUCAAAAAUGUAAAACAGAUUCACCAAAACGCAUUCUAGCGGAAACAUCAUAACUCAGGCUCUACAAGUCCAAAUCCAGAAAUUCCAAAACCAGAUGAUAGCUAAGAAACAGGGUAAAUUUCAUCAGAAGACCCCAACAACCAAUUCGGAAGCAAUUCCAGCCAAAACAACCAAUUACAGGCGCAAUUCUCCAUUUCGGGUAAAACCAGAACAGCAAUAGUAAUUUCGACUUUUCUCAUUCUACACUACUCCGAUUGACCUGAAAUUUUGUAGCCGCCUCUAAAAUAUCAUUCCCUACAACUUUCAUGAAGACCACUCAGUCCAGUUCUCACCCUAACUAGGUCAAAUUUUCCAAAACAACUCCAGAUUUUCCAGUUCGAAAUUCACUGCAGAAAUCAACUAGCAGUCCUGCUUUAUUCACUCAUAUCUCAGCACACACAACUCCAAUUCAGGUAAUUCCAAAGCCAUUAGAAAGCUAAGAUACAAGGGUAUAAUUCCUAAGAAGACAUCAACAACCAAAUCGGUAGUAUUCCCAGUCAAACUACCCAAUUACCAAAGCUGAUUACUAUUCUCGGAUAGAAACAGGAUAGCAGGGGUAUUUCGGUCUUUUCACAGGCUACCGAGCUCAGAUUGAGCUGAAAAUUUACAGGUAACUAGAAAACAUCAUUCUCUACAACUUGCAUGUUUUGUGCUAAGGCCAAUUCGGCCUCUAACCUGGUCAAACAGAAACGGGCAGAAUAGGGGUUAGUGAAAGCCUAAUCUGGAAUUCAUGCAUUCAAGUGCUAAUCUUCCACAAAACAACAUCUAAAACAACUAAAAACCACUAAUAAGCAAUUAAUUGAAGUAAAGAGGAUGUUCUUGGCAAAAUACCUUAAAACCACAAGAAAGGUAGGAGCUUAGGCUUUGUCCUCCAAAAAUCCUUCCAUUCAAGUUCCUAAUCUUCCUUAACUAGCACUUUGUAUGGAGUAAUUUGAGUUUCCAAUGGUUGGAACUUAAGAUUUGGCUUGGAUUUGAAGUUGAAGAUGAAACUUUUCCUCUCUUUCUUUCUCUCAAGUGUUCAGCCAAGAAGGAAGAAGAAAUGGGAUAUUUUUGGUCAAAUUUUGGUAUUUAGUAAAGGUAAGAAAGUUAAGUCAAAGUCCAACUCCAAUCGGGUCGCGACACCUAGCACCUUUUAAUUGUAACACUUAUCCUUUUGUCUCUCCAUCAUUAACCAUCUAAGCAACCUCUAAUUAUCUCUUAACAUCCGGUAAAUUAAACCCAGUAUCCAAAACUUAACCUAACUGGCCGAAUUUUUCCGAACUUUUCGCACUAGCGGGUCCCACGUCCGAUAUACGCUCUUUAUUUCUCAAAAACUAACCGAUAUUAGAAAAAUCAUUUUAAAACUAUUUUUGCUCAUAAACUUUAUCUGGGGAAUUUUUCUAAUCAAGAAAAUGUAGAAAAGGCGGGCGUUAAAAAAAAUAAACCCUAGAAAAUUAGAAAAUUUCCGGGUUCUCAAACUCUUUUUUUUUCGGGGCGUCACAUUGAGUGACCUUCUGUAAUGUUGUAGCCCUGUCUUUUAGCUUCGAGAUGGUGUUGCACCCUCAUCCGAUAAUCGUAGUGAAAUUGGUACCAUUACUGCAAAAUGAGGACAAAAACUGUUUUUUUCAGGGCCAAAGUUAAUUGCAUUUCCGGAUUUUCUGGUUACCUAUGAUACUUGUAUAUGCAUAUGAAACCCUAUUGGAGUUGUGAUUGUCAUUGCUUUAUGACUCGUUAUCGAGUCUCAUUGUACUUGUUUACGUGUUCUAGGGCGUGACGGUGGUUCACGACAUUCUCUUGACGGAAGUGCAUGAAACAACACUUAAUUGAUAAGUGAGUAUACUACUCACUUGAAUGUUACAAUGUGGCUUUGCUAUAUGUGAUUUUGAUGCCUUGAAGGCUUAUUUGGCUAUUGGAAUUGAUUGAGGUGAGGGUGUACUUGACCGCCCUCACCCCUUGUGAUACCGUUAAUGACUGUUUACCGCUUCACUGAUACACUGCACUUGCUAUAUGAGAUAUUGAAUUCACUUCGUGAAAAACUGAUUUGGUGUCGUUUGGACAAGUAUCCAACGGCCUUAUUGUAUUAUUGAACUCAACCCCGUUGGUAGUCAAUUGAAUCGAGCCGGCGAGGGCUUGGUCGUGAAAAUUGACAUGCCACGGGGACUGUACUGGGGAAUCUUGUAGUAAUGAGACUCUUGAUUCCGGUAAACUCGAGUAUUACCAAAAGCUACUGAUUGGAGUGCGGGCCCGGUUGGGGUAUGUUUGGUGGAAGGGAUGGGAGUGAAGUGGGUUCUACGGUUGGUACUCUUAAACGUUGACGGAGAGUCAAUGAGAUUGGAUCAAGAAUGUAAGCGUGGAAAUGGGCUCUUGAGAGCCGUCCGUAUCCUUUUACCGACUUGUUUUAUUCUGUAAUUGUGUACUUGAAAUGAAAGGUUAUGCUAUAUGCUCUUUGUUGCUUAUGUGGUAGUAACUCACUGAGCUUAAGCUCAUUCCGUUCCAUUUGUUUUCCUUACAGGAAAUGACCACUUUUGGAAAAGGUUGUGUUAGUUGGUUGUCAUGUUGAACUCAUGUAAAUGUCUUUUGAAUAGCUCUUUGAAUGAAAGCCUAAUGUGUAUUGGGUUCAAUUUCUUUUGAUUGGCAAACCGAACAUGUAUAUCCAUGAUGAAUAGUUUUGAUAUGCCGCUUUGGCUUUUGGCUUGUAAAUGUUACAUUUCAAUGUAUAUAUGUUUGGUUGACAUUUGGUUGGAUUUCGGAUUAACUCGUAUUUCAAACGGCAAAAGAAAAAAUUUGGCUACUCUCGGCCUAGUAUCCGGAUUCUGACGUGGCCGGUACUGUUCAUCAUCGGUUUCGAUUUUUUUUUUUGUGAUUUUGACUUGUUUACGCGCGUGGGUAUGUUCUGGAACGUAUUAGAUCGACGUAAACUGAUCCGUUAGUCCUGGCGAGAGUUGGGCAGGCAGUCCGCUAACCCCUUUGGUUCGCCUUAGGGGAAAGUGGGGCUGUUACACUACCACCUAACAGGGUACCAAUCUAAUGGACAGAAAUUCCCUAGCGUCCAUAGCCAGACGUUCGCGAAUUUCCCUUGGCAGAUGCUAAACAGAGUUAAAGACCAUACUAAGAUACCCUUGCAGAGCCGCUAACCUGUCCGCAACCAUGUUUGCCUCCCAGAAUAUGUGGAUAAAUGACCUAGCCACCUGGUCUAGUAGACGAUGAAUCCGCCUCAGCAAGUUGCAAUGCGACCACCCCCAGAGCCGACGAUUUGACAAGUGAUGCAAGAACUGCAGAGUCAACCUCCACCAUCACCUGCUGAACCCCCUUUGCCGCACACACUCGCAACCCUUCCAGGACUGCUAGUGUCUUGGCCUCCAAGACCACCUUCUCCCCAAACUCCUUAUAAAAAAUAAGUUUACCAUUCGAGUCGCGCAAUACCCCUCCUUCACUCGCCCUUCUAUUGACCAUGCUAGCAUCUGUAUUCAAUUUGUACCGCUGAACUUGGGGUUUGGUCCAUGCAACUACCACCGCCCACUGUUUACGGCCGAUCGAACGAGCCAAACGUGCCCAGUCACUCUCCAUGUCGCCAUAGAACUGUGUCUUUUCAAGUUUCCACGCUCUUCCCAAAUCCUGUAUGAAGUUUGCCACUUCCCAAAUAACCCUCUGUGCUAAAAAUGCUUGCUCUUCGAAUCUCUCCUUGUUUCGACCCUGCCAGAGGAACCAAGAUAUUAAGAUCGAAAGGAUACAUCUAAUAUGAUGGGUAGGGAGGUGAGGCAGUGACGUGGCCCAUUUCGUCCACAAUAGUUGCAGCUCCUCCAUUGGCAAGCGACGUAUGCCAAAUCUAUUACCAAAGUGCCCCCAAACCUCCCGUGCCACUGGACCAUUGACAAAACUGGACCAUUGACAAAUAGGUGGAGCACUAAUUCCUCGUCCGCGAGACAGCAGGAGCAUCGGGACACCAAGGGUACCCCUCUCCGACGGAGCACCGAAUCCACAGGGACAUAGUUCCUUAAUAGCCUCUAAGAGAAAACAGACAUUUUCAGCGGGACCCUCCUAUUCCAAACCAUUCCAUGCAUUGAGGAGCCACCUCUACGUUGCCAACAAAGCGCCCAAGCUGAGCCUAGCGAAAAUCCACUCGUCGCUGACGGUGCCCGCAUGAUCUGGUUCUGCCCCUUUAGGUCGAAAGGGACGUCCACAAUCGAAUCCACGAGGUGGUUCGGUAGCCACUGCAGGAGACGGUCCCUGUUCCACCCUUCCCGUCUCAAGAACUCUGCCACCAAAAAAUGAGAGUUGACACUAUCCGCCGCCACCAAUCCACGGAGAGGACCAAGCUCACACCAAGUGUCAACCAGAAGUCAACCAUACCCAAGCCCAGGCUCCACAAAAUGUGAGCCUCAGCCAUUUCUCAUAUACCAAUUCGGCGCUUCCAUGUACCUUUCGGUCUGGCUACCACUGCUUGCAUUGAAUGCUGGUCCCCGAUAUACCUAGAGAACAUAAAAUCCGACCAGAUAGAUCCCCUCUGCCUCAGUCUCCACCACAACUUAUAAGAGAAGGCUUUGACCAUGUCGUCCAACGACCUCACCCCUAAUCCACCCUCCUCCAUUGGGAAACACAUCUUCUCCCAAGCUGUCCAAUGUAUUUGUUUAGCAUCCUGUGCUUUGUCCCAUAGGAAAGCGUUAAAUAUUCUCCCCAACGCCACUAAGACUGCCUUAGAAGGCUUAAGCACCUGUAGCAGAUACAUCGGCAUCGAAUUCAAGACGAGCUUUAGUAGAAUUAAUUUCCCCCCAGUGGACAGCAGUCUCGUGCUCCAGUGACAGACACGCAUCCUCACCUUCGCAAUAAUCCUGUCGAAGGCUAUUGAAGAACACCUAUCCCGAGAAAUGGGGACCCCAAGAUAAACCAGCAGAAAGAACUGUCGUUGAAACCUAGAAUGCUAGAAACAAGGUCUACUUGCACCUCAGGUGUCCCAGACGGACACGCAAAGCAAUUUUGGCUGCAUUAAUCUUUUGCCCGGAGUACCACUGGUAUAGCUUGAAGAAAUCGGCCACUGCCCCUAAGGUCUCUCUCAACAACCGCGUGAACACAAUGACAUCGUCCGCAAAGGCCAUAUAUGGAACUUUAAGGCCUCUAGUUUGGAAAAAUCUAUGAUGCCCCUGCUGGAACACGGCAUUCAACCCCCUUCCAAAGAACUCGGCAACUAGUACGAAUAGGGUUGGAGAGAUCGGAUCCCCUGUCUGACCCCUUAUGUCAACUUGAAAAAACCCGCCGGUUCCCCAUUGACAAGCACUGAAAACCAAUUAUUUGCCACCAGGCGAAAGAUUAGGUCCACCACAUUUUCUUGAAAACCUGAGCAUGAAGAGGAGGAAAGACCACUCAACUCUAUCAUACGCCUUUCCAUAUCCAAUUAUGACAUAAGGUUCAGACUUUCCAACCGGCGAUCGAGUUCCUGUGCAUGCUCUUGGGCCAGCAGAAUGUUAUCAAUUAUUUGCCGCCCGAGACAAAGCCGGUCUGCCACGGCGAGGUCAAUGAGGGUAGUAGCCUAUUCAACCUAUUGGCCACAAGCUUGGAAAUAAUCUUGGAGCUGACAUUGCACAUACUGAUUGGCCGAAAGUCUUGCCAGGAGGAUGCCUCUUGUGUUUUUGGUAUCAACACAAUUAAUGUGCUGGUGACCCCUUUCGGCAACCAUCCGCCCUUAAAGAAAUUUUGAACCACCGCCACCAACUCCUCCUUAAUUAUCCCCCAACAUGCCUGGUAGAAUCCCGACCCAAACCCAUCCAGCCCAGGGGCACUAUCUAUAUCGAUUGAGAACACAACCUCCCAAACCUCUUCCAUUGACGGUAGCACCAUUAGGCUCUCGUUAUCUCCCCGAGACACCUUGGGAAGGGUGAAAGGCAAUCCUAGGUGACGGUCCGUACUUCUAUCCGAGCUGAACAGUGCCUCAAAGAACGAAGCGGCUUGAGUCCAUCAUAUGUUUAUUUGAUUCAUAUAAUUUUUUUAAUUUUUUUACACCAGUCUAGAUAUUUCUAAUUAGGCAUUUAAUUUUACACCAUUCUAGGAUAUUUUUUUAAUUUUUUUUACACCAUUCUUAAUUUUUAUAUAAAUUCAAUUAGGCAUUUAAUUUAACCAUUUAUUCGUUAUAAUAUUUCUAAUAUCGAAGUAAUUAAAAUAAAAGAAAUUCAUAGCAUGCAUAUAAUUUUUCUCGAGUUCUCACAUUGGAAGGUUGGAUAGACUGUAGAUAGGGAGAAAUGAGACUAGAAGGAAAAAAAAUUGGAUCAUUAAUGAGUGCUUGUUUGAAAGAGUGUUUUGGAUUUAGCCAAACAUUAAAAGAGGAAUAAGGAUCGGAGUAAGUAAGUUUUAGGGGAUCUAAAGGAGUCACUUCUCCUUCGUCCAUGGAGCGAAGAGAUCUCUUUUUUAGGUCCCGUUUGGCAAAUGAGUUUUUUGAAUGUUUGUCUAAAAUUUUAUUGCAACUUACAGUAAAAGUUGUAAGAAAAAUUUUUAGAGUGUGUAAAUUUAAAUUUUUUGAUAUUGUAAAGUGUAUAGUUUAAAACUUUUGAGAAAUUUUUUGAGAUUAAUAUAGUUAAAGUUAUUAAAAAACUUGUAGCAAACAAACUUGGCAAAAAAAACUUGUUUGCCAAACUGGUUCCUAGAAGUAGAACUACCAUUUUCACAAAGCAAACAAAGCUUGUCAAUUACUAUGUAGAAUGCACAAAAAAAUUAAAACUCCAAGCUCCAUAAAGUGAUGCAACAUAAGAAAUGCUUCCUCCGUCCAAUUGACAAUAUCAUACUUUUCUUUUGGUCUGUUCCAAAAUAUUUGUCAUAUUACUUUCCUUUAUUGGUAAGUUUUCAAGUUACCAAUUAAAGACAAUUAAAGACUUGGUAGGCCCAUUAAAGUAAUUUCUAUCAAAGAGAGGAAUUUUGACGUGUAUAAGAACUUAACUCAAUUUAUGGAGAAAUAUGUGUGUUUGGAUAGAGUAUUAUUUGAAAUAUUAUUUGGAAUAAUUAUUGUAGUACUUUUUGUGAUGUGAUGUAUUUGAGAAAAAAAGGUGAUUGAAAAUAUAAAAAGAUGGAUUGAAAAAUGUGUUUAUAAUACAAGCAAAAUAUUAUUUGUAAAAAUUUAGCUAUCCAAAUACUCUCAUUUUGAGGCAUGCUCCUGACUCUCUAUUAGUAGAGUUUGAGUUCAAUAGCUUUCUCUUUUAAAAUGACCCCACAAAACAAAGAGACUUGACAUGACCUUACAAACUUGCUGCCAGGUAUUUGAUUAAAUAAGGGUAAAAAUAGAACUCAAACUCAUAAAUAUAAACAACAUUUCUGUGCAUAAAAAGUUGGAAUCCCUAAUAGGCAUCAGUUCAAAUAAAUCCAAGGGAUAAUUUAGAAAUCUCCCCUAAGAUUUUUGUUAGUAGCACUUGCCUCUUUUGAAGUUUUAGAAAUAUCACAUGCUUCCCUAAUUUGUAUGUUUUCAUGACAUGCUAGCCUAAGUGACACUAAAAAACUAAUUUUUUGAUAGAGAAGAUAAUCUUAUCUCCAAAAUGCUCUUCUGCUAUCCUCAAUUACAAAUCUAAUUUUUGGCUUUAAUUCAAUCUAGUUAUUCACCUGUGCAUUUGUAUGGGUACUUUUUAUGUUUUAAAGUUUUUAUUUUUUGGAACGAAAUAUAAAAGAAUUAAGAGUAUUAUUUAAUAAAAUUUAACAUACAAUGUGUAAAUUAAAAUUUUAAAUUAAAUUGAUUAAAUAGUCAAUUCAUGGUUCAUUCUGUUACGACUAAAAAUGAUUUUGAAAACAAACUAAUAGACAAUGAACUUAUCAUUUGAUUAUAUUAUUUAAAAACUACAAACGAAAAGUAAUUUAGAAGAAUUUUUACAUUUUCGUGUUUAUAUGGAUACCACUUUUACCUAAGUGUCAAAUCACUUAAUUUGAUACUCAUUGUGUUCAUAUGUUAACAAUAGUUCGAUAUAUAUAACCCUCUCUUAAUUAAUAGGAUAGAUAAUUUUAAAUUGGGUAUUAGAUUGUCAUUAAUAAUUUUCUACCUUGAUAAGGAUUCGCAUAUAAAGAGAUAAGUAUAUAAAGAUAUAAGUGGUAAUAAAAGCUAAUUUUAUCUUUCUUGUUCUGCUUAAACUAUCAAAGUCAAUUUAGUUCAUAAUUCAAGGAUGUGUUAAGAUUCUUUAUUUUAUCAAAUCAUGUUUGGGUUGAAUGGUCUAAUUCUGGAGGAUUGUGCAAUUUUGAAAGGGAAAGAAAUAGACUUCCAACAUCGAAAUCAAAUGCUGCCAACUCCAAAUGCUCAGGAUUUUUAGGAACUAGUGUAUCCAUAAAACGGAUUAAAGCUACUAAUGCUCAAUGAUUCUUGAACGCACAUAUAUCUUUGGAUAAGCACUUUACCAAACUUUACCAAAUUGCUUGAGUGCACAUAUAUCUUUGUAUAAGCAAUCCACCAAACGUAUGUGCUCAAAAGAUACAGUCAAGUUCUAAUAUGUCUCUUGUAAUUGAAUUGAUUAAUUAACUAGAAAAAUAUUAUAUCAAGCAAUCAGCGAAUCAUAGUCUACUGAAUUUAGUUUGGCUACACAAUUAGAUACCCUUUAGCAAUUGUUACUCUCUUUGAAGUUCAAUGCUUUCUAACUGAAUUUUCUUUGAAAAUAAAAAAGUAGUCCAUAUGAUUUAGGCAUAUAACAUAUACUUCUUGCACAAAGUAAUGCAUGUUUAAGCAUUUAAACUAAUUUAUCUUGAAAAAACUAUCCUCAAUUUAAAGUCCAAAAUCUUAGAUCUGAAUCUGACUUGGCAAUAUGCAAGCAUCCUAACUCCACAAACAACAAAGAAAAAUAGAUGAUAUAACUAGUAGUUCUAUCAGUUCUCCAAAAUUUUGAUACUUGUGCUGUGUAAACAAAACUUCUACCAUUUUUUGUCAGAAAAUUGUGUCGUUUUCCGUGAUCACAUUUUCCUAUUACUUUUUCCCUCACAUACAUCAAAUCGCUAUAGUAAUUUUUUCAUGACAAAUGACGAAAAAUGCAAUCCAAACGGAUUAGUCUGCAAUGUUGUAGGUACUUCUGCAUUCGGGAUUAGUAAUCUCAAUCCCCACUAUUAUUUAUUUGCCAGUUAUCUAUGUUAAUACAGAAAUACAUCUUUCUUAACCUUCAAUGUUAGCUUAGAUUUAAUAAUAAUUUUAAAUAACCAAACAAUUACUUGUAAAAUUUGACAAACUUUGACAAUUACUAAAUUAAUUUAUGAUUAACUUAGGGAAUGUGACUAACUUUGACAUUUUCGAAAGUACUACUUUUAAUUUAUGUACUGCAAUUGUUUAGUUACUAUGACCAUCCGAUUUCCAUUUACUGAAAGGGUAACAACUCAGCAUGUUUUGUAUAGGUGACAAUAAAGUAUCUUGUUCUUCUAUUCUUCUUCAUUCUUGGUUUGGCUAAAGUUCACAAGUCGCAGGAUACUGUCACAGACCACCAGCAUCAACCACUUUCAUCUCUCUUGCUUAAAACUUUGUUAGCUUUGUUAGAACAGGAGUACAUGUUUAAAAACAAUGAAAAAACCCUCUUGACGUACCUUUUCCUUUUGUUGAACACACUUCUGAUGCACCUACAAAGUAAAAUAGAAAUUAAAUAUAGCCAAAUACAAGAAUGACACGGUCUGUGCCAUAGCGCAAAACUUAAGAAAAGCACUUAUACGUACAAGCAUAAGUUGAUAAGGCUGUAUACUUGAAGAAAUAACAUUUGCUACCAGUAAAUUUUCAAGUAGAGAUGAGGUGAUCUUGUUGCUUGAGCACUUUACACUUUUUUUUUCAAAGAAUUUCCAAGCAGGCAUCACUAUAUAAAAAAAAAAAAAAAAAAAAAAGAGGCAUCACCGUACUCUAUGAAAAAGAUUCAUAACACAUAUGUACUAAAUGUGUAGGGUGUGCCAAGCAGUUCCGUUUUUUGUGAUGUGCUUAAACGUUAUUGGACAAUUUGUGGUCGUCCUUGCAUGUGACAAUUGCACGUGUUUGUGCAAAAAAAAAAAUUCUGAAUGGGAAUGUUGUUAUUAUAUUUUUUAAAGAAUGUUACAUUUUUUUAUUUCUUAUUCUUAUUAUAAUAACUAUUUGCCUUCACUUUCGUUGUAUUCAAAAUCUUUUUGCUAAUCAGAAUAAUGUUUCAAGUGAUGAUAUAAAGCAACAAAUAUCAUACUUAUCUUGCAAAAGUACAAAUCUUGCAUCCAUAAGUAUUGAUAAAUGAGAUAGUAUUAAAAUGAAUCGAACGUGUUUUUACGCGGAAGUUGAUAGCAGCUUAAGAGAAUGGAAAAAUGACAUGUUUCAUCCCUCACAUUUCACAAAAAUAUUCUUUUCGUCCCUCACUUUUAAAAUGAAGCAAAUUCGUCCCUGACAUUUAAAAAUUAAAAUUAUUACAUCCCUAAAUCUAAUUUUUAAUCUGAAUCAAACCAUCCAAUAACCCAGUAAUAAUUUUCGAAAAUAGAAUUGAUAGAUCAUUCAGUCAACUUCAUCAUAUUCACAUGACAUUUAUUAAACCAAAAAAAUAAAAAUUAUAACAUAAAAAGGCCAUUCUUUGUCUUGGAAUAGUAGAGUUUUUUUUUUGGUAAAUCUUUUCAUGCAUCGUUAGUAUAUCCGCUUGCGAAUCUAGAUGUGUAUCAUAAAUAUAAAAUUUGGUGUUUAAAUUUAAAUUAAAAUGAUAUGGCGUACAUAAAACCGUCAGUGUAUACAAUGAUAAUGUAGAAAAGAUUAAUCUUUCUUUUUUAUGUUAUAAUUUUUAUUUUUUUCUUUUAAGGUUCAUUAAAUUUCACAUGAAUAUCAAGUUGAGUUAACCAAGUGAUCUACCAAUUACACACCAAAAUUUGUAAUUAGGUUGAUUGGUGGUUUGAUUCAGAUUGAAAUUUAGGUUCAGGGAUGUAAUAAUUUCAGUUUUUAAAUGUCAAUGACGAAAUUGCUUCAUUUUAAAAGUGAGGGACGAAAAGAAUAUUUUUGUGAAAUGUGAAGGAUGAAACCGAUCAUUUUUCCUAAGAGAAUCCUUUGGUAAUAAUGGAUGCUGAGGAAACUUCUCAUCUAGAUAUUGUACAUUAAAUUCACACUUUACCACAAUUACUUGAUACGACUCAACAUCAAGCACCUAAUCAAGUGAAUAAAUAGAAAUAAAAAAGUAAGAAGCACACCGUCAAGAUGGUAAAGAGUUUGCAUGUACUAUGUCACUUUUUGGAUCCACUAAUUUUUCAAAAAUUAGUUUUUCAAAUACUAUAAAAAUUUUUAAAAAGUACUUUAAAAGAUACUCUAAAAAGUAGUCUAAACUUUUUUAAUAUCCAACAAAUAUUUUAAAAACUCUACUACUCUUAAAUAUUCCAAAAUAUUUUCUAAAAAUAUCCCAAAAUAUAUUCUAAAAACUCUGCUACAGUAAAAUUUUUCAAAAACACCCCCAAAAACAGCAAAUCAAACGGAGUUACAUGUUUAAGCUUCAAAAACUCUAUCUCAAAUUAUCUUAGUUUAGCACAAAAUCCUUGGAAACAAUACAAAUGCCCUAAAACUGAUCUAAACACAAAUUCGUUGCUAAGACUUUCUAAAUAAUUAUGGAAAAAAACAAUGAAGAAACCUUCUUGAUGUACCUUUUUUUCUUUUGUUGAAAAAUAUUCUUGAUGUAUGUGGCGACCCCACUUCCCCCUAAGGCGAACCAAAGGGUUGGCGGGCCGUCUGCCCAACUCUCGCCAGGACUCACGCAAGCAUUCUAACCCAAAUCCUUUAGAAUAAUAACCUAAUCUAUCACAAAACAAAUUUCCCCGAAUAAUAUCAUCACUAAAACCACAUUAACUUCAGAGAUAACAGUGAUAUAAAUAGCCAAUUGAGGCUCUUAAACGUCCCACGUGCUACGUACCAAGGUAUAAAGUCGUACCAAUCCGGAUAGAUAAAUACAUAAAUCCCUAAUACAAACUUACAAGCCAAACAAUCAAAUUAGGGUUUACACAUUUUCCAGCUUCAAGUGGCAAUCCAAAAGGAAGGUACAUUAUCCCAAUUAACGCAUUACAGCCCACAAAAUAAGUCAUAGUAUCCGAAUACAUUUCAAAAGGAAAACAUAAAUAAGUAUCCAAGCUUUCAAUUCCCGGAACCUGUUAAGGAAAACAAUAAACGUGGGGUGAGCUAAAACUCAGUGGUGCCCCAAAACAUGCAAUCACUAAUAUCAAACAGCGGUUAAUAACUUAGCAAAAUUUAAACAGUUACGAAACGUAUAACAGCAGAAGGUAGGAUACAGGGGCUCUCAGGAGCCAUUUUCCUCGCUUGAUCACCAUUUAUCGUAGUUGACCCUCCGUCAACUCUCACUACUUAUAAUCCAUGUAGAGCGUCUCAUUUUGAUACCUAACCCGUCACCAUUCAUACCCCUGUCCCGGGCCGCUCACCGACUAAGGACGCAGUAUAUUCGAGAUAUACCCGUAGAUGAUUGGUCGAGGGAUUCACCCAACGACAUUAUUGUAGUUAGAUUCAUGCGUCGAGGGAUUCACCCAACGACGUAACUACAUUUAGAUUCAUGGUAGUUGGAUUCAGAAGUCGAGGGAUUCACCCAACGACGCAACUACAUUUAGAUUCAAGGAUUCAGGAGAAAAUGUUUUGCACAAGUCACCACUCGAACGGCUAGUGCGAUAAAGUACACACAGCUCACUUCGAUGGAUCAAAAACCAGUUUUGCAAAUUAUCACAUAUCGAGUCAAGAAAGCACUUUAACCAAGUAAGCAUAGAACAGGCAGGGACACUCACCAAGAGUGAAGUUCAGAUGUCAAAUUGGGAAUCGAAUUCCGCGUCCUCGCAAUAUCCUAGAAUACAAAAUUUUGAAACUAUAAGUUUCUAUUCAGUUUUUAAGCUUAUACACAUCGAGGUAUAUCUGAUAUACUACUAGUUUACUUUCCCUUAGAAAAAUUAAGAAUCCACUUAGGUUGAAACUUGACAAAAGUAGUAAAAAUGUUUCUUAUAGUUUUCCUUGAGAUACUUUUCCUUAUAAAAGGUAACUAGUAUUAUUUUCUUGAAAUAAGUCAACAACCUCUUAAGAUCAAAGCUAGAAAGAUAUAUUUGAAAAUUUCUUUAAAGCUAUGGUUCUUGCAAAAAUUAUCACUAAAACUAUUUUACCUAAAAAAAAUAAGGUUUCUUGCCGAGCAAGUUUCUAUGCUUUUAACUAAAAUUAUUAAAACUCGUAUUUUGGAACUUUUCCUAUAGUUAACUAGCCAAGAACAAUUCUUAGAGGAAAGAAAAGGAGUAAAACAAGGCUAGAGUUUUAGAAACUAGGGAAAUCAUUUUCCAAAGGUAAUAAGGCUAGUUUAAACUUAAAGGAAGAAAUAUCGAGUUGGCAAGGUUGAGAAAAUCCCUACAUGACGUUUCUAACAUUAACAUACAGUGCUAGAUUUUUAUCGCACUCUACUAGAGUGAAGAUAUAUGUAAAUAGAUUGUUUUAGAGCUUUUCUCAAGUUCACAGGACCAAAACGGAUUUCCUACGAUUCCGAUUUAUAAGCACGUAAUGUUUCAGAUCCAUCAAUAUAACAAACCAAUAUUUCCAAUAGAAAUCUCACUAGGGCUUCGUCAAUCAUUAGCCCUAGGUUUCAAUAGGUUCAUAUCAAAUCAAGAAUAAAAUAAAUGACCAAGGCUUCAUCAAUCAUUAGCACUUGGUUUUUGGCAAGUUCAUAUCACCUCUUGAAUAAAUCAAAAAUGAAGGUAAGGCCUCCAAGAAAUCCAGCAAUUAAAAUCCAUCACUCUUUAAUAUUUAUAACAUCAUUUAAAAGGCCAAGGGCUUCAUCAAUCAUUAGCCCUUGACAACAUCAAACACUUCCAACCACGAUUCAAUCAGGGAUUCAAACCACAAAUAAGCUAAAAGUUCAAUCCAAAUAAAAAUUCAGUUUCAUGAAGAAACAGGACCUUAAUACAGAACAGUCUACUUUGAGGAUUCACAGACAGCAGUACCCAUGGAGGAAAAAUAUGAAAUUUCUACAGAACAAAGGCCUAUGAUUCUAGUUUCAAAUUCCACUAACGGCACCUUAAACGGAUUUUCCUACACCGAGAUAUAAACAUUUCACUGAGACUGGUCAGGGACAUCCGAAAAUCUGAAAUUUCAUUUUUCACUUGUGAAAACCUCCUUUUUCUCUUUUAACACCAAAAUGUUUUUAUUCAAACCAUCCAUACAUUUCUUAUAGAACUCCAAAACAACAUGUUCCAGGCAUUUCCAUCCAUCAUGUUUCAAGGAAAAAUUUAAAAAAAAAACCAAGUUGAGAUUCCAACUCAACCUUUGGCUAUCACAAAAGAAAUUCCAGCAACUAAUAUACUUUAGAUCAAAUUUUCCCUUGGUUUAAACAUGGUGUUAGGUACUCAAAUUCAGCAUAUAAACACUUAGCUAGCUAUUAACGAUUUCCACUUCAAAACCGGAUUCACACAGCAACUAAAAUCAUCCAGAAAAAUCCAGAAAUCUGUCCAUCAGCCACGGAUGAACAUGCAUGAAGAACGUUCUGGUUUCAUUUUAUUUUCUGGAUUUAAACAUGCUUUUAAACUCUCAACUUCCUCAUGCGAUUACUUAGCUAGACAAUGAACAUUUCCAGUUCAGAAAUCGAGUUCAAACAACAGCCAUUAACAUCAAAAUUUCCAAAAAUUAUUCCAACUUGGCUCGGAUGAACAUGCAUGUGGUAGGAUUGCAUUUUGAUUUAUUAUUUUUUUCUGGUUUAAACUAAUUAAUUAACUACAUGCAGAGCCUAAUUAACUUGUUAUUAACUAUCUAAUUAUGGUUAUAAGCUCAAACAACAAAAUUAAACCAAAUCAGGCUGCAAUAAUCUAGCUAAGCUCUCGGCAGCUCCAAAGCUUGCACAUAACAGAAAUUCUCUUCUUAAAACUCUCAUCCGGCUGCCUAACAUCAACAUGCAUAUUCUUAGAUGGCUUAACCUUCUUGUUAUUAAUUGGUCAAACACUUAAUCGAGCUCAGAUUAUCGCAGGAAAUUAGAAAUGAAGCUACAAUUCCAAGCCAGCUCCUCGGCAGAAACCUCUAGCCAAAACAGAAUUUUGUAUGCUUUAACAACAUCAUCUGAAUGCACAAAUCAACAUGCAUGGUCUUAAUCUUCAAGUUUUCUCUUAGCUAAAGACACUUAGGUGUUCAGAUUGCCACGGAAAAACAAAAUGGAGCUGCAUUAUCACCUCAGUUUCUCGGCAGCAACAUUUCAUCAAAACAGAAAUUUUUCUAAUGGCUUGAUUUCAACAACCGACUGCACAAUCCAUACAUGCAAGCUCUGAUAUAGCUUCCUCUACUAGUAAUCAACUUAAUUAGUCCAGCAAUUACCUCAGAUACAAGCUAAGCUCACACACAAAAUCCAGAAUUUUCUUUCCUUCCUCUCGGCUUCAAGCGCAGGUCGGUUGGUCCUGAUUCCUGAGUUGCGGCUGGAGUGGUGUUGUGGUGAGGUUGAGUUCGGUUGGUUGGAGUUGGAAAUGGCCACAGCUAGGAGAGGAAAAGGUGCAAUGGUCUCCUGGUAUCUUGCCUCAGCUUACGGUCAGAACAGAAAGAAAGAAAUGGCAGCUUGCGUUCCUUCCUCCCUUGCUCUCGGAUGCAGCUCACAAGGUAACUCUCUCUCCUUUACUCUCGGUCCAAGGCAGAGGAAGAGCUGAGAUGCGGUUGUGGAGAGGAAGUGUAGUGGCUGCGGUGGAAUUGUGCAGAGGAAAUGGAAUGGUAAAGAGGCGGUAUCUCGGUAUUAAGAAGGAAAGGAAAUGGUUUUGCGGUUUGUGAUAUGAAUUGGAGAGAAUGGUAUAAGGUGCCGCGGUAUUAGGAGUAGAGGUUGCGUGUGCGAAUCGGUUGCGUAUCUUAUUGGAUAAAAUGUGAUUGGCAAUAGUUGCGGUGAUUGAAUUUGCGGUCAGAGGAUUUGUUUGGUUUGCAUGGAAAUGUAAGGGCAUUUUAGUCUUUUCACUUUGCUCCCUAACCUCAACUUAAUUUCUCAAUUCAACUUAAUUCUAAAAAUUAUCCCCAAGUGUGAUUUGAACGCCUAAUUAUACACUAGUAUACCUAAACCAUUUUUAUCGAAUAAUUAUCGAUUAAACUUUAAUAUUAAGGUUCCUAGUAAUUCCUACAUUAUUUAGCGAUUAAAUUAGUUAUUAGAAUUUCCAAUUAUUAUUUCUCAAGAAAUAGAGUUAGUCUAACUCGAAAUUUAUUGAUUUAGUAAUAUAAAGUCAAGUGAAAUAAUAAUUUAAUCCAAGGGUGUCAAUUUGCACAUAAAAAUUAUUUUUACGCACUUAUUGUGAAAACAAAGAAAGAUAAGGAUAUAUUUAUCGAAAUUUUCACGCCUUAAGUAUGUUUAGUAUAUUAUAUCAUAUUUAUCUAAAAUUCAUUGGUUUUUAUCUUAACGCGAAAUUCUUAUUAACAUUUAACAUUAGCAACUAAUUGGAAUUAAUCAUGGAAUUUAAAUAAUUUAUUUUAAGAUAGUAAGCUAUCGACUCAAGUAUCAUUAAUUUAGCAUAAAGGAAUUUAAGUAUUCAACAUUUUAUGUUAAGGCGAAAAAUUAAUCUAACCCUAAAGAUAUUAAUUUAGUCUAACAAAACCAAGAAAUUUCAUAAUUAGGAAAAUUAUAUUAUUUUUCACAUAAACCUAUUUUUACGUACUUAAUUGCGAACAAGUAAAAGUAAUGCUAGAAAUUAUUAAGAAUAAAAGAAAUGCAAAUGAAAUAUGCACUGGCUUAUAUAUCAUUUUCAGGGUUCUCACAUCCUCCCCUCCUUACAAAGAAUUUUGUCCUCAAAAUUCACACUUUCUAAGGAAAUAAAUCAGGGUACUUUUUCUGCAUUUCUUCCUCCAAUUCCCAAGUUGCUUCCUCAAGUCCAUGAUUUCUCCAUAGAAUUUACCAGAGGAAUUUUCUUAUUUCUCAGUUCCUUUACUUCUCUUUCCAAAAUCUUGACUGGUCCUUCUUCAUACGUUAACGUCUCAUCCACUUCAAUUCCUCCAGUGGCAGCACAUGACUUGGGUCGGAAUAAUAUUUCUUAAGCAUGGAAACGUGAAAUACAUCGUGAACCUUAGCCAUGCUUGGGUAAUUUCAGCUGAUAUGCUACAUUCCCAACUCGCUUCAAAAUUUCGAAAGGUCCGAUAUACCUUGGCUUUAGCUUCUUACCUUCUUAGCACUACUCCGCCCUUCAAGGGUUUAAUUCUUAGGAAGACCUUGUCUCCUACUUCGAAUUCCAAAUCUUUCCUCCUUGUGUCGGCGUAGCUCUUUUGUCUACUCUGAGCGGUUUGAAGCCUUUCUCUAAUUAGUUUCACUUUCUCCUGGGCCUCUUCUAUCCAAGGUAUCGCUGUUGGAUCUACAAUCUUCUUUCUCCUAUUUCAUCCCAAUGAAUCGGAGAUCGACACCUUCUCCCAUACAAAGCUUCAUAAGGUGCCAUUUGAAUUGAGGCUUGAUAACUGUUGUUAUACGCAAAUUCUACUAAGGUCAUAUAAUUACUCCAUUUACCUCCAAAAUCCAAUAUACACGACCUCAGCAGAUCCUCCAAAGUUUGAAUUGUUCUUUCCGACUGCCCGUCGGUUUGGGGAUGGUACGCAGUACUAAAUUUCAACUUGGUCCCCAAAGACUCCUGAAAUUUCUGCCAAAAACGCGAGACAAACCUUGGGUCUCGAUCAGACACGAUACUUACAGGAAUACCAUGUAAUCUUAGGAUCUCUUCUGUGUACAACUUGACCAGUUUUUCCAAAGAAAAGCUCAUGCUUACGGGUAGGAAAUGUGCAGAUUUAGUGAGUCGGUCAACUAUUACCCAAAUUGCAUCAAAUCCUUUUUGGCUUCUAGGCAAUCCCGUUACAAAAUCCAUUGUGAUAUGUUCCCAUUUCCAUUCAGGGAUUUCUAACGGUUGCAAUAAACCAGAGGGCUUCUGAUGCUCAGCUUUUACUUGUUGGCAGAUCAAGCAUUCUGAACAAACUCUGCCACGUCCUUUUUCAAACCUUCCCACCAGUAUAAUCCUUCACAUCAUGAUACAUCUUGGUCACACCUGGAUGUAUGGUAUACUUCGAUCGAUGUGAUUCUUUAAAAUUUCUUUUCUUAUCUCUUCAUCUGCCGGAAUCACAAUUCGAUUUCGGAACCUCAAUACACCUUCAGACCCUAAUUUAAAAUCUAGGGUUUCCCCUUUUUGCACUUUCUCCAAAUUCUUCUGAAUCAUAGGGUCCGUUUUCUGGCCUCCUUAAUACGCUCUAGUAAUGGCAUUUUAACGAUAAGUUCCCAAGUAAUAUCUUCAGUUUCUCCAAACGAGGGUUCCAACCACUUAUUUCUUCUAGCAUGUCCCACUCUUUAACCAUUAACCCUGCUACUUGGGCCUUUCUACUUAGAGCGUCAGCUACCACAUUAGCUUUUCCUGGGUGGUAGUUAAUUGAACAGUCAUAAUCUUCCAGAAAUUCUACCCAUCGCCUUUGUCUCAAAUUUAAUUCCUUCUGGGAGAACAAAUACUUAAGGCUCUUAUGGUCCGUAUAAACCUCAAAAGUCACGCCAUACAAGUAGUGUCUCCAUUUCUUUAAGGCGAAAAUCACUGCUGCUAACUCUAGGUCAUGAGUUGGGUAGUUUUGUUCGUGAGGCUUCAGUCUCCUGGAAGCGUAGGCAAUCACUUUACCAUUUUGCAUUAAAACACAUCCUAGACCUUCUCCAGAAGCAUCGGAGUACACGGCAUAACCUUCACCUCCAUCAGGUAACACCAAAACAGGAGCGGAUGUUAAACGCUUCUUUAAUUCCUGAAAACUUGACUCGCACUUCGGAGUCCAAAUGAACCUAUUCCCUUUCUUGGUUAGCUCGGUCAUGGGUCCAGCAAUUUCGAAAAAUCCUUGAUAAAUCGCCUAUAAUACCCUGCUAAUCCCAAGAAACUUCUAACUUCAGUUGGGCUUUCUGGCUGCUUCCAAUUCAUAACGGCCUCAACUUUUGCCGGAUCCACGGCAAUUCCCUCCUUGGAAACUUUAUGUCCUAGAAAAGAUAUUUCAUCCAGCCAAAACUCACACUUGCUGAAUUUGGCAUACAGCUUCUGCUCCCUUAAUAUUUGCAAGACUAUCUCCAAGUGCUUAACAUGUUCCUCUCGAGUCUUAGAGUAUAUCAAGAUAUCAUCGAUGAAAACCACUACAAACUGAUCCAGAUACUUCUUAAAGACUCUCUGCAUUAAAUCCAUGAAUGCCGCUGGUGCAUUAGUUAAACCAAAAGGCAUGACUGCGAACUCAAAAUGUCCAUAUCUCGUACUAAAAGCAGUCUUGGGUAUAUCCUCCUUCUUAAUCUUUAACUGAUAAUACCCUUGCCUCAAAUCCAGCUUAGAGAAAACUACUGACCCUUGCAGUUGGUCGAACAAACUAUCUAUCAACGGUAGAGGGUAUUUAUUCUUAAUUGUAACCUCAUUUAACCCUCGGUAAUCGAUACAUAACCUCAAGCUUCCGUCCUUUUUCUUAACAAAUAGAACGGGUGCUCCCCACGGUGAAUCACUCUCCUUCACAAAACCUUUCUCCAAGAGGUCUUGCAGUUGAAUUUUCAACUCCUUUAGCUCGGCAGGAGCCAUUCGGUACGGAGUUUUAGAAAUUGGAGCCGUUCCAGGCACCAAGUCAAUCCUAAAUUCCACUUCUCUUUCCGGCGGUAGAGUCUUUAGCUCUUGGAAAAACAUCCGGAAAUUCCCGUACCACUGGUACAUCUUCUAACUUCACUUGAUCACUGGGAGCAUUAAUCAAGAAGGCUAAGAAACCUUGAGCUCCUUUUGACAACAUUUUCCUCGCCCGUAUCCCUGAGAUCAUAGCAGAUGAUGCUAACCUACCCUUAACAUCUAACCUCAGAGUUGCUUCUCCAGGUAUACAGAAUUCUACCACUUUCGCUCGGCAAUCAAGCUUAGCAUGAUACUGGCCUAGGAAAUCCAUUCCUAUGAUAACAUCGUACCCUUUAUGUCCAGACUGAUUAGAUCCACUAGCAUUUUACGCUCUCCAAUCCAGAAUUCACAAUUCUUAUAGGCUAAGCUAGCGAUUAUCUUCUUAUUACCCAUUGGUGUCCUAACUUCAAGAUCGAAGGGUAAUCUAACAGGUCUCACAUCUAUUCCAGACAUAAAUGAUGGAUUUACGAAUGAAUGAGUUGCACCAGGGUCAAUUAACACUUUAGCUAAUCGAUGAAAAAUGGGGAGAGUACCUUCCACGACUUCCGAGGAAUCAGGUACAGGUUGGUCAUCUAUAGCAUACACCCUGGCAGGAACUGUUGGCCGGCUCCCUCCAGAAGUGUUUGGUCUAGCGUUGGAGUACUCCCUUCCUGCAUUUUUGGACAUCCAGCAAUUUGGUGCUCGCUACUUCCGCAUCUCAAGCACUUCCCUUGCUUCUUCCAGCAACCAUCUAUAGUAUGGCCAGGUUUCUUACAAAAUGCACAACUCACUUGGGAAACUAUUGCUCGGCCUCCUUGCCGAGUAUUCCUAGCGUUGUCCCCUUCCAAUCGGUCCCACUCUAGUUCCAUUAUUUCGUCCCCCUGCAUUCCUGGCCCCGUUUCCCCUUGCUUGGGCGCUCAUGGUGCUCCAGGAUAUUCACUCCAAUAGUUCCUCGGCCCACUUUGGCCGGUGGAGCAUUUCAUACGUCGGCUCCCGACUACUGCUAGGAGCAAAUCUUUUCUUGGCCUGAAAAGAUUUCACUUGAGCCCUAGCUAUUUCAACUCUCUGGGCUUUCUCGACGGCAUCUGCAAAAGUAUCUAUCCUCACGGCAGCUAAACCUUCCUGCACUUCUACAUUCAGACCCUGCACAAACCUUCUGACUCGCCUUUGCUCCGUGGCUACCAAUUCAGGAGCAAAACGGGAUAGCUUUGUGAACUGGACUUCAUACUCGGCGACAAUCAUCGCCCCCUGCUUACAUUUUAUGAAAUCAUCCUCCCUCUUUUCUUGGAUGAGAGGUGGAAGAAAUUUUGCAUUGAACUCCCUUGUGAAGUUUGCCCAAGUCCUUGGAGUAUGAUUCCUGUCCCAGUUAGUCCUAACCAGAUUCCACCAGGAGCGAGCAGCUCCCUCAAACUGGAAUGCGGCAAAAGUCACCUGCCGCUCUUCCGUGUAGUUUAAAGCUGCGAAGAUGUCGGAGAUUCUCUCCCACCAUCCUCAGCUAUCUCAGGUUCGGGUCCUCCGUAGGACUUAGGAGGUCCAAACUUUAGAAACCUUUCCAGUGCCCGAUCCUCGAAAUCGACUGGGCCUCCUUGGCGGUGCACUGGUCCAGCGGCUUGGUGUUCAGUCAAGCGCUUUAGGACGUCAGUGAUAUGGUUAAUUGCGGUGGCCACUUGGUCUCUGGCCACGCCCUCUUGCCCUUGGCCUUGAUUGACCUCGGGUCCCCUAUCACCACCCGCUUCCGGGUGUUGUCUAGUGGGUCUCCCACGGCUCCUUCCUAUCAUUUGGCGAUUCUCAUUGCCUAAUUAUGCCUAUUACUGAAGGGUAAGACAAUUAGGCAAAAAUUUUAUUUAUUUUUUUAAUUAUUAUGAUUCGUUUUGUGAUUAAAAACCAACAUUGAAAUAGAGGAAAAGAAAAUGAAACACUUAACAUAUAUUUCCAUGGAACAGUCAUACAAUUAACAAGUUGGAACAUUUCCAAAAGUAAGGCACAUAAGUUAGCAAAAAUACAUACAGAUAAUCCUUUAAACAAAAAGUAGGGAUAUGGUGCCUCGGAAACAAGUCAUUCACCUAGACAAAAUUUGAUGACUUGACUAAUGUCCCUGUUCUGAUCCUACAUAUCUAAUACUGCCAAGUCAACCUAAUCUAACCCUCAGCAGGCCUAUCAGGAGCGACGUCCUCAGCCGGAUCCUCCUCCGUGCCCGCCUGUUCGUUAUCCUGAAGGUAACUAGUGGUCUCGCCCAUAAGCAUAACGGCAUCAGCCCUGAUGCCAGCACUCCUAUCACGAAUCCCCUCAGCAAGUCGGUCACUCUAGACCUCUGUCGCUCUAUCUCCAAACGAGCAGCCUCCAGCAUAUUAUGCUCAGCAGUUAGCCUAAUCUCCAAAUCGGCUAUGCGGUCGAACUGGGUAUCCACCAUGAUACUCAGCUCCUCUACAUCUUGGGUCAAGGUGUGGUUAGCGUUCCACAAGUGGCGCGCUCAUCGUCAAGAGAUAACACCAACGCGUUGGGAUACGCGUACGUGGCUCUACACUGGCACCUAGCGGUGCCUAUCAGCUGGUGAGUAUCUAACUCGGUCUCCCCACCUCGAGGUCUAUAGGAAAUGGAUCUUAGCGGCUCUACAUGUCCAUUAGCCUCGCUACUACCAUUAACAUGCCCAUUACCAUUCUCCAUACCUGCAAAAUAAUCAACACUUAAAGGUUAGAACUUAAAUAGCUAACCGGAUCGUAUAUUACUUAAGGUAUUUCUAAUGGUCUCAAUUCUUAUUCCUAGAGAGGAUUAGGGUUUCUAGCACACCUAAUAUGUCCUUUAAAUAACUUUUCUAACCUAGGCUCUGAUACCACCUGUGGCGACCCCACUUCCCCCUAAGGCGAACCAAAGGAUGCGCGGCCGUCUGCCCAACUCUCGCCAGGACUCACGCAAGCAUUCUAACCCAAAUCCUUUCGAAUAAUAACCUAAUCUAUCACAAAACAAAUUUCCCCGAAUAAUAUCAUCACUAAAACCACAUUAACUUCAGAGAUAACAGUGAUAUAAAUAGCCAAUUGAGGCUCUUAAACGUCCCACGUGCUACGUACCUUGUAACAGCCACCUUCCCCUAAGGCGAACCAAAAGGGUUAGCGGACUGCCUGCCCAACUCUCGCCAGGACUAACGGAUCAGUUUACGUCGCUCUACUACGUCCCGGAACACACCAACGCGCGCAACAAGUCAAAAUCACAAAUAAAAAAAAAAUGAAAAGCGAAGCCGAUGAUGAACAGUACCGGCCACUUCAGAAUCCGGAGUUCAACCAAACAUCAAUCCAACAUAUACACAUCGAAAUUUAACAUUUACAAGCCAAAGCGGCAUACCAAAAUAUCCAACAAGUUCAUACAUGUGCAAUUAGCCAAUUACAAACCAACCAUUGGUUGAAACAAAACACUUAGGGUUUUCACCCUCAAGGAGCUAUUCAAAAUAUACAUUUACAUGAGCUCAACUUGACAACCAACUAGCACAACCUUUCCCAAAAUAGUCAUUUUCCUGUAAGGAAAACAAAUGGAACGGAGUGAGCUAAAGCUCAAUGAGUUACUACCACAUAAGCAACGAAGAGCAUAUAGCAUAACCUUUCAUUUCAAGUACACAAUUAAGGAAUAAAACAAAUCGGUAAAAGGAUACGGACGGCUCUCAAGAGCCCUUUCCACGCUUACAUUCUUGAUCCAACCUCAUUGACCCUCCGUCAAUGUUUAAGAGUACCAACCGUAGACCUCACUUCACUUCCAUUCCUUCCACCCAACAUACCCCAACCGGGCCCGCACUCCAAUCAGUAACUUUUGGUAAUACUCGAGUUUACCGGAAUCAAGAGUCUCAUUACUACAAGAUUUCCCAGUACAGUCCCCGUGGCAUGUCAAUUUCAUGACCAAGCCCUUGCCGGCUCGAUUCAUUUGACUACCAACGGGGUUGAGCUCAGUAACACAGUAAGGCCGUUGGAUAUUCGUCCAAACGACACCAAAUCAGGUUUCCAUGAAAUGGAAUUCAAUAACUCAUAUAUCAAGUUCAGUAUCACAGUGAAACGGUAAACAGUCAUUAACAGUGUCAAAAGGGGUGAGGGCGGUCAAGUACACCCUCACCUUAACCAAUUCCAAUGGCCAAGUAAGCCUUCACGGCCUCACAAUCACAUAUAUCAAAGCCACAUUGUAAACAUUCAUGUGAGUAGUACACUCACCAAUCAAGUAGGUGAUGUUUCAUGCACCGUCGUCAAAAGUACGUCGUGAACCACCGUCACGCCUAAAACACGCAAACAAGCACAAUGAGACUCGAUAACGAGUCAUAAAGCAAUACCAAUCACAAUCCCAAUAGGGUUUCAUAAGCAUAUACAAGCAUUAAAGGAAACCAGAAAUUUCGGAAAUGUAACCAGCUUUGGCCCUGAAAAAAGUUUUUGUCCUCAUUUUACGUAAUGGUACCAAUUUCACUACGAUUAUCAGAUGAGGGUGCAAGACCCACCAUCUCAAAGCUAAAAGACAGGGCUACAACAUCAUAGAAGGUCACUCAACCCAGUUUUGAGUGCAAACAGGUCAAAAAUGCAAUAUACUACAUCAAAAACGUAAAACAGAUUCACCAAAAUGUAUUCUAGCGGAAACAUCAUAACUCAGGCUCUACAAGUCCAAAUCCAGAAAUUCUAAAACCAGCUAAAGCUAAGAAACAGGGCUACAAUAAUGUAGAAGAUCACUCAGUCCAAUUCCUAGCACAACCAGGUCAAAUAUGCGAGAUACUAAACCAGAACCACAAUAACGGGUUCACAAACUACAUUCUGCUGUAAUCAGUACAACUCAGUCUAUACAGGUCCAAAUUCAGAAAUUACAAAGGCAUAUGGUAGCUAGGACAUCAAGCUACAUUUCAUCAGAAGACCUCAACAACCAAAUCCAAAGCAAUUCCAGCCAAAAUAACCAAUUUCAGACGCAGUUCUUACUUUCGGAUGAAUCCAGAAUAGUAAUAGUAAUUUCGACUUAUGUCAUUCUACACUACUCCGAUUGACCUAAAAUUUUGUAGGCACCUCUAAAAUGUCAUUCCCUACAACUUUCAUGUUUUAAGCUAAGGCCAAUUCGGCCUCUAACCAUGAGAUAUAAAACCGGACAGAAUUGGGAUAUAAAACCCUAACUUUCUCAAAUUCCUUCCAAACCAGAAAUUGGUUACAAUUAUCUAUCAUAUACACCUACUAGAGUCAUUAAACAUCAGUUCCCAUCAUCAAGGAUAGCCACAACAUCACAUUCAUAUUAAACCAGAAAAUUCAUCAAUAAAUUGAAAACUUCACCAAUUCAUCUCAAACCAAGAAAUAAACCACAAAAUUCAUCACUUUAACUACCACUAGGCACUAAUUAAGCUUCAUUAAGUGAAGGAGAAGGUUCAAUCACCACUCACCUAGUAAACAAGAGAGGAAGAGUUGCUUGUCCUCUUAGCUUCCCAAAACACUUCACCAAACCACUUACUAACACCUAAAGAAGAGAUUUUAUGGAGUAGAAUCAAGUCUAAGUGAUUGCUUUGGAUGAUUUGCACUAGAUGGAUGCCAAACUUUGAAGAGUUUUUCUUCCUUCUUUGCUAGAGAGGACCGGCCACAAUGGUGAAUAAAAGAGUGAAUUUUGGGUAAUUUUUGAGAUAUUUAAUCCAAGGGUAAAAAGUAAAAAAGGUGAAUAGUUGUCAACAAGUCACAACUUCUCACAAAGUGACACUUGUCACUCAUUUAAACAUCUCUAUCCUUUUGGUUCCCUCUCACAUCAAUCACAUCUCAACUCUACUUAUCUCUUAAUGUGAGGCCCCAGUCCGUUCUAUGUUAAUAAUUCAUUAGUUGGGCGGUAACGUUUGGUUUCGGGAGUAUUUCGAAAACCCUAAGUAGGGAUUUAAGAUUUAAACCCUAGUUAUGUAUUGGUUACAAGUUCGAGUGGUGAUUAAAGUUAGUAAGAUUAAUGUGUGUCUUAGUGUGGGUAAGAAUAGGUUUAAUCCAUUUGUAUAGAUUAAUUAAGUUUAAGAAGGUUAGAAACCCUAAGUGAGCAAAAUCCCUAAUGUUAUGAUUUAUUAGAAGUUUUAAGUGGGUUUAAACCUAAUUUUGCCCUUGACAAAAAGGUUAUUGUUUAACUACUUUUAUGUGGAUAAAGUAUGCUUAAGUGUAAGUGAUUAAGAUGAGAAAGUGAUUAGUGAAAUAAUUAAGCGUGAUUAUAUGUUUUAGAUUAGAUUAAGUUAUGACUUAUGGAGUAAAUUGAAAGGUUAUCAAAUGUUGAGGGAAAAUGUAUAUGAAAGAGAAAGUUGAAGUGCAAGGGUGAAAACAACAAAUAAAGCAUUUAUGUGAUUGGCUAGCCAUAAGAAAUAUCUUCCAAAGCUUUGACUAAUAUGUUGUCUUACAACUAUAGAGAGACAAGAGAAAUAAAACAAAACAAAAACUAAGAGAAUAAGAGAGAGUGAGAGCCGUGAGAAGAGAAAGAAAAAAAGAAAAGGAAAGCUUGCUUUGGUGCAUCAUUUUUGCUCUUCAAUCUUGAGUUUGGAUCUUGGAGAAACAACUUGAGCACUUGAUUGUUGUAGGUGAUCAUCUACAAAGCUUGAAUCAAAGGUAAGAAAGUCUAUUUGAAGACUUAAGUUGAUAUUGUUUUGAUGAACUAGUGGUUAUUUUGGCAUAGGACCUUAGUUGUGCUUGAUUGGGUACCUCUUAUGCCUAUCACUUGUUUUUAUGGAGUACUUUGUUAAUUUUUGGUGAUUUAUGCUGCUGGAAAUUUCGGUCAAGAGAAAGAGAAUUAGGGCUUUUUAUUGUAAUGCUUUCCUUACUUGUUUUAGUUGAGAAGUGACUUGUAGUGUGGUGUUUGAUGAAUUGCCUCAUGUGAUUGGUUGGUUACUUGAAAAAAAAUCUGAUUUGGGUUAAGAAACCCUAGACUCUAUUAGACUAAUUUAGCUUAGCUUAUGGUUAGUGAGAUAGAGUUUGGUUAGUGAGAGUUGGAUUAAGUUCAUUGGUGCAAAUGAAAUUUGGUUAGGGAUUGUGGUUGAUGAUUGUUAAAUUUGGACUGUUUUGGGAAGGGAAUUUCGGACCAAUUAAGAACUAAGUUACAUAAGGUUAUUUGGUAUCAAAAUGGAUGGAAAUCUUGUAACAUCCCGAAUAUUAGGAGGUUGUUUGUGAAGAAAAUAUUAAAGUAUAUUUUUCGGGUUUGAUUUAAAACCUUUUUCGUUUUAAACGACUAGAAACCCUAAUGUUUUAAUCAAAAACCUAGUUUACUUGUGACUAAACGGUUUCUUAAAUCUUUCAUAUUUUACUAGAGAUUCUAAUGUUAAUUAUUGAAAUUGUAAAUUCCUCACGUUUUCUUAAAAAUUUCCUUUUAUUUGAAAAUUAUUAUUUAUUAAGGCCCUACUACCCAAUUGUUCAACAAUAAGUGAGAUGAACCUGGAAAUAGGGUUUUACACUUCGGUUUAAGAUUUGAGCAAAAUUAGGGUUUUCGCGAUUUUUCGCCGGAUGAAUUUCGGUACUGACCAAGGAUCAAUUUGGUGAUUAAAAGUGACUUUUAAGUGAAAAAUCAUAUGUGAGUAGUAGCAAUGAUAUAAGGUUAGAGUAUGGGAAGAAAAAAAAUAGUAGUACGUGAGUUUUUAAGAAAAACGGCGCGAACCGGCGGGUCCCGCGCACUACCGGUUGAACGUACCACUUGACCACCACUUUCUUACCAUACAAGCUUAUUGACUUUUGAGCAAAAUAUCUUCUUGUUUGGCAGCUGCUUUGACCGAAAAUUUGAGGCUAGAAAAUAGCAAGGAAGAAAGAGAAAAAUGAAAGGUGGUGGUGGCGACAAGUGUCGCCACCCUAGAGUUUCUUGGCCAAGUGAUUAACUAGCCUUCUUAAACCAAUUUUCUGCACUUUCCUCUUCAUUUUUCCAGCAGCUGGUCGACCAAGAGGGAGAGAGAAAGUGAGAGCAAGAAACAAUUCCUUCUUCUUGAUUCUAACCAACCAAGUGACAAAUUAAAUUUCUAAACCGAUUAAACUUACCUUUGAGUGAUUAGUUAGUGAUUGUUGGUGAAAUUUUGGAAAGAGAAAGCUUGGGCUACACUUGGUGAACUCUAAUCAAGGUAAGAGGAUGAUAUCUCUCUAACUUUCUCUUUCAAUCAUGGUUAAAGUAAGCUUAGUAGCUUGAUUGGUGGUGGAUUCAUGGAUGCUAGCAUGUGUAGAAGUUUUUCCCCAAUUUAUUUGAUGAACUAGGGCUGUGGAAUUUCUGCCCAACUUGAUGUAUGAUGCUUGUAUGUUACAAUUAAUGUUGUAUAAGAUGUUUUGGUAGUGUGAGAGGUGAGAAAUUGGGGAAAGUUGCACUAGAAACUACAAAUUUCAGAUUUCUGGAAAUUCUAGCUUACAUUCUGUCCGAAUUUGUAUCUGUGUGUUAGAGGCCGAAUUGGCUUUGGUCAAAGAAGAAAGUUGUAGAGAAUGGUAUUUUGUAGGUGCUGUAAAAUUUCAGCCCAAUCGGAGCAACGUAGGUCAUGAAAAGUCCGAAAUACCCUUACUGUUUCAAAUAUUUCCCAGCAGUCCGUUUCAUCAGUUAAGUCCAGUUUAUCACGUUUUUUGACUAGGAGCCGUACUGAUUUAGCUCUGGGCCAAAACAUGAAAGUUAGUAUUCUGACUUAGCUUUUAAAUGCCUCUAAGAACACCUGAUUCGGACUUUUGUACUCUGAGAUAUGACCAUUACAGGGUAAUGCGGUUAUAUAGCCGACGAAUUGGUUUCUGGUUUAGUAAUUUGAGGAUUUGACUAAGCUACAUUAGGAACUGGACUAAGUGACCUUCAUGAACAUUGCAGCCCUAUAUCUUAGCUUCGAAACGGCAUAGGUUACGCCUCAAUCCAAUAAGCGUAGCCUCGGAUAUGUUAUUUCCGCAUUCGUACGUCAAAUCUGUCUUGUGCUAAGUUGAAUUUCUGCACUUGUCAUUGUUGUGAUUCUUGUUAUUAUGAUAUUGUGAGCCUAUGGAACGGCUCUGGACAUGAAUUGUUGACAUAUGUGAUUGGGUUGUGGUUGAGAAAAAUAAUGAAGCCUAAAUGGCUGGAAAAUUAGGUAAACACAAAGGGCAUGCUGCCCGAAUUUACGCUCGAGAACUAUAUAAAUACACUUGCGACUUGGGUCGAAUUGAUAUGAAUAGUGCUUGAACCAUCUAGGGUACUUGAGUAUUUUUGUUCCGGGGUAUAUAAGGAAGGACUUGGCCGAACUUGUACCCUUGAGAAAGGAAAUAAUGAUUGCUCGGAGUAUGUUUUCCUUAUACUUUCGACUUGCAUGGCAUUUUCAAGUAUAAAUGUUACAAAGUUUUACCAUUUAAAAAGCGAGCAAGUGUUUCACGACUACCAUCGAGUGAAUUUCAAUUUCUUGAUUUUAUUGAACGAAACGUCUAAGUUUCGAAUCUUAGUCAUGUUUCAAAGUUCUCAAACUGAGUUUUAUCGCAGAUUUGGACUCCGAACCCGGAGUAUAACCUGAAAGUGACCAGUAAAGGCACUAUAUCUUUUGGUGAGUGCUUUCAAAUACCGAAUUGCACUAGAUACUUGAACUUGAUACGUGACCAUAUGAGUACAUGUUAUAUACGUGAAUUGAUAGGGCAAGAGUGUACUUUAUCGCACUUGCCCUUACGUGAUAUACUUGUUUAUUGUUGCAAUUGACUUGAUAUACUUGAUUAUGAUGCGCGCACUUCCUGGAAUUCCAGAAACCCUGUGGCGAGUUACUCUAGUCGAGCCGGCAAGGGCUUGGUCGAUUGGGUAACGAACCCUGGGUCUCUUGUAUUGUCGAGUGGAGUGAUAUCUCCUCGACUAAUCGGUAUACUCGAGUAUUACCACCCGUGUUCUUGAGGAUUUUGGGCCCAGCUGGGGGUUGAACGGUGGACGGAGAGUCGUUUAAGUGGUGUUCUACUGGAUUGGUUACUUACUUGAAAGUUGACGGAGUGUCAACUACUACGGAUCAAGCUUCUGGUAAUGUAAUGGGAAUUUGGCUCCUGAGAGUCAUCCGUAUCCUUAUGCUUUGGAAUAAUUAUUGUUUAUUGGAUUAUUGUUUCUUUUGAAAAAUUUUCUACAUUCGCUCAUUUUAAGAUUGCUACUUGACGUGUUAUUGCUCACUUUAUGAACUCUUCAUGCUUGUUACUUUGCUAUAUCGAAAACUUGUACUUCUAAAUAAUGGUCAAUUUGCUAUUUGGAACCUCACUGGGCUUUUAGCUCAUUCCACUCCAUUUGUUUUCCUUUCAGGGGUACGAGCGAGGUGAGAUAUGUAAAGUCUAGCAUAGACUAGUUGUUUGAUUUUUGACUUGUACUCGCGCUAUUCCUCGAAUGAAUGUUGUACUUGGAUUGUAUACUUGAACUAGUUUGGUAUAUUGAGACUUUGUACCUCGAUUUCUAUCAAUGUAAAUUAUAAGCUUGAAUUGGGAAUGUUAUUUAUGGUUCAUGGAUGUGUGUACAUUAUUCGAUAGAUAGUGAGUGAGUCCUGGCGAGAGCUGGGCAGGCGGUCCGCCGAACCCUUUGGUACGCCUUAGGGGGAGGUGGGGUCGUCACAGAUGGUAUCAGAGCUCCUAUUGAGCUCGUGCCGGGAGAGGUUCUGGACUGUGGGGAUUGGCUUGUUAAGUGUGGAACAAUUGUCUAUUGUUGGAGACCUUAGUUAGUUAUGCCAGGUAGGAAUCUCUAAUAUGGAAUUUACUCUUGGGACCGGCCGGCUCGAGUUGUGAAUUGUCUUAUUGUGGAUUCUUGUACUUGGGUAUCAUAUAGUGAAGAGCGUUAGAAUAAGGGUCUGUAUCUUGAUUGCACUUGAGGUGAGUUUUGAUGGAAAGGUUAAAGCGUGGAUGAUUCUAACAUUUAACCUUGUUAUUGGACGAUCAAAGGGGUUUGCAAUACUUGAACUGUCUGAGACAGACUAAAAUGAGCUCAUUUGGGACUUGAACUUGUUUUGGCGAGUGUGCUCUUACGUACAUGUAAUGGACCUGAUUUGAUUUUUACACAUGAGUAAUAUGACCUAUAUGUGGAUUUGAAUUCGGCGACUGUUUGAGAAUGUGAAUUGCUGGGUAUAGGCUAGUCGAGUGAGUUCUUAUUUGUACCCGUGCUUCUUGAACUUGAAGUAAUUGAAUCUACUUUUGAACUUAUAUGUUUGAACCCUGCUUUGACCUUGCUUUUGAACUUAUUCGUAUUUGUGGGCUGUAGACCAGCUACUUCUCCUCUGUAGCGGUUGAACUAAAACUCUCUGGUGAGCCUUUGCCUGUUGUGUUUCCAAGCACCGCCAGGGGUAAAAUUUUCGACUUGAGAAAUUUUCGACUUGAGGCUAAGCCAUGUUCUAAAUUUUUCGAAUAUCUGAGACUUUACUUUCAACUCAGGGCUAGUUAUGUGAAUUGAGCCCUUUUUGCAUGAUCUAUUUGGUUAUCUCUUAGCUCUUUACUAAAUGAUAAGGUCAUAUAUAAGGGAUUGGAGUGAUUUCUAGUACCUGAUUGACUUUAAAGGACUCUUAGUACCCGUUGGAAUUUCGAGGGCGAAAUUCUUUUAAGGAGGGGAGAUUGUAACAUCCCGAAUAUUAGGAGGUUGUUUGUGAAGAAAAUAUUAAAGUAUAUUUCUUCGGGUUUGAUUUAAAACCUUAUUUCGUUUUAAACGACUAGAAACCCUAAUGUUUUAAUCAAAAACCCUAGUUUACUUGUGACUAAACGGUUUCUUAAAUCUUUCAUAUUUUACUAGAGAUUCUAAUGUUAAUUAUUGAAAUUGUAAAUUCCUCACGUUUUCUUAAAAAAUUUCCUUUUAUUUGAAAAUUAUUAUUUAUUAAGGCCCUACUACCCAAUUGUUCAACAAUAAGUGAGAUGAACCUGGAAAUAGGGUUUUACACUUCGGUUUCAAGAUUUGAGCAAAAUUAGGGUUUUCGCGAUUUUUCGCCGGAUGAAUUUUCGGUACUGACCAAGGAUCAAUUUGGUGAUUAAAAGUGACUUUUAAGUGAAAAAUCAUAUGUGAGUAGUAGCAAUGAUAUAAGGUUAGAGUAUGGGAAGAAAAAAAAACAGUAGUACGUGAGUUUUUAAGAAAAACGGCGCGAACCGGCGGGUCCCGCGCACUACCGGUUGAACGUACCACUUGACCACCACUUUCUUACCAUACAAGCUUAUUGACUUUUGAGCAAAAUAUCUUCUUGUUUGGCAGCUGCUUUGACCGAAAAUUUGAGGCUAGAAAAUAGCAAGGAAGAAAGAGAAAAAUGAAAGGUGGUGGUGGCGACAAGUGUCGCCACCCUAGAGUUUCUUGGCCAAGUGAUUAACUAGCCUUCUUAAACCAAUUUUCUGCACUUUCCUCUUCAUUUUUCCAGCAGCUGGUCGACCAAGAGGGAGAGAGAAAGUGAGAGCAAGAAACAAUUCCUUCUUCUUGAUUCUAACCAACCAAGUGACAAAUUAAAUUUCUAAACCGAUUAAACUUACCUUUGAGUGAUUAGUUAGUGAUUGUUGGUGAAAUUUUGGAAAGAGAAAGCUUGGGCUACACUUGGUGAACUCUAAUCAAGGUAAGAGGAUGAUAUCUCUCUAACUUUCUCUUUCAAUCAUGGUUAAAGUAAGCUUAGUAGCUUGAUUGGUGGUGGAUUCAUGGAUGCUAGCAUGUGUAGAAGUUUUUCCCCAAUUUAUUUGAUGAACUAGGGCUGUGGAAUUUCUGCCCAACUUGAUGUAUGAUGCUUGUAUGUUACAAUUAAUGUUGUAUAAGAUGUUUUGGUAGUGUGAGAGGUGAGAAAUUGGGGAAAGUUGCACUAGAAACUACAAAUUUCAGAUUUCUGGAAAUUCUAGCUUACAUUCUGUCCGAAUUUGUAUCUGUGUGUUAGAGGCCGAAUUGGCUUUGGGUCAAAGAAGGAAAGUUGUAGAGAAUGGUAUUUUGUAGGUGCCUGUAAAAUUUCAGCCCAAUCGGAGCAACGUAGGUCAUGAAAAGUCCGAAAUACCCUUACUGUUUCAAAUAUUUCCCAGCAGUCCGUUUCAUCAGUUAAGUCCAGUUUAUCACGUUUUUUGACUAGGAGCCGUACUGAUUUAGCUCUGGGCCAAAACAUGAAAGUUGUAGUAUUCUGACUUAGCUUUUAAAUGCCUCUAAGAACACCUGAUUCGGACUUUUGUACUCUGAGAUAUGACCAUUACAGGGUAAUGCGGUUAUAUAGCCGACGAAUUGGUUUCUGGUUUAGUAAUUUGAGGAUUUGACUAAGCUACAUUAGGAACUGGACUAAGUGACCUUCAUGAACAUUGCAGCCCUAUAUCUUAGCUUCGAAACGGCAUAGGUUACGCCUCAAUCCAAUAAGCGUAGCCUCGGAUAUGUUAUUUCCGCAUUCGUACGUCAAAUCUGUCUUGUGCUAAGUUGAAUUUCUGCACUUGUCAUUGUUGUGAUUCUUGUUAUUAUGAUAUUGUGAGCCUAUGGAACGGCUCUGGACAUGAAUUGUUGACAUAUGUGAUGUUGGGUUGUGGUUGAGAAAAAUAAUGAAGCCUAAAUGGCUGGAAAAUUAGGUAAACACAAAGGGCAUGCUGCCCGAAUUUACGCUCGAGAACUAUAUAAAUACACUUGCGACUUGGGUCGAAUUGAUAUGAAUAGUGCUUGAACCAUCUAGGGUACUUGAGUAUUUUUGUUCCGGGGUAUAUAAGGAAGGACUUGGCCGAACUUGUACCCUUGAGAAAGGAAAUAAUGAUUGCUCGGAGUAUGUUUUCCUUAUACUUUCGACUUGCAUGGCAUUUUCAAGUAUAAAUGUUACAAAGUUUUACCAUUUAAAAAGAGCAAGUGUUUCACGACUACCAUCCGAGUGAAUUUCAAUUUCUUGAUUUUAUUGAACGAAACGUCUAAGUUUCGAAUCUUAGUCAUGUUUCAAAGUUCUCAAACUGAGUUUUAUCGCAGAUUUGGACUCCGAACCCGGAGUAUAACCUGAAAGUGACCAGUAAAGGCACUAUAUCUUUUGGUGAGUGCUUUCAAAUACCGAAUUGCACUAGAUACUUGAACUUGAUACGUGACCAAUAUGAGUACAUGUUAUAUACGUGAAUUGAUAGGGCAAGAGUGUACUUUAUCGCACUUGCCCUUACGUGAUAUACUUGUUUAUUGUUGCAAUUGACUUGAUAUACUUGAUUAUGAUGCGCGCACUUCCUGGAAUUCCAGAAACCCUGUGGCGAGUUACUCUAGUCGAGCCGGCAAGGGCUUGGUCGAUUGGGUAACGAACCCUGGGUCUCUUGUAUUGUCGAGUGGAGUGAUAUCUCCUCGACUAAUCGGUAUACUCGAGUAUUACCACCCGUGUUCUUGAGGAUUUUGGGCCCAGCUGGGGGUUGAACGGUGGACGGAGAGUCGUUUAAGUGGUGUUCUACUGGAUUGGUUACUUACUUGAAAGUUGACGGAGUGUCAACUACUACGGGAUCAAGCUUCUGGUAAUGUAAUGGGAAUUUGGCUCCUGAGAGUCAUCCGUAUCCUUAUGCUUUGAAUGAUUAUUGUUUAUUGGAUUAUUGUUUCUUUUGAAAAAUUUUCUACAUUCGCUCAUUUUAAGAUUGCUACUUGACGUGUUAUUGCUCACCUUUAUGAACUCUUCAUGCUUGUUACUUUGCUAUACCGAAAACUUGUACUUCUAAAUAAUGGUCAAUUUGCUAUUUGGAACCUCACUGGGCUUUUAGCUCAUUCCACUCCAUUUGUUUUCCUUUCAGGGGUACGAGCGGUGCGAGAUAUGUAAAGUCUAGCAUAGACUAGUUGUUUGAUUUUUGACUUGUACUCGCGCUAUUCCUCGAAUGGAACAUGUUGUACUUGGAUUGUAUACUUGAACUAGUUUGGGUGUUGAGACUUUGUACCUCGAUUUCUAUCAAUGUAAAUUAUAAGCUUGAAUUGGGAAUGUUAUUUAUGGUUCAUGGAUGUGUGUACAUUGACUCGAUUAGAGAUAGUGAGUGAGUCCUGGCGAGAGCUGGGCAGGCGGUCCGCCGAACCCUUUGGUACGCCUUAGGGGGAGGUGGGGUCGUCACAGAUGGUAUCAGAGCUCCUAUUGAGCUCGUGCCGGGAGAGGUUCUGGACUGUGGGGAUUGGCUUGUUAAGUGUGGAACAAUUGUCUAUUGUUGGAGACCUUAGUUAGUUAUGCAGGUAGGAAUCUCUAAUAUGGAAUUUACUCUUGGGACCGGCCGGCUCGAGUUGUGAAUUGUCUUAUUGUGGAUUCUUGUACUUGGGUAUCAUAUAGUGAAGAGCGUUAGAAUAAGGGUCUGUAUCUUGAUUGCACUUGAGGUGAGUUUUGAUGGAAAGGUUAAAGCGUGGAUGAUUCUAACAUUUAACCUUGUUAUUGGACCGAUCAAAGGGGUUUGCAAUACUUGAACUGUCUGAGACAGACUAAAAUGAGCUCAUUUGGGACUUGAACUUGUUUUGGCGAGUGUGCUCUUACGUACAUGUAAUGGACCUGAUUUGAUUUUUACACAUGAGUAAUAUGACCUAUAUGUGGAUUUGAAUUCGGCGACUGUUUGAGAAUGUGAAUUGCUGGGUAUAGGCUAGUCGAGUGAGUUCUUAUUUGUACCCGUGCUUCUUGAACUUGAAGUAAUUGAAUCUACUUUUGAACUUAUAUGUUUGAACCCUGCUUUGACCUUGCUUUUGAACUUAUUCGUAUUUGUGGGGCUGUAGACCAGCUACUUCUCCUCUGUAGCGGUUGAACUAAAACUCUCUGGUGAGCCUUUGCCUGUUGUGUUUCCAAGCACCGCCAGGGGUAAAAUUUUCGACUUGAGAAAUUUUCGACUUGAGGCUAAGCCAUGUUCUAAAUUUUUCGAAUAUCUGAGACUUUACUUUCAACUCAGGGCUAGUUAUGUGAAUUGAGCCCUUUUUGCAUGAUCUAUUUGGUUAUCUCUUAGCUCUUUACUAAAUGAUAAGGUCAUAUAUAAGGGAUUGGAGUGAUUUCUAGUACCUGAUUGACUUUAAAGGACUCUUAGUACCCGUUGGAAUUUCGAGGGCGAAAUUCUUUUAAGGAGGGGAGAUUGUAACAUCCCGAAUAUUAGGAGGUUGUUUGUGAAGAAAAUAUUAAAGUAUAUUUCUUCGGGUUUGAUUUAAAACCUUAUUUCGUUUUAAACGACUAGAAACCCUAAUGUUUUAAUCAAAAACCCUAGUUUACUUGUGACUAAACGGUUUCUUAAAUCUUUCAUAUUUUACUAGAGAUUCUAAUGUUAAUUAUUGAAAUUGUAAAUUCCUCACGUUUUCUUAAAAAAUUUCCUUUUAUUUGAAAAUUAUUAUUUAUUAAGGCCCUACUACCCAAUUGUUCAACAAUAAGUGCAGAUGAACCUGGAAAUAGGGUUUUACACUUCGGUUUCAAGAUUUGAGCAAAAUUAGGGUUUUCGCGAUUUUUCGCCGGAUGAAUUUUCGGUACUGACCAAGGAUCAAUUUGGUGAUUAAAAGUGACUUUUAAGUGAAAAAUCAUAUGUGAGUAGUAGCAAUGAUAUAAGGUUAGAGUAUGGGAAGAAAAAAAAACAGUAGUACGUGAGUUUUUAAGAAAAACGGCGCGAACCGGCGGGUCCCGCGCACUACCGGUUGAACGUACCACUUGACCACCACUUUCUUACCAUACAAGCUUAUUGACUUUUGAGCAAAAUAUCUUCUUGUUUGGCAGCUGCUUUGACCGAAAAUUUGAGGCUAGAAAAUAGCAAGGAAGAAAGAGAAAAAUGAAAGGUGGUGGUGGCGACAAGUGUCGCCACCCUAGAGUUUCUUGGCCAAGUGAUUAACUAGCCUUCUUAAACCAAUUUUCUGCACUUUCCUCUUCAUUUUUCCAGCAGCUGGUCGACCAAGAGGGAGAGAGAAAGUGAGAGCAAGAAACAAUUCCUUCUUCUUGAUUCUAACCAACCAAGUGACAAAUUAAAUUUCUAAACCGAUUAAACUUACCUUUGAGUGAUUAGUUAGUGAUUGUUGGUGAAAUUUUGGAAAGAGAAAGCUUGGGCUACACUUGGUGAACUCUAAUCAAGGUAAGAGGAUGAUAUCUCUCUAACUUUCUCUUUCAAUCAUGGUUAAAGUAAGCUUAGUAGCUUGAUUGGUGGUGGAUUCAUGGAUGCUAGCAUGUGUAGAAGUUUUUCCCCAAUUUAUUUGAUGAACUAGGGCUGUGGAAUUUCUGCCCAACUUGAUGUAUGAUGCUUGUAUGUUACAAUUAAUGUUGUAUAAGAUGUUUUGGUAGUGUGAGAGGUGAGAAAUUGGGGAAAGUUGCACUAGAAACUACAAAUUUCAGAUUUCUGGAAAUUCUAGCUUACAUUCUGUCCGAAUUUGUAUCUGUGUGUUAGAGGCCGAAUUGGCUUUGGGUCAAAGAAGGAAAGUUGUAGAGAAUGGUAUUUUGUAGGUGCCUGUAAAAUUUCAGCCCAAUCGGAGCAACGUAGGUCAUGAAAAGUCCGAAAUACCCUUACUGUUUCAAAUAUUUCCCAGCAGUCCGUUUCAUCAGUUAAGUCCAGUUUAUCACGUUUUUUGACUAGGAGCCGUACUGAUUUAGCUCUGGGCCAAAACAUGAAAGUUGUAGUAUUCUGACUUAGCUUUUAAAUGCCUCUAAGAACACCUGAUUCGGACUUUUGUACUCUGAGAUAUGACCAUUACAGGGUAAUGCGGUUAUAUAGCCGACGAAUUGGUUUCUGGUUUAGUAAUUUGAGGAUUUGACUAAGCUACAUUAGGAACUGGACUAAGUGACCUUCAUGAACAUUGCAGCCCUAUAUCUUAGCUUCGAAACGGCAUAGGUUACGCCUCAAUCCAAUAAGCGUAGCCUCGGAUAUGUUAUUUCCGCAUUCGUACGUCAAAUCUGUCUUGUGCUAAGUUGAAUUUCUGCACUUGUCAUUGUUGUGAUUCUUGUUAUUAUGAUAUUGUGAGCCUAUGGAACGGCUCUGGACAUGAAUUGUUGACAUAUGUGAUGUUGGGUUGUGGUUGAGAAAAAUAAUGAAGCCUAAAUGGCUGGAAAAUUAGGUAAACACAAAGGGCAUGCUGCCCGAAUUUACGCUCGAGAACUAUAUAAAUACACUUGCGACUUGGGUCGAAUUGAUAUGAAUAGUGCUUGAACCAUCUAGGGUACUUGAGUAUUUUUGUUCCGGGGUAUAUAAGGAAGGACUUGGCCGAACUUGUACCCUUGAGAAAGGAAAUAAUGAUUGCUCGGAGUAUGUUUUCCUUAUACUUUCGACUUGCAUGGCAUUUUCAAGUAUAAAUGUUACAAAGUUUUACCAUUUAAAAAGCGAGCAAGUGUUUCACGACUACCAUCCGAGUGAAUUUCAAUUUCUUGAUUUUAUUGAACGAAACGUCUAAUUUCGAAUCUUAGUCAUGUUUCAAAGUUCUCAAACUGAGUUUUAUCGCAGAUUUGGACUCCGAACCCGGAGUAUAACCUGAAAGUGACCAGUAAAGGCACUAUAUCUUUUGGUGAGUGCUUUCAAAUACCGAAUUGCACUAGAUACUUGAACUUGAUACGUGACCAAUAUGAGUACAUGUUAUAUACGUGAAUUGAUAGGGCAAGAGUGUACUUUAUCGCACUUGCCCUUACGUGAUAUACUUGUUUAUUGUUGCAAUUGAUUGAUAUACUUGAUUAUGAUGCGCGCACUUCCUGGAAUUCCAGAAACCCUGUGGCGAGUUACUCUAGUCGAGCCGGCAAGGGCUUGGUCGAUUGGGUAACGAACCCUGGGUCUCUUGUAUUGUCGAGUGGAGUGAUAUCUCCUCGACUAAUCGGUAUACUCGAGUAUUACCACCCGUGUUCUUGAGGAUUUUGGGCCCAGCUGGGGGUUGAACGGUGGACGGAGAGUCGUUUAAGUGGUGUUCUACUGGAUUGGUUACUUACUUGAAAGUUGACGGAGUGUCAACUACUACGGGAUCAAGCUUCUGGUAAUGUAAUGGGAAUUUGGCUCCUGAGAGUCAUCCGUAUCCUUAUACUUUGGAGUAAUUAUUGUUUAUUGGAUUAUUGUUUCUUUUGAAAAAUUUUCUACAUUCGUUCAUUUUAAGAUUGCUACUUGACGUGUUAUUGCUCACCUUUAUGAACUCUUCAUGCUUGUUACUUUGCUAUACCGAAAACUUGUACUUCUAAAUAAUGGUCAAUUUGCUAUUUGGAACCUCACUGGGCUUUUAGCUCAUUCCACUCCAUUUGUUUUCCUUUCAGGGGUACGAGCGAGGUGCGAGAUAUGUAAAGUCUAGCAUAGACUAGUUGUUUGAUUUUUGACUUGUACUCGUGCUAUUCCUCGAAUAGAAUUUUGUAUUUGGAUUGUAUACUUGAACAGUUUGAGUAUAUUGAGACUUUGUACCUCGAUUUCUAUCAAUGUAAAUUAUAAGCUUGAAUUGGGAUUGUUAUUUAUGGUUCAUGGUUGUGUGUACAUUAUUCGAUAGAGAUAGUGAGUGAGUCCUGGCGAGAGCUGGGCAGGCGGUCCGCCGAACCCUUUGGUACGCCUUAGGGGGAGGUGGGGUCGUCACAGAUGGUAUCAGAGCUCCUUUUGAGCUCGUGCCGGGAGAAGGUUCUUGGACUGUGGGGAUUGACUUGUUAAGUGUGGAACAAUUGUCUAUUGUUGGGACCUUAGAUAUGUAUGCUGGGUAGGAAUCUCUAAUAUGGUAAUUUACUCUUGGGACCGGCCGGCUCGAGUUGUGAAUUGUCUUAUUGUGGAUUCUUGUACUUGGGUAUCAUAUAGUGAAGAGCGUUAGAAUAAGGGUCUGUAUCUUGAUUGCACUUGAGGUGAGUUUUGAUGGAAAGGUUAAAGUGUGGAUGAUUCUAACAUUUAACCUUGUUAUUGGACCGAUCAAAGGGGUUUGCAAUACUUGAACUGUCUGAGACAGACUAAAAUGAGCUCAUUUGGGACUUGAACUUGUUUUGGCGAGUGUGCUCUUACGUACAUGUAAUGGACCUGAUUUGAUUUUUACACAUGAGUAAUAUGACCUAUAUGUGGAUUUGAAUUCGGCGACUGUUUGAGAAUGUGAAUUGCUGGGUAUAGGCUAGUCGAGUGAGUUCUUAUUUGUACCCGUGCUUCUUGAACUUGAAGUAAUUGAAUCUACUUUUGAACUUAUAUGUUUGAACUGCUUUGACCUUGCUUUUGAACUUAUUCGUAUUUGUGGGGCUGUAGACCAGCUACUUCUCCUCUGUAGCGGUUGAACUAAAACUCUCUGGUGAGCCUUUGCCUGUUGUGUUUCCAAGCACCGCCAGGGGUAAAAUUUUCGACUUGAGAAAUUUUCGACUUGAGGCUAAGCCAUGUUCUAAAUUUUUCGAAUAUCUGAGACUUUACUUUCAACUCAGGGCUAGUUAUGUGAAUUGAGCCCUUUUUGCAUGAUCUAUUUGAUUAUCUCUUAGCUCUUUACUAAAUGAUAAGGUCAUAUAUAAGGGAUUGGAGUGAUUUCUAGUACCUGAUUGACUUUAAAUGACUCUUAGUACCCGUUGGAAUUUCGAGGGCGAAAUUCUUUUAAGGAGGGAGAUUGUAACAUCCCGAAUAUUAGGAGGUUGUUUGUGAAGAAAAUAUUAAAGUAUAUUUCUUCGGGUUUGAUUUAAAACCUUAUUUCGUUUUAAACGACUAGAAACCCUAAUGUUUUAAUCAAAAACCCUAGUUUACUUGUGACUAAACGGUUUCUUAAAUCUUUCAUAUUUUACUAGAGAUUCUAAUGUUAAUUAUUGAAAUUGUAAAUUCCUCACGUUUUCUUAAAAAAUUUCCUUUUAUUUGAAAAUUAUUAUUUAUUAAGGCCCUACUACCCAAUUGUUCAACAAUAAGUGGAGAUGAACCUGGAAAUAGGGUUUUACACUUCGGUUUCAAGAUUUGAGCAAAAUUAGGGUUUUCGCGAUUUUUCGCCGGAUGAAUUUUCGGUACUGACCAAGGAUCAAUUUGGUGAUUAAAAGUGACUUUUAAGUGAAAAAUCAUAUGUGAGUAGUAGCAAUGAUAUAAGGUUAGAGUAUGGGAAGAAAAAAAAAUAGUAGUACGUGAGUUUUUAAGAAAAACGGCGCGAACCGGCGGGUCCCGCGCACUACCGGUUGAACGUACCACUUGACCACCACUUUCUUACCAUACAAGCUUAUUGACUUUUGAGCAAAAUAUCUUCUUGUUUGGCAGCUGCUUUGACCGAAAAUUUGAGGCUAGAAAAUAGCAAGGAAGAAAGAGAAAAAUGAAAGGUGGUGGUGGCGACAAGUGUCGCCACCCUAGAGUUUCUUGGCCAAGUGAUUAACUAGCCUUCUUAAACCAAUUUUCUGCACUUUCCUCUUCAUUUUUCCAGCAGCUGGUCGACCAAGAGGGAGAGAGAAAGUGAGAGCAAGAAACAAUUCCUUCUUCUUGAUUCUAACCAACCAAGUGACAAAUUAAAUUUCUAAACCGAUUAAACUUACCUUGAGUGAUUAGUUAGUGGAUUGUUGGUGAAAUUUUGGAAAGAGAAAGCUUGGGCUACACUUGGUGAACUCUAAUCAAGGUAAGAGGAUGAUAUCUCUCUAACUUUCUCUUUCAAUCAUGGUUAAAGUAAGCUUAGUAGCUUGAUUGGUGGUGGAUUCAUGGAUGCUAGCAUGUGUAGAAGUUUUUCCCCAAUUUAUUUGAUGAACUAGGGCUGUGGAAUUUCUGCCCAACUUGAUGUAUGAUGCUUGUAUGUUACAAUUAAUGUUGUAUAAGAUGUUUUGGUAGUGUGAGAGGUGAGAAAUUGGGGAAAGUUGCACUAGAAACUACAAAUUUCAGAUUUCUGGAAAUUCUAGCUUACAUUCUGUCCGAAUUUGUAUCUGUGUGUUAGAGGCCGAAUUGGCUUUGGGUCAAAGAAGAAAAGUUGUAGAGAAUGGUAUUUUGUAGGUGCCUGUAAAAUUUCAGCCCAAUCGGAGCAACGUAGGUCAUGAAAAGUCCGAAAUACCCUUACUGUUUCAAAUAUUUCCCAGCAGUCCGUUUCAUCAGUUAAGUCCAGUUUAUCACGUUUUUUGACUAGGAGCCGUACUGAUUUAGCUCUGGGCCAAAACAUGAAAGUUGUAGUAUUCUGACUUAGCUUUUAAAUGCCUCUAAGAACACCUGAUUCGGACUUUUGUACUCUGAGAUAUGACCAUUACAGGGUAAUGCGGUUAUAUAGCCGACGAAUUGGUUUCUGGUUUAGUAAUUUGAGGAUUUGACUAAGCUACAUUAGGAACUGGACUAAGUGACCUUCAUGAACAUUGCAGCCCUAUAUCUUAGCUUCGAAACGGCAUAGGUUACGCCUCAAUCCAAUAAGCGUAGCCUCGGAUAUGUUAUUUCCGCAUUCGUACGUCAAAUCUGUCUUGUGCUAAGUUGAAUUUCUGCACUUGUCAUUGUUGUGAUUCUUGUUAUUAUGAUAUUGUGAGCCUAUGGAACGGCUCUGGACAUGAAUUGUUGACAUAUUUGAUGUUGGGUUGUGGUUGAGAAAAAUAAUGAAGCCUAAAUGGCUGGAAAAUUAGGUAAACACAAAGGGCAUGCUGCCCGAAUUUACGCUCGAAAACUAUAUAAAUACACUUGCGACUUGGGUCGAAUUGAUAUGAAUAGUGCUUGAACCAUCUAGGGUACUUGAGUAUUUUUGUUCCGGGGUAUAUAAGGAAGCACUUGGCCGAACUUGUACCCUUGAGAAAGGAAAUAAUGAUUGCUCGGAGUAUGUUUUUCCUUAUACUUUCGACUUGCAUGGCAUUUUCAAGUAUAAAUGUUACAAAGUUUUACCAUUUAAAAAGCGAGCAAGUGUUUCACGACUACCAUCCGAGUGAAUUUCAAUUUCUUGAUUUUAUUGAACGAAACGUCUAAGUUUCGAAUCUUAGUCAUGUUUCAAAGUUCUCAAACUGAGUUUUAUCGCAGAUUUGGACUCCGAACCCGGAGUAUAACCUGAAAGUGACCAGUAAAGGCACUAUAUCUUUUGGUGAGUGCUUUCAAAUACCGAAUUGCACUAGAUACUUGAACUUGAUACGUGACCAAUAUGAGUACAUGUUAUAUACGUGAAUUGAUAGGGCAAGAGUGUACUUUAUCGCACUUGCCCUUACGUGAUAUACUUGUUUAUUGUUGCAAUUGACUGGAUAUACUUGAUUAUGAUGCGCGCACUUCCUGGAAUUCCAGAAACCCUGUGGCGAGUUACUCUAGUCGAGCCGGCAAGGGCUUAGUCGAUUGGGUAACGAACCCUGGGUCUCUUGUAUUGUCGAGUGGAGUGAUAUCUCCUCGACUAAUCGGUAUACUCGAGUAUUACCACCCGUGUUCUUGAGGAUUUUGGGCCCAGCUGGGGGUUGAACGGUGGACGGAGAGUCGUUUAAGUGGUGUUCUACUGGAUUGGUUACUUACUUGAAAGUUGACGGAGUGUCAACUACUACGGGAUCAAGCUUCUGGUAAUGUAAUGGAAUUUGGCUCCUGAGAGUCAUCCGUAUCCUUAUACUUUGAGUAAUUAUUGUUUAUUGGAUUAUUGUUUCUUUUGAAAAAUUUUCUACAUUCGUUCAUUUUUAAGAUUGCUACUUGACGUGUUAUUGCUCACCUUUAUGAACUCUUCAUGCUUGUUACUUUGCUAUACCGAAAACUUGUACUUCUAAAUAAUGGUCAAUUUGCUAUUUGGAACCUCACUGGGCUUUUAGCUCAUUCCACUCCAUUUGUUUUCCUUUCAGGGGUACGAGCGAGGUGCGAGAUAUGUAAAGUCUAGCAUAGACUAGUUGUUUGAUUUUUUGACUUGUACUCGUGCUAUUCCUCGAAUAGAAUGUUUUGUAUUUGGAUUGUAUACGCCUUGAACCAGUUUGAGUAUAUUGAGACUUUGUACCUCGAUUUCUAUCAAUGUAAAUUAUAAGCUUGAAUUGGGAUUGUUAUUUAUGGUUCAUGGUUGUGUGUACAUUAUUCGAUAGAGAUAGUGAGUGAGUCCUGGCGAGAGCUGGGCAGGCGGUCCGCCGAACCCUUUGGUACGCCUUAGGGGGAGGUGGGGUCGUCACAAAUCUGGUAUAAAAAUCGUAGGAACGGACCGUGCGACUUCGGCGUACGAUAACGGCAAAACUGGGAAAACAGGACAGUUUAACGACUGAACUUCGGCUUCAUUUUUCUUAAUGCUAUGUACGGAUUUAGGAAUUCCUCAAAACAUGGAAGUCGUAGUCCCUUGAGUCCUGAGUAUUCCUACAAAAUUUCAGGUCAAUCGGAUUACCGUAGCCUGAGUUAUCGAUGAAAUGCUCAAGCCUGUUUUGACCCUCUGGUUCUGCGCGUUUUCUGAUUUUGUUUCUGCCCAUGACUUUUCGAUUUUUAUAGAGUUCGAUCUGGGUGCCGACUCCUUCAUAAGAAGUUUAGAUCUUGAUCUCAGCUUCGAAACGGUAUAAAGUACGUCGAAAACCGAGUUCCGUAGCUCCGGUUAUGAUCAAAACAAUAUCGCUCGUCAGAACUGCCUUGUAUUUGGACAGUUCUGACGGGUACUUUGGCACUCGAAUUUUGUUUUGUUCUGAAUAGAUUUAGGUCUUGGCCAAAACAUGAAAGUUUUAGCCUUAUGUCUCAGAUUUCUAAUUCCUUUGGAAUUUCUUAAUUUCGAUUUCUGAGCCGUGAGUUACGGCCUUGCAAACAGGGCCUGUUUGGUAACUCGCAAUGAAACAGCUGGAACUGUUUCACGCAAUUUUCACCUAUACCCAUUGAGAUCUGGGUUACGAUGUCUUCAUGAACAUUGUAGCCCUUCCUCUUAGCUUCGUAACGGUACCUCAUGUACCUUGAUCCGAUAUUCCUAGCCUAAUUUUUGACCAAAACGGUUUGAGAUGGCCGACUUGGCCAUUUCCGUUUGCCGUUCCGCGCGGACGUGUGCGGCCGUUUUGCCGUUCCCCCACUUGCGCGUGCCAAUUUUGCCGUUUUGCUUGUUUUAAGUACGUUAGUUGCCGUUUAUGAUAUAUUGUGACAUAAUCUUCGAUUUCAGACAGUGGUGAGCUAGGCGGUGCCGGUGGGGCCCACUACUAGCCAACACACAAAGUGAAUUCCGCCUUUAUACUACUUUUGAUAUUUUGAGUAAGUAUUCAGGCCGCUCUUAUGUGUUAGUUGUUUAUGUGUUUCGUUAUGUGUAAAAAGGGUACCUAGGCGAGGGUGUACUUUAUCGCACUCGAUCUAGACCCUAAUUUACGCACCAAUUUGUACAUGACAUAUGUAUGUGAGAAAUUUUGGAACAAAAACCCUUGAGCUUGUGGCUCGGGGUGACUUUUGAAUAAUUUUGUGAAUUUUGUGAGUUUGCGGUUGAAUUCAAUACCUAGAUGGACUAUUCGAGCCGGUUAGGGCUUGGUCGAAGUCAGUCCAACUUGGUUUGAGGUCACCAAGUUUGUGACCCGAGCUUAUGAUUAAAGCUCAAGUUUGUGAUUUCGUUCGCCUGGGCAAGUUUGUGAGGUGACUGGCCAGUGAGGGUGAUAAGGUGUCGGUGGGUGUACAAGUGAAGUUCUACGGACCUUAUUUAUGGUCGACGGAGUGUCGACAGGAGAUCAAGCAUGGCAAAUGAAUUGGCUUUGGAGCCACUCGUAUCCUUAUUAUGUGAUGUUACUUUUCUGCUUUUGCUUUACUCUUACUGUGUAAAUAUUGCUACGUGAAAUUUACGCUUUUGCCCCUGUUUACUUACUAAGCUUUUAGCUUACCCCAUUCCGUUUGUUUUCCUUAGCAGGGCCGACGCGGGUACGUUUGGGGCUCAUACACUAGUUUAGUAGAUUGGCUUGUAAUAGUUGAACUUUUAGGAUGUUUGUUUUUAUUCUAGUGGUUUGUAUUAGGACCCUUCUUAGGGUCUCCCUUUUGGUUUUGGUUGUAAUUAUACGGAUGUAAUAGUAAGAGCAGGUACUUUUGGAGAAUGUAAUUAUAACUCUUUUGGGAUUGUAUAUAGUAUGUAUAGUACUCUUUUGGAUUUUCUGGCUUUUAUUGCUUUAAGUUUUGAGUCCUGGCGCGAGCUAGACAGGCGGCCCGCCGAUACCCUUGGGUUCGCCCUUGGGAGAAGUGGGGUCGUCACACUUAACACCCGAUAAAUUUCAACCAGUAUCCGAAACUUAACCUUAUUGGCCGAAUUUUUCCGAACUUUUCGCACUAGCGGGUCCCACGUCCGUUAUAUAUCCUUAAUUUUUCAAAAACUAUCCAAUACUAGGAAAAUCAUCUAAAAAUUAUAUCUGCUCAUUAAAAAUAUCUAGAAAAUUUUCCUACUAAAAAAAAUGCAGAAAACAAACCAUUAAAUAAAUAAAACCCUAGAAAAUGGGAAAAGUACAGGUUCUCACAUACCAAUGUAUAAAGUCGUACCAAUCCGGAUAGAUAAAUACAUAAAUCCCUAAUACAAACUUACAAGCCAAACAAUCAAAUUAGGGUUUACACAUUUUCCAGCUUCAAGUGGCAAUCCAAAAGGAAGGUACAUUAUCCCAAUUAACGCAUUACAGCCCACAAAAUAAGUCAUAGUAUCCGAAUACAUUUCAAAAGGAAAACAUAAAUAAGUAUCCAAGCUUUCAAUUCCCGGAACCUGUUAAGGAAAACAAUAAACAUGGGGUGAGCUAAAACUCAGUGGUGCCCCAAAACAUGCAAUCACAUAAUAUCAAACAGCGGUUAAUAACUUAGCAAAAUUUAAACAGUUACGAAAACGUAUAACAGCACAAGGUAAGAUACAGGGGCUCUCAGGAGCCAUUUUCCUCGCUUGAUCACCAUUUAUCGUAGUUGACCCUCCGUCAACUCUCACUACUUAUAAUCCAUGUAGAGCGUCUCAUUUUGAUACCUAACCCGUCACCAUUCAUACCCCUGUCCCGGGCCCGCUCACCGACUAAGGACGCAGUAUAUUCGAGAUAUACCCGUAGAUGAUUGGUCGAGGGAUUCACCCAACGACGCAACUACAUUUAGAUUCAAGGAUUCAGGAGAAAAAUGUUUUGCACAAGUCACCACUCGAACGGCUAGUGCGAUAAAGUACACACAACUCACUUCGAUGGAUCAAAAACCAGUUUUGCAAAUUAUCACAUAUCGAGUCAAGAAAGCACUUUAACCAGGUAAGCAUAGAACAGGCAGGGACACUCACCAAGAGUGAAGUUCAGAUGUCAAAUUCGGAAUCGAAUUCUGCGUCCUCGCAAUAUCCUAGAAUACAAAAUUUUGAAACUAUAAGUUUCUAUUCAGUUUUUAAGCUUAUACACAUCGAGGUAUAUCUGAUAUACUACUAGUUUACUUUCCCUUAGAAAAAUUAAGAAUCCACUUAGGUUGAAACUUGACAAAAGUAGUAAAAAUGUUUCUUAUAGUUUUCCUUGAGAUACUUUUCCUUAUAAAAGGUAACUAGUAUUAUUUUCUUGAAAUAAGUCGACAACCUCUUAAGAUCAAAGCUAGAAAGAUAUAUUUGAAAAUUUCUUUAAAGCUAUGGUUCUUGCAAAAAUUAUCACUAAAACUAUUUUACCUAAAAAAAUAAGGUUUCUUGCCGAGCAAGUUUCUAUGCUUUUAACUAAAAUUAUUAAAACUCGUAUUUUGGAACUUUUCCUAUAGUUAACUAGCCAAGAACAAUUCUUAGAGGAAAGAAAAGGAGUAAAACAAGGCUAGCGUUUUAGAAACUAGGGAAAUCAUUUUCCAAAGGUAAUAAGGCUAGUUUAAACUUAAAGGAAGAAAUAUCGAGUUGGCAAGGUUGAGAAAAUCCCUACAUGACAUUUCUAACAUUAACAUACAGUGCUAGAUUUUUAUCGCACUCCACUAGAGUGAAGAUAUAGAUAAAUAGAUUGUUUUAGAGCUUUUUUCAAGUUCACAGUACCAAAAAGGAUUUCCUACGAUUCCGAUUUAUAAGCACGUAAUGUUUCAGAUCCAUCAAUAUAACAAACCAAUAUUUCCAAUAGAAAUCUCACUAGGGCUUCGUCAAUCAUUAGCCCUAGGUUUCAAUAGGUUCAUAUCAAAUCAAGAAUAAAAUAAAUGACCAAGGCUUCAUCAAUCAUUAGCCCUUGACAACAUCAAACACUUCCAACCACAAUUCAAUCAGGGAUUCAAACCACAAAUAAGCUAAAAGUUCAAUCCAAGUAAAAAUUCAGUUUCAUGAAGAAACAGGACCUUAAUACAGAACAGUCUACUUUGAGGAUUCACAGACAGCAGUACCCAUGGAGGAAAAAUAUGAAAUUUCUACAGAACAAAGGCCUAUGAUUCUAGUUUCAAAUGCCACUAACGGCACCUUAAACGGAUUUUCCUACACCAAGAUAUAAACAUUUCACUGAAACUGGUCAGGGACAUCCGAAAAUCUGAAAUUUCAUUUUUCACUUGUGAAACCUCCUUUUUCUCUUUUAACACCAAAAUGUUUUUAUCCAAACCAUCCAUACAUUUCUUAUAGAACUUCAAAACAACAUGUUCCAGGCAUUUCCAUCCAUCAUGUUUCAAGGAAAAAUUUUAAAAAAAAAACCAAGUUGAGAUUCCAACUCAACCUUUGGCUAUCACAAAAGAAAUUCCAGCAACUAAUAUACUUUAGAUCAAAUUUUCCCUUGGUUUAAACAUGGUGUUAGGUACUCAAAUUCAGCAUAUAAACACUUAGCUAGCUAUUAACGAUUUCCACUUCAAAACCGGAUUCACACAGCUACUAAAAUCAUCCAGAAAAAUCCAGAAAUCUGUCCAUCAGCCACGGAUGAACAUGCAUGAAGGAACGUUCUGGUUUCAUUUUAUUUUCUGGAUUUAAACAUGCUUUUAAACUCUCAACUUUCUCAUGCAAUUACUUAGCUAGACAAUGAACAUUUCCAGUUCAGAAAUCAAGUUCAAACAACAACCAUUAACAUCAAAAUUUCCAAAAAUUAUUCCAACUUGGCUCGGAUGAACAUGCAUGUGGUAGGAUUGCAUUUUGAUUUUAUUAUUUUUUUUUCUGGUUUAAACUAAUUAAUUAACUACAUGCAGAGCCUAAUUAACUUGUUAUUAACUAUCUAAUUAUGGUUAUAAACUCAAACAACAAAAUUAAACCAAAUCAGGCUGCAAUAAUCUAGCUAAGCUCUCGGCAGCUCCAAAGCUUGCACAUAACAGAAAUUCUCUUCUUAAAACUCUCAUCCGGCUGCCUAACAUCAACAUGCAUAUUCUUAGAUGGCUUAACCUUCUUGUUAUUAAUUGGUCAAACACUUAAUCGAGCUCAGAUUAUCGCAGGAAAUUAGAAAUGAAGCUACAAUUCCAAGCCAGCUCCUCGGCAGAAACCUCUAGCCAAAACAGAAUUUUGUAUGCUUUAACAACAUCAUCCGAAUGCACAAAUCAACAUGCAUGGUCUUAAUCUUCAAGUUUUCUCUCAGCUAUAGACACUUAGGUGUUCAGAUUGCCACGAAAAAAAAAAAUGGAGCUGCAUUAUCACCUCAGUUUCUCGGCAGCAACAUUUCAUCAAAACAGAAAUUUUUCUAAUGGCUUGAUUUCAACAACCGACUGCACAAUCCAUACAUGCAAGCUCUGAUAUAGCUUCCUCUACUAGUAAUCAACUUAAUUAGUCCAGAAAUUACCUCAGAUACAAGCUAAGCUCACACACGAAAAUCCAGAAUUUUCUUUCCUUCCUCUCGGCUUCACAAUCCAACAAAGGUCGGUUGAUCCUGAUUCCUGAGUUGCGGCUGGAGUGGUGUUGUGGUGAGGUUGAGUUCGGUUGGUUGGAGUUGGAAAUGGCCACAGCUAGGAGAGGAAAAGGUGCGAUGGUCUCCUGGUAUCUUGCCUCGGCUUACGGUCAGAACAGAAAGAAAGAAAUGGCAGCUUGCGUUCCCUCCUCCCUUGCUCUCGGAUGCAGCUCACAAGGUAACUCUCUCUCCUUUACUCUCGGUCCAAGGCAGAGGAAGAGCUGAGAUGCGGUUGUGGAGAGGAAGUGUAGUGGUUGCGGUGGAAUUGUGCAGAGGAAAUGGAAUGGUAAAGAGGCGGUAUCUCGGUAUUAAGAAGGAAAGGAAAUGGUUUUGCAGUUUGUGAUAUGAAUUGGAGAGAAUGGUAUAAGGUGCCGCGGUAUUAGGAGUAGAGGUUGCGUGUGUGCGAAUCGGUUACGUAUCGAAUUGGAUAAAAUGUGAUUGGCCAAUAGUUGCGGUGAUUGGAAUUUGCGGUCAGAGGAUUUGUUUGAUUUGCAUGGAAAUGUAAGGGCAUUUUAGUCUUUUCACUUUGCUCCCUAACCUCAACUUAAUUUCUCAAUUCUAACUUAAUUCUAAAAAUUAUCCCCAAGUGUGAUUUGAACGCCUAAUUAUACACUAGUAUACCUAAACCAUUUUUAUCGAAUAAUUAUCGAUUAAACUUUAAUAUUAAGGUUCCUAGUAAUUUCUACAUUAUUUAGUGAUUAAUUUAGUUAUUAGAAUUUCCAAUUAUUAUUUCUCAAGAAAUAGAGUUAGUCUAACUCGAAAUUUAUUGGUUUAGUAAUAUAAAGUCAAGUGAAAUAAUAAUUUAAUCCAAGGGUGUCAAUUUGCACAUAAAAAUUAUUUUUACGCACUUAUUUAGAAAACAAAGAAAGAUAUGGAUAUAUUUAUCGAAAUUUUUACGCCUUAAAUAUGUUUAGUAUAUUAAUAUCAUAUUUAUCUAAAAUUUAUUGAUUUUAUCUUAACGCGGAAAUUCUUAUUAACAUUUAACAUUAGCAACUAAUUGGAAUUAAUCAUUGGAAUUUAAAUAAUUUAUUUUAAGAUAGUAAGGCUAUCGACUCAAGUAUCAUUAAUUUAGCAUAAAGGAAUUUAAGUAUUCCAACAUAUUAUGUUAAGGCGAAAAAUUAAUCUAACCCUAAAGAUAUUAAUUUAGUCUAACAAAACCAAGAAAUUUCAUAAGGUAGGAAAAUUUAUGUUAUUUUUCACAUGUCGCGCCCCAUUUUUUGAUAAAUAAAUAAAUGGUUUAAAAAAUGUAUUUUUUGAUUCAAUUUGUGAUUGAAAAAAUGAAUUGUGAUUUAAAAGAAAAAAUGGGUCUAAAUGGGGGUUUGAGAAUGCGACGAUUUGACCCAAAAUUAUAGUUUAAAAAGGGUUUUUGAAAUAAAAAAAUGGAGUCGCCACUUGGUAAUGAGUUAAGGUGUACCAAGUCACCUAAAAAUGAAUUUUUUAAAGAAAAAAUGGGAAAGAGUAGUAAGAAACCCCUUUUAAACGACUCCUAGUCCACGUAAACCAACGAAAAAGGUUCGGGAGUCACAUUUGACGAAGGGGAAGGCAAGGAUAAAAUCCAAGGCACCCCUUCGACCUAGCCAAGGCUAGUUGCGUGAUUUAAUCAAAGAUUUUCUUGUUUUAACCAAAGAAUUUAUUACAUUUGGGUGUACUACGUGAAUGCAAACCCUAGACCUAGGGGUAGAUGGGGAAAUUUCUCUUCAAAGGUUGAGUGGUGCCAAUCACAUUAAUUGUGAAGCCCAAUAAUGAUUCUUUGGAGAGGUCACAUAUAAUCCUAAAUGACGUAAAAAUUAGUGAAAUGAAUGUAUGCCAUGUGAAAAUGUGAGUUUGUGUGAAGUGAAAAAGUGAUAAAAACAAUAGUGUAUAAGUGAAAGUGUGCAAAUGGAUGUACAAGAUAAGGUGAGUAAAAAUGAUAAUGUGAAAAUGUAUUGUACAUAAAGUGCAUGUGUGCAAGUGAUAUUAUAAAGUAUAAAUAGUUGAGUGAAAACGUGCAAAAUUAAAGUCGUGUGAAGUGAGAAUAUGGAAAAAGGGAUAGAAUAUAAAGUAGAAGUGUAUGUGGUAGUGAAUGAGUAAAACGCGUGAAUCCUAUAAGAAUGCAUCAAGAUGGGAACGGGGAGUCCUAACUUUGUGACUUUAAUUUUCCCUUUGAUUGGAAGGGAGAACUAGCGUGCUAAGGCUAUUUUGUAGCCACACUCGCUCGUUUCCCUUAUCGAAAGGGGACUCUCAAGCAAAUGUAUUCUAUAACUAGCAUGAGGUGCAAAAAUCCUAAAGUGAGAGGGAAGGAUUAGAGGGGCAUGCCAAAUGAUAGAAAAACUAGGAAAAAUGCGUGAAAUGAAACACGCAAAUAUGCACCUACGAAAAGGGAAUGGCCUAUUGGGUCUAGCAUUGGACUAGCCCAUUCUAUGAAUUCCUACUAGCAUUGGACUAGUGGAAACGGGUCAAUGAGCCACAGCUAGCGUUGGACUAGUGUGGUGACGUACAUUCAUCCAUUCCAUUCAUCUAUACUACGAAAAGCAAGUAGACAUGCUAACACUCAUAAACACGUGGCACGUAACACUUAACAUGCUCGACUAGAUGCAAAAACCUAAUAAAGCGAGUAAUACGUAACACAUAGGCAUGCAACCAAGCUAAUGAACCUAUUACAUUCACUAACUAAAACAAAAGGGGAAGGGGAAAAUGGACCAAAUUGCUCGCCAAAGCCCUAUCUAUUACAAGUCAAGAGGUGUACACAUACCCCAUUAAAAGAAUAACUUAAUGAAAAUGAAAGUAAAUGACAUAAAUGAAAGGAAUUAAGGAAAGGCUAGGAAAGCAAAGUAGGCAUGCAAUUCUCACUUAGCACGUUGGAUCACAUAGGAGAGACACAAAAAGGGAUAAAAGAAAUUAUACCUCCCUUGAAAUGGAGCUCUAAUGGGGUGAAGUACUUAUUUACCCUCCAAAAUAAUAAAAGAGUCAAGGCAUCACUUUAUUUAUCAAAUAAUCAUAAAAAUAAAUGGCAAACUUGAAAUUGAAUCAAUUGAAUCAUGUAAGCAACCCACAUUCAAGAAGUCAAAAGAAGAAAGGACUUGAUUGCACAAAUUAACAAAGUUUGGAGGUCCAAAUUAAAGAAAAAUAAAGUUCAGUGACCUAUUUGCAAUUAAUUUAAGGGCCCAAUUGACAGCAUUGAAAGUUUGUAGGGCCAUAGUGAAAUUAAAGAAAAGUACAGGGACUGAUUUGCAAAUUUAGUUACCAGAUUCUUAGUCAGACAGGCCAUUGGGCCUUUGUAUUUAUUUAUUUGGGCCAGAACCUUCCCUAACCCAAUCGAAACCCAAGCCAAAACAGAUGGGUUAGCCUAAUUGUUCUUACGAGUUGGACCCAAUUAAAUUAAUCACAAACCCAAUCCCAAAAACCCAAUCAAAAGUGUUGGGCUCUAUCUUCCUAGGCCCAAAUCAGAAUCCCAACAAAAUAAACUAAAACCACCUCCUUAAACCCAAGCAAAAUGUCCAAACCAAGUCUAAUUUUAUUUAAUAAAGCCCCAACAAAAUAAAAACCCAACUAAAACUCUGAUUAUGCAUCAAAUCCCAGCAUUAAUCUAUCCAGAAAAUCACAUAAAAUAUGCAAACAGAGGAUUAAGCUUAAGAGGGCAAAAUUAGUUUGGUUUUUCCAGAUUUUGAGCCACAAUGAAAUUAGACUGAAAUUGAGGGAUUAAAUUGCAAUUCUUUUGGAAAACCCAAGCAAGCUUACGAAGAACAGGUUUCUUCCUCAUUACCAAUGUUUUCACAAUUUUAUUGCUGCAACUUGCUCUCUUAUUCUACCGGGUAGAUUGAAUGCAAAACCCAAGCAAAAUUCACUAGGUUAUCAAUCUAAGACCAACAAAGUUUCAAACCAGUCAAAUAACAUCAUCCAAGCAUGAUCAUCUAUCCCAGGAGAAUACAAUCACAGCAGCUAGACAUAAAUGCAGCGAAGGUACAGGAGGAGGAAACUUAGGAUGAACGUGCACAUGGCAUAUCAAUUGGACAGCAAAUCAUAGAUUUACAUCAAACUAAAAGCUUCAACAACAAAGCCAGAAAAAGACUCUUUACAGGUUUAACACUCUCAUGCAGCAAUUUCCCGAAUAAAAAUGACCCUUUAUACAUCUUUAGCCUCCAAAACCAACCGUACGCUAUGCAUUCCCCAGCAAUCUUCUACCCAGACCAGCACAAGGGAGAUCAAAAGAACAGUUUUUUAACUUAUUCAUAUGCAAUUUUGGGUUGCUAAUGCCACUCUCCGAUGACUUACCAAGGCACAAAAAAAUCACAGCUUCAGACAUCAGUCUACAAGCAUUUAAAACAAGAUCCUGCGGUCUAGUAAAUCAAGAUUCUUGUGCGAACCAGCAUAGCCACAUCAGACAACGGAGAGAAUCAAAGCAUUAUUUGAACAAACCCAUCUCUCGCUACCAUGAAGAAUCGACUAUCAGGUUUUGAGCUUGUUGCCCAUUUUUUCCUCACACCGACACAGACAAAUCGUCAUUCAAGGGGAAUUUUCAUCUGGGCAUUUUGUCGAACAACGCAUGAGCAGAAAAAAGGUCAUUGAUUCUCUACUUGAUGGAAGCUAUAACCGACCCCAAAAAUUUUUAGCAUAAACAAUCAAAACAAUUUCAAUUCCAAUCAGAUACAUAACGCAUGUGUAUUCUAACAUCCAUGAGCAAUCUACAUGAAAAUUGAAACAACAACUCACGAAAGACAUGUUUUGAGAGAAGGCUGAAAUGUGAAGGAAACGGAUGACUUACAGUGGUCUCCCACGGUGAAGAUUCGCAGAUGGCAGUGGUGGAUUCCGACAGAAUGGCGGAAGCUCCGGCUGCUCUGUUUUUUCCCAAAUUCGUCUUUCACUUUGCCGAAACUUCCUUCCUUGGUUCUUUUACCUCUGCCCGAAACUCUUCCUUGCCUCCUUGUUUUCCUGGCUUUUCUUUCCUGCCUAGCCUCACGAAGCUCCCUAGCUUUCCCUUGCUUUCUUUGGUUUCCUCUCCUCCAGCCGCCACUCGCUGGUUUUUUCUUUUUUCCAGCCGUAAGCCUCCCCAGUUUUUAGUCGAAAACUAUUUCCCCAAUUUUCAGAUUUUUGCGCCCUGUUCUGUUCUAUCUCUCUCAGUCUCUCUCGUUUUGCCCCCAAAUUUCACCUUCCCCAAAUUCCAGAUUUCCCUUGCUGUCGAUCUUCCAAACCUCCGUCCGCCGCCGUCCUGAAUUUUCCUCCCUUUUUCUGUCCUGUUUUCAUUUCUGAUUUUUUCUAUCCCACGAAGCCCUCUCGGCCUUUUCUCUAGCUUUUCCAUUUUUCCCAUUUUCCUCCGAUGAUGCUCCCUUUUGCUUUCUGCUAUUGUUUUUCUUCGUUUCUGCCUGCUGAAACUCCCUUUCCCAAUUUCUCUCGGCCCCUUUUUCUGUUUUUCUAUUCCUCCCCCUCAAGCUCGUCGUAGCUUUUUCCUUUUUGUUUCUGAUCUCUCUCUGUUGACCCAGUUUUCCUCCUUGCGGCUGAUGUUUUUUAUUCUAUUUAUAUGGGGCAUUCCACCCUAAAACCCCAGCCACUUCCUCUGAAAUUGCAGCCAAAGGGCUGCCAAGUCCUUCUUUGCAAGCUGCGACAAUACGCUCUGAAAUUGCAGCCAAAGGGCUGCCAAGUCCUUCUUUGCAAGCCACGACAAUACGUGGCUUGCAGGCGCAUCACUUUUUUUUUUACUCACUUAAUUUAAAUCACAAUAAAAACCAAAAUAAUUCAAACAAACUUAAACAUAAAUAAAAUGUACAAAAUUAAUAACCAAAAGAUAAAAUAAAAAGCUAAGAUUUUCCUCUUUUCUUUUUCUUUUUUCUUUUUUUUUUUUCCAUUUUUUCUUAUUUUCAAUUUUUCAUUUUUCUUUACAUUUUUUAAAUAAUGAAACUAAAAUAAAAACUAAAAAACUAAAAACACUGAAAAUUUGGUGUCUACAUCACAUAAACCUAUUUUUACGUACUUAAUUGCGAACAAGUAAAAGUAAUGCUAGAAAUUAUUAAAGAAUAAAAGAGAUGCAAAUGAAAUAUGCACUGGCUUAUAUAUCUAUUUUCAGGGUUCUCACAAUGUACCUACAAAGUGCAUUUUUGACAAAUACAAAUGAAAAGGAAUCAAUUUUAUAAUUAAGCACAAAAAAAAGGACUUACGUGAAGAUUAUGAUACGGUUUCAUAUGGAAAAAAUUAUGAUUGAUUGAUAAAAUAAAAAAAUAAUACGAAAAACAUUGAACAAACCUUCUUCAUGUACUAUUUUUCUUUUUGGCAAACAUUCUUAUGCACCUGCAAAUUGCGGACAAAUAGAAUGGGAAAGCGAUCAAUCUUAUAAAUAAGCAUAAAAAGAAUACGACUUAUGUGAUAAGAUGGUUUUGUAUUUAAAAUUUGGCAUGAAAAAGAUUAUGAUAGAUUGAUAAAAAGGAUGAGAGAUAUGGAAAAAAAUAACCAUGCCAGGUUGUUAGGGGAGAGACAUGAGAGAGAUAGCGUGAUUAAUGUGAGAGCGAGUAAAAUAAACUCACUUGUUUAAGGAUCGAGAAUAGGAAAAUGGAUAAGUAUUGGAAUGUAACUUUAUUAUAUAAUAUAUAUAUAUAUAUAUAUAUAAAUAUAUUAACUUUCAAAUUGCCCUUUAAUUCUAGUUUUUUCACAUGUACUACAGAUUAGUGCUUGUCUCCCUCCAUCAAUUUUAUUUUAUUUUAUUUUGCAUUCAUAAAAUUUGGGCUAGCAUUGUGUACAAGGUUUGCCUUAAAAAAAAAAAAAUAUAUAGCAACAUGGUCACAUUUAUCCGAUAUAUGAGUGGAGAAUCAUUAGAAGGUUAGUGGUGUUAGUCAUUGACUCAUUGUGAGGCAAAAUUUUUUUUUAUUUGUGAAAACAUGGAGAAAAUUGCUAUUGACUCCUAUUUAUAUUGGUGCAAUUUGUAAUUAAUCCAAAAUAGAUAUCUAAAUCAAAGGUAGGAUAUAAGAGUUAUUUCACCACUAUUGACCUCGACAAUGGCUCCAAUUGAUUAAUAGGAGAAGUAUGCGAUAUUUUUAAAAGUUAGGGGAGGAAAGCAAUAGUGUCAGAAACCUCAGGGUAGGUUUCUGAAAUUAACCCUAAAUCCAAACCAAAACCCCAUGUUUACGUGUGCCUCGCAUAUGAUGGAACAGAGAAUUAGUAAAUGUAGCAACUCUCUGUCUUUUGUCAAACCCAGAGAAUUAGUAAAGUCCAAACGAUUUUCUAUUUGAUGCUUGAGAAACUCAAUAAUUGAAAAAUAAUUAAAAUAAAUUUUUGAAAUUCCCCCAGAAAGGAACGAAGCACAUAAAUUUCUAAUGGAUUUGGGGGAGCUGUGGGCCAUAUUCGGACCCGGAGUUUCCGGCGCAGUUUUCGGCGCCGGCUGGUGGUUUUGGGUGGAUGCCGUCGUUUGCAGCUCCGUCAAGGUCUCCUUUGUCCACUACCUUCCAGGCAUGUUUUUUUUUUUUUUAACUAGGUUGACUUUUUUAAUUUUUUGUACAGCUUAGUAAAUAGUGUUUCAAUAUUAGGGUUUUGGAUCAACAUUUCAUUUUUUAAUUUCAGCGUUCUCUUGCAGGAAUAUUUGCAUCUUUGGCUGCCUUGAUGUUCAAUUGCGUUAGGAAAGAGGACAUUGACUACUCUCCGUACGAGGAAGGCGAGUGGAGGUACCCUUUUUUUCAUGUAAUUUAAAGUGUUCCUUACUGGAGUUCUUAUCUUUUUUUUUUCCCACUUCCAUGAAGAUUUAUGAUCUUUGGUGUUUAAAAUUUUGAUAUGAAGUUAGUUAAUUGAGCCGUUUGUUAGUUGUAGGUAAUCUCUUAUUGACGGUUAAGGGCAGUCCCUUUGACUGGCUCGAGCUUCCUAGAAGCAUGUUAGCAGAUCAUAUAUCCCAAAUUGCUAAAUCAUCGUGAUAAACAAUAUUCUAGAUGGCCUAGAUUAACAAAAUCCUAGAUGACUUGAUAAACAAAAUCCUAGAUAGGCUUCUAAAAAAGAGCUUAGCAUUUUGGAAUUCCUUGACUUCCAUAAUAUUCAAGUGGUGUUGACCUGCAUCAGGGCCACCUGAAGGGGGUGGGGUGAGUGGUAGAAUGAGCUGUUGCGUAAGGUUAUUGAGCUUUAUUUGGAAAUGAUUACGUAGAUUGAUCCAGAUGCAUGCUUUAAUAUAUCAUAUUUGAUGUUGUAAUUUUCAUAGAGGGAAACCACUUGCUGCUGCAACAUGUCAGAAACUUUUUUUGGCAUCCAUCCUAACUGUCUAAAUGUACUUCUCAAGUUGUAGCCUAGGCUCUUAGGUACUCAGAUUAUCAUGUUGUCGAAUUAUGUGACAAUUAGAGGUGCAAGCAGCAACUUAUUGUAAUUUGUGUUUGUAAUAAUUUUAUGCUUUUGACUUAGAGGUAAUCUUGAAGAUUGGAUAUUUUGGAUGGUAAAAAGAAGAGAAAAUCUCUUUAUUCAGCUGUCAUACAGUGUUUAUAUUUGGUUAUAAGUUCUAUUCUGUUUUGUACUUCUGUGCAGAGGACAAGUAAGACUAGCGUCCGUAUAGGGGAUGCUGUAGAAGAAAGAAAUUUUACAACAUUCUCUAUGGAGUAUAAUAACUAUUGAAGUCACAUACCUUUUUUUAGGUCAAGUGACCAUGUCCAUCUGCUGGAAUUGAAAAUUUUUCCUCUUUGUUAACGACAUGUCGUAAGCCUGCAGAAUUCAUUCACAGGAUGCACCUGACUAGUUUUUCAAUAUACACAAUAAAUGUUGGUCAAAUCUUACCAUGUAGAUGAAUGUAAAACCGUUUCAGCUUUCAUAGUGGCAAUGAAAGCAUGAUAAUGCUUAUGCUAUGGUUAUGUUAGGAUCAUAGACAAAAAGAUGAAAUGCCAAGGUUCAGUUUAGUUUAUUAGAAGCAAAUAAACGUAAAAAGAAAGAGGAAUAAAAGAGCUCAAAGAAGCUAUUUUCUUGUCCUGGAAUUACAUUAGUCAGUAGUGAAAUUAGUUUAGCAUUUGAACUCAAAAAAAGUAGAAUUUAGUAUGUGUGGGUAGUGUCAUGAUUAUUUCUUCAAGAAGGGUGGAAAAGUCAGGUUGAUGGGCUAAUCAUUGACUCAACGUGAUUGCAAAAGAAUUCUUGAAGAACCCACUAUGAAAGUCAGGUUGGUUUCUUUGGUUUGUAACUGUAUUGAAGUACAUUGGUAGUGUUUGAUUAUAAACACAGGAUAAGAACCAAGAUGAUGAGUUAAGAUGAAUAAGAAGACCAUAGAAAAACAACCAUAAGAAAUACUGUGACAAAUGCAUUUUCAUUUUCUAAAAGCAAGUUAGAAGUUGCAGUCUUAUCAUUUUAGUGGCUGAUAAUAUAAUUGCUUACAACUUUAUUCUUUGCAUUAACACGCUGCUGAAUGUGUGGUUAUAAUGAUAUAGCAUUUCUAGAUAAGCUCUGGAUUGUAGAAAAUGGGCAGGACCGUGCAAAGAAAAUUUCUACAACUCUUCUCAUGUUUUAGUUCACUGUUUGCACAUUUUCUAGUGUAAUUGAAACAAGCAUUUGGGCUUUCUGGGAUUCAGCUCAUAGAUGUAAUUCUUGGUCUUCUAGUUAUAGAAAUAUGACAGCAUCUUAAAAUAUGUGAAUUUGCUGAUUUUUCUGUUGAAAAUAAAAUGAAAAAUGAAUUGACAAUUGAAUUUAUGAUCCAACGUGCACUCGUAUUGGCCACUGUCCACUAUACUAGGUUCUUUGCUGCAAAGUACAUCCUUUUUCUACAUCGAUGUUUAUAAGAUUCUACAAAAAUGUAGAAAACAGAAAUGUUGCAGAUAAAAGCAGUGAUUGAAACAAUAACUCAGUAGCUGUAUUUUGGUAGUCAUUAUUAACUAUUAAAACAAUUAGACCAAAAGAGAUCCCUAAUCUAACUCCUCUACAAUUAGAAUCCCCCUCCCCCCCCCCCCCAAAAAAAAAGGAAAAGAAAAGUUUGUUGCACGUAGAAGAUUACAUUUUCAUUCCACUAAGGUUCAAAAUUCGCUGUCUCUUUCUGUGCCAGCAGCAGGAGUCCAAUUUUUCUAUUUUUAUCUUGAUCUUGACUGUGAGACCUUUCACUGGUUACCUGCUUACCUUCUAGAAGCAGGAGAUACCAGACAUCCUUGAAUUGGAUUGCCACUGGAACAAGAGAUGCAUUUUCGGGGAAAGUUGAGAUAACAUUAGCCAAUUACAUUUUUCUUUCAGUCACACUAUGGUGUACUCCAGCAUGGUGCCACAUGUCCACUUGAUAUAGUUUUGCUGGUUUUCUAAUCAGAGGUCUCAUUUUUCUUCGCAAGUUUCACCUAUGAAUACUGCUUAGAUAAAUGUCAGGCUAGAAAAGGACUUGACAAGCCACCAGCAUGCCAAAAACGCAUGAGAUUUCCAAUCCUGUAGGAGCCAAGAUAGUUUUGAUAUGCCAUUCCUCAUGAAACUUGUAUUAUUUGUCAUGAAGAGCAGUAAACACCACCUUUACGAUAUAUUGUUGAGACAAGCUCUCAGAAGCUGCCCUGAACCCUAGGAGUCAAAGAAAUACUGGUUAGAUAUAUAGCUUUGACAUAUAGAAUCUUAAAUAUGAUAAUUAUUUGAAGAAGAUUGUGGUGAUAAUAUAUACUUAAGCAUUAUUGAGUCUACGUAUGAAGAUUUCUCAUUUGGCAACUAUUUCUAUCAGAGAGCUAGUUCAUUGCAUAAUUUGUGAAUUCCCUCGGUGUGCAUGUCAUGGGGUAUUGGAUCUCAGAUUUUGUAAUGAUUGGCUUAUAUAUAGGUGCUUCUUUACAGCCAUGUGACUUCUUUGCUAUCUUCUUUGCCAUCUUACCUGGACUCCUCAUUUAUGCCCUCCAUAUCCAUGUGGACGCUUCAUGACCCUGGUACUGGUACUGAAUACAUACCUAGAAUGGCCAAUUUUACUUGGGUGCCUUGACUUUCCUAGGAUGCCUUGUUGCAUAAGAGUCUAUUAUUCCUUGGGAAUGAUAAGAGAAGUGAAAAAGAUAAUGCAAUGGAUAUUCACAGGCAUUCUAAAUCUUCCAGGAAUCAAGUUAAGUUCUUUGAGUAUUUAGAAGUGUCCCAUAUCCUUGUUUUAGUUGGUUGAUGAAUUAGACACCUUGAUCAUACCCGUUUUAGGUACCCAUACCCGAUCCAAACAUAUUUUUUAAGGUGAUGAUGAGUUGGAAAAUGCUUUAAUACUUGAUGUGUAAACAUUUAUUUGGGCAUAUUUGUUAAGGCACUAUAGAUGUUUGUGGCCGCAAUUGGCAGUAGCUCCUUUGUAAUGGAAAUCCUUUUUGGAGAGGGCCUUUUUGAAAUGAGUUUCAGAAAAUGGGCAUUUAAAAUUAAGAGGCUUCUGGUGAAUAUGAGUUAUUUUAAGUUCGUAGAAAUGUGAAUGUCCCUUGUUCAGUCAGAUUCUGUUUGGGCAAUAAAUGCAUAGAGAGCAAACAAUUAGCCACUUGACAAUGCUAUCCUUGCUUAUCAAUAAACUAACAUAUAAAAUUGAAUUGGGACGAUUUUUAAGGAUGAUGAUAAUUUUUAAAUGGAAUAAGAAAAACUAUCAAUACAAUUAUUUUUUAGGAAUUAUGAAAUUCAUUUUGGGAAAAUAAAUUGCACUUGACAUUCUUCUUACAUUUGACAAAUAUUACUCUCUGUAAGUUGCAUGUGUAAAUUAGAUGAAAGUUUCAAUUUGGUGCCAGUGAUUCAAUAAAUGUAGGUAAGGGUUAAUUCUACAAUUGACUUUUAAUCGAGGUCCAGGAUCUGGAUAGACUGUUCAAGGGAAGUCCACUGGAAUGUACUCUCUCGAGAAGUUAAUUCCUUGAAUAUCAAUUUGAAAUACUUUACAGAACACUUUCUGUUGAAGGCUAAAGAGCAAUAUUUUGUAAAACUUCUGGAGCAUCUUUACUUUCAGAAGAAAACUAAAAAUCCUACUCAUUAUAAAGUUUGGAUACGUACUUUACUCGUUAUCAUCUUAUUUGUGCCUUUAAUUUUUUAUUAAUCUUCUGAGUGUACUCUAUGUUUAGUGCGUCUAUGUUGAUUUAGUGCAGAUGAUCUGUUAUCUAUAUAGGGGGUCUAGGUGCUUAGGAACAACUUUUUCUGUAGCAGUGACAAACUUUCCGUAACAAAAUUAUAAGGUGGUUAGUAUUUAUCUCUAGAUUGAGUUCAAAGAUCUUAUGAUAGGCAAUUGAUUCUUCUUAAAUGUUUGUAAGAGUACCUUGAGGAUACUUCUUACUUCCUGUUACCAUGCUUAAAGAUGAUUAUUGAUGUAUGCUGCAUCUUCUCAACUCUAUUUAAUUGUCUGUCAAUUCUGAGCACAAUUUUCCUGAAUUUCAUACUCAAUUCUUGAAAAAAUAAAUGAAAUGCAAAGAAAGUAUUUAGUUUACACGCUUUGUGCACUUUAACUGCUUUCUUUAUUCCUUGGUCCCAAAAUUGAAUUUCUUAGUUUGAUUUGGUCAUAUGUGGUUAUAGUCGUGGAAUGUAUAAAUAGUCUGGUGAGGAAAUCGGGAACACUUGCUAUUUCAUUAGUUAAUUGAAAUUUAAGGAGAUACUGGAGAACAUUUGCUCUACGGUUUUGGUCCACAAGUAUUUGAAGGGAAAAUUGGCUUAGUUUUUCCAGUGAAGGAAAGUGAAUCUUGUCUGAAUUGGCUAAAAUGAAAAGUAAGAUAUUCGAUUUGGUAGGAGAAAGUGUAACUCUUCACUAUGGAAAUUUGCUAUUUUGAAACCGUGCCUUUCUAAAGAAGUCAUGGUGUAAUGGUUGACUCCUCUUUUUCUGCCACCAUUGACAUGUUUUCAUUUUCUAAAUUAUGCAUACCACAUAGCUUCCCUGUACCACAUGUUAACAAUUGCUUGAUAGUUGCUGAAACAACCUGAGAGGAAAAAAAUGGUUUUUUUUCUUACAAUAGCAAAAUGCUACAUAUAAUUAAAGGGAGUAACUUUUAAACAAAAUCAAAUAACAUAGUAGAAUUUGAGACAACCACACAUUGUUCAUAUGAGGUGUUAAGCUUCAAAUUCUUCAAGUGUCUAUGUUUCUAGGUGACACUUAUUCUUUAACUCUCCAAUACUUCAACUUCGCAAGGGCAAUGUAAAGAAAAAGAGAAAGUUCACAAAUUUUAGAAAGUGCAGUUAUAGGACAAAGUAGAUUAUCAAAUUCCUCGCCUAUUCUGUAAUUCUCUGUAAUUCUCAGGGUGCUUGGUUGGAGGGUAUAGGAAUCAAGAAUUGGAUUGAGUCCCAUAAUUGUUGCUUGGCUGAUGGGUAUGGGUUUUGAAAUCUUGGAAUAAAUUAUAAAAAACCAGCCACUCUCAAUACCCAACUAGAUUGGAGAUAAUCCCACAUUUGAUUCCAAAAUCUUAAAAAAAAAAAAAAGCUUCUGGUCCCUUAUCUUCCUCACAUAGCUCUCUCUUCUUGCUCUCCAUGGCAAGCCAAUCUCUCUCUACUCUUUACCUCCUUGUCUCUUAUUCUUCCCAUCCUCCAUGGCUGUCACCUCCCUCUUCUUGUCACUCACUUUUCCAUCCUCUAUGGCAGCACCGAGGUUCCCAGGGCUCUUCCUCUUGACUACCAACCCACUUGCCUUUUUUAUUUUUGCUGAAGUAUAGCUGCUGUGGGAGCCUUCCUUUGUGUUGAUGGGGGAUUGAAAUUAUGCAGGUAUACUCCAAUCUCUGGUCAUAACUUCGACAAAAUCAAAUCCGGAUCUGCUUGCUAUCGCUGCAUCACUGGGACUGUUGCUUCUGAAGCUCCAUUGUCUUUACUAAAAAUUGAAUAUAGAUGCUAAUUGGUGGUGGUUAGGUACUGGUUCAAUGGGUGUUGUCAUGGUUCGGUGCUGGUUCAAUGGUAUUAUGUGGGUAUGUAUGUGGGAUAAGCAUCUGAAUGAGGAAGAGGAAAGAUAUGAAAAGAAAAAAGAAAUUAAAGGUAAAAAAUGAUUAUUAAAUUUGAUACCCAUUCCUUACCAAUAUUUACCAAGCACCCCUUUUCUAAUCAUAUCUUUGGCCAAAAUCCAUACUAACAUUUUUUGUAUGAUUCCAUUUACAAUUCGAUUCCUAAGUUGAACUAAGCGCCCCUCAAAGUUGGGGAGGGGGAUCGCCCGUCUUUAAAUGCACAUAGCUAUUAGCCUGUACUUGUUUCUCUUGGGUUUUAACUCCUUGUUUCCUAUUAGUAAAAUUAUUACCUUCUCAAAAAACAGGUGGCAACUUUAAAAGACUAGGGAUGGCAAUGUGGCAGGGGAAUUAAGUGAUAGCAAUGUGGGGAGAAAUUUCUCCUGCAUUCAAUGGAACAGGAGUAUGGGGGAGGCUACUGCCACCUAUCUCCCACUUAAAAUGAAACCAUAGUAAAUGUUUCAUAUCUUGUAUAUAAGUAUAUUUAGGUAUAAUAAUUAUGUCAUAUAUGUAUACGGAUAAACAUGCAGAUUAAUUAGUCAUAGCUUCUUGUUUUCUUGCCACAUUCAUUUAGUCAUAGAUAAUAUACUUUUUUAAUAACUUGAGGCUGACAAUAAUUUUUUUUUUGUUUUUACGUGUGCUAAGUACUUUUGUAGUUUGAAUUAAAUAACUAGUAAAGCCUAUAACAGCUUCUUAGUGUUUACAUUAUGGUUGAAUUACUGGGCUUCAUAUUUGUUAUCUUUGAAAGGUAAUCUCAAUUUUAUGAUCUUCAUAAUCUCGAUUCUAUGAUCUUUGGGAGACAAAAAGUACCAAAAGCGGAUGCCCAACAGGGAUCCAAGAGUGUGAGGCAGGGUGUAUGUGUUUUGAGUAUGGCAGAAUGUGAUUUUUUCAGGUGGAUUGGGGAGGGUACUAUCAGCUCAUUGGCAAUCCUAUGAAAUGGGUGUUGAUCGAAGAGAUUGUAAUUUGUUUGCGCAGUAUAGUCCAACACAUUUUGGGUGAUCUUUUUCUUCCUUACAAGGAGACAAGAAUCCCUCAAAUCAGUUGAUUUUGUGGUUUUUGUGUUUUUGUGUUUUGGGUUCUAUUUGUGUUACUGGUCUGUAAACCUCUUGGUAAUUUGGACAUCUUUUUGAUUCAAAUUAUGUCAUUCAAAUCACUAAUAAUUUGAUGAUUUCCUUUUCUGAAUUUGCAGGUUGAAGCUGUGGCUUUUCAUUGCAUAUGUUGUAUCUUUUGUUUCAUUGGCAGCUUCAGUGGGCUUAUUAAUACAAGACUCUCUUGUGAAAACUGGUCCGUCUGCAUGGACAGGAGUUGCAGGCGUUCUCCAAUGUGUGUUUGUGCUUAUAAGGUAAGAUUUACCUCUAGCUUGACUUAUACUAUCUAGUUUUCUUUCCUUUACUGUGCUUCUGGGUUGGUUUGGUUCGAAGGAUUUCGCUUAUUACUGAAAUAGUUGGAAUGUGCUUGCCUUCUCUGAUCACUUGAUAAAUUCAGGUAUUUUCUUCCUCUGAGCAUUUGAUGCAAUUCCGUCACCUUUGGCUUUGUCAUCAACUUGAGAAACCCUUGCUACUAACGUUCUCAUAUAGUGUUCCUUGCUCUGUGCAAAAUUCUUUGGCAUCUGCUCCAAGAGUGAAUUUCUAUACUCGAACUGUCUCUAUGAAACUUGAUCUUAAUGCAAAUGGGAAAAGUUAUAUUGAUAAUACAGCAUGGUGGGUGGGUUCAAAGUUUCAUUGUGUCAGCUACCUGACAUUGACUUGAACCUUUUUGUAUCCUUCCCUUUUUGAGGCUCUUGUCUCCUCUCCUCUCCUCUUCUUUCCAUCCUUUGCAUGAAUCGUGCACUGAUAGGUAAGGGGGACUGCAACUAGGCCAAUAAGCUAAAAGUUGCCACCUGGUAGAGCUUUAUUGACUCAAUUUAACUAUACUUCUGCUCUAGCUUUUGAAGUCAAGAUACUAGGCUGGCUUGGAGUUAGAAUCAAGUUCUUUUCUGUCGUUCAAUUCAUUUGGUUGAUCAAAUUAAUCCAUUCAAACAGAUUUCUCACAAAAAAGAAGGAACAACUUAAGCAGAAAAUGACAACAGGGCUGCGUCCAUCCCCCUACCAGCUAACCAAAGCAAAUAAGUUGAAAUUCCCUGAACAAGUCAAACGUUUCCAGUUUUGUUCUUUGAAAAUAUAUACAACUACUUUUAUAAAUAAAACCUCAAACGAACAGUCAAAGCCCAUAUCUAAGGAAAGCAUAUUUUCACUAGUUUUAGCGCAGCACAAAAGCUUGGUAGGCUGAUCAGAUUUCUUUAGAUAGGUUUUGGUCUUUCAAGAAAAACUCACUGAUGGAAUUGCAGGUAUCAAACUCUCUAAAACUCAAUCAGAAAACUGGAAUUUAAUAGCAGAAAAACACGAAUGAGAAAGAAAUCAGGUUAGGAACUCCAGGAAUCACUGCUAGAAAUUUUCAGGCAUCCCACCUAAAGUUGGAUUGCAUCUCACAAUCUCACAAGAAGACAUUGAGUCUGCAGGAAGUUUUUUUAGUCAAGAAUCUGACUUCUCUUUAUGGAAAAGUCGAUACUCAUAGACACCUAAAAAAAUGACUCCAAUUCUAAUUAAAACUCCUAACUAGAAUAGAAUUCUUAGUUUAUUAUUAAUCACUCCUGGGGCUGACAACUAAUAUACUAAUCACUUUUGGAAGUAAUUACUGACCAGACAACUACGACAAGAUAAAUUCCUGCCACCAACUAAAUUUAUGAAAGUACCCUGCUGACCAAAAUCAGAAAAUAGACUUUUUAGGACUCAAACCAACUCCCAAGUAGGUUCCUUGUCAUCAAGAGCGUGCCAAACCUAAGUUUGUGCAUUCCACGCAUCUUUGCCAUGCCUUCUAUAAACCUUAGGCGACUUCUGCCAUUUAUCUCUAUCAUUGAGCUUCUGCUAAAUGUAAAUAACUGUAUAUGAAAACUCCAAUUUUUGUGCUAUGCUUUUUCAUUAUAUGGUUUUGAAUGAUUUUGGGAGUAAAACAAGGAGCAUGAGAACACCCACAACACCCCCCCCCCAACCAAAAACCCAAAAAAAAAGAAAAAACCAUCACAGAAGUUGCACUUUACAUCCUAGAUUAUAUUAAUUAGUAGUUUGCACCCUUAGUUAACUAAAAGAUGAACUUCAUUUAUUUAAUCAGAGAGAUGAUGAACUUAUCAUCCAUUAAAAGUUUAAGCGGCAAGAAUACUAUACAGUGGGAAAAAACUUCCACUUUCAAUAAACUAAUUUUCAC